GGAAGGCAGCCCCUGGGGGCUGGGGCGGGGAAGAGGGAGGAUUUCACCUUUUGGUCAUUUGCGUUUAAAUAAAUGUCCGUGCAAUGAUUUUGCUUAGUGCAACCAACUUUUUUGUUUGUAACUCUAACUUCUGUCUUCUUUAACUGUUUAUAGGCUUUCAAACAUGCUAAAAAGCAUUUUGCCUCUUCAGUAUCCUGAACUUAACCCUGCUGUCCAUUAUUGUCUUCCUUGCUGUCCUGUAAAUCCCCUUCCAUUUCUUCGAAGCUUUGUUUUCUCUGGACUCCCCCACCCCGUCUGAUCUGAGAGGUUCCCAGCCUCUCAGAUAAAAUAAAAUAAUAAAUUAAAUAUAAAUAAAAAUAACCCAGGAAGUCUGCUUAGGGAGGAGAUAUGUUUCAUUAAUUAAUAAAAAAAAAACCCUUGUUGUUUCUGCGUUCAUUUUCCUGUCACUGGCCAGGAGAGGACCUUUGUCUUGACCUGGGGAGGGGGAUUGCGUGGUUGUUCCCCGGGUCCCUCUGCCCCACCAGAGGCCGCACUUCUAGGAAGCCGAAGCCUUGCUCCUGCUCCCAGAGCUCCAUGUUUCCUGAGUCGGACCCAGCCUCUCUGGAGCUCAUCAAUCCGAUCCUGUGGUUAGAACCAGGGACGGUGGCUACAGGCCACCUUGCCUAUCAUUUUGUGACUCCUCUGUUGCCAUUCCUGUCUACUUUUAAACUGUCAGUGUUGCCCAUGAAAUCAGAAGGCCCCAGGUCAGCUGCCUGCUGCCUUAGAGAAGGUCUACCUGAGACAAGCAGGCCGGCAGUGCUCCACGGUGGCUUGUCACACCUGCUAGGCUGUUUGGAGGCUCUGCUGCCUGGGAUUACCUGGCCAGUGUUUGCUUAGAGUCCUAUAAAAAACAGCUUUGGCUUCUGGUUCCUUUGUCUCCUGCUCAGGACUCUCCUUUUGAGAUGUGUCCCAGCCAUGUGUCACUUGCAUCUGAGUUGGUCUCAGCACUGGCCCUGGUUUGACGGUGACUACCAACCCCGUUUCGGGUAUCUUGAAAAUUCCGUGGGGCUUUGGUGCAAACUUGCACAUGAUGGCCAGGACCCAUUGAGUUUUGCUGAAUGAACGCAGGAUAACUUUUCUGGUUGUAUGUAAAAUCCUGCUGUUGUUUACUUUCCUUAGUAAAAAGUACAAUGUGACAUCUUAAGGGACUUUUGUCCUUUCCCUGUCCUGCCCUCUGGCAUGCAGGGAGGUAGUGGACCCUGGUGGUGUAGCUUCAUGGUGACAAGCACAGACCUGGGUUCGAAUCUCCUUCUGGGGAGUGUGCUGUGAGUCUUUCUGGGCCUUGCAGCAGUUUUAUGAGAUUUAAGUAGCCCCGUCCAGGCCUGGAGAAGAUGAAAUUAGCUUGGGGCUCUGAAAACCCCUAGAAAUAACAUGCCAGAUGCUCAGGGCUGUGUGGUCACAUCUCUAAUUAGAUUCCCCUAGGAAACUGUGACCCUGGAAGACAGGAACUGUCUGUGUUUGGUGCUGGGGUUGGAGGAGGGAGGCUGAGUCUUGGUGGUAGGUUCUGCCUCUCUGCUGUGUCUGUCACCCCCAGAGUUUGGUUCCCUCCCACCUUCCUGUCACCUGGUGGGCUGUGAAUUAGGCCCAGGGGAGGUGGGAAGUGCUGAGUCCUGUGACUCAGCUAAGAAUGGAUUUCCCUGCACCCCAGCAUUCUGGGAGGCUCCCAAGUAUAUAAUUUAUUUAACAAACACUGGGGCAACCCUGACAAUGGGUCAGUAACUGUUCUAAGCCUUAUGGGCUGGUGCUGGCGCUGGCGGGAGGAGCUGGUUUGCGGGAGGGAUGAAUUUAGGCACCCAGAGGUUAAGUUACUUUCUCAGGUCACGUGGCCAGGAAGUGGCCGUGCUGCGCUGGCUAGCUCUAAAGUUUGAUCCUCUUACCCUCCCUAUCCUGGCCGGUCUCUCCUAGCUUCCUUCUUACAGUUUGCGUUCUCUCUUUACAUGGCCCAAUGGUGACAUUUCUCCAGGCUUUACUGGGGUGGCCAAGGGGAGCUUUCUCGGCCGCCAUCUGGAGAGAUGACGGGGUACAGUUUCCCCCCAGCCAGCCCUGCUGUCACUGAGAGAUGGCAGCACUGAGAGUCGCAUUUCUGUUAGGACUUUGAUGCGGUGUAGGAGUGUGCCGGGUAGUCCUUCCCUCUAGCGAAGGGCAGUGUUUGGAUGAACAGCCUUUGUGUUUGCAUCCCGUGUGUCACCAGGCUGCAGGCCACGGAGGGUGAUUUAUUCCUGUGCUCUCUAGAGGGGGCGCCAAGCCCGGCAGGUCUGGGCAGUGGAAUCUUCCAGGCCUCUGCUUCUCCCUGGCGCGGACAGGAGACAGGCUCUGUGGUUGCACAAAGAGAAAGGAAUGGGCUUCCAGGACCUGAGAAAGUGCUCCAGAGGAGAGGCGGUGGGGGCGGGGACGCCUCGAAAAUCCUUAACUAAAUGCAGCUGCUUGUUACACGGAGCCUGACUUGCAUGCCGGGAAUAUCUAAAAAGCUAACAAAUACAAAAUAAAAAUAAACAGCAGUAAAAAGGCCCUCUCUUUGUUGCAGUAGGUUGGGUUGGGGUUUCCCAUUUGUUUAGGAGUGGGGUAAUUGUGGCAUCCAUUAUUUUGCCAAGGCGCUGGGUCAAGGGUUGAUGUGGUGGCACUGGGACCCUCCCGACAUCAGAGCCUCCUUCUGGGACCCGGGGCCGGGACUCCAGAGGUCCCGAGCUCUUGCCCUGUGCGGAUCACACCGGAGAGGGCAGCUAAUUUAAUGGGACCAUCUUGGCAGGGCCAGCGAAUUUCACACCCCAUCCCUCACUAGUAGAAGAGCAGCAGAAGGCUGAGCGCCCUCAGAUGAAAAAGGCUGUGCGACAGGGCCCUGCUUAGCAGUAACUGUCUGUCCAUAAAUAAGGUUCUGCGGGGUUUUGAUCCAGAAACAUAUACUGAUAAGCCAGGCCUCACGGUUUGCCCUCCUUGUGUUUCCUUCCCCUCUCGUCUCCCUAGAAAUGUAUAGAUGAUAUAUGUGUGUAUAUAUAUAUAUAUAUUUUUUUUUUUUUUUUUUUUUUGAGAAAAAAAGACCCUGAGCAGACUGUUGAUUUUGUCGAUUUCUAUGAGAAAUGCCUCUUCUUUGACAGCCAGUUAGAGCUGGCGCAGAGGGACAGGAAAUGGGAUUUGGGCCUGGAGUGGGAGGGUUUGGAUGCUACCUCCGGAGCCUCUGUUUCCUUAUCUGUCAAAUGGGAUGGCCAUUAGGUCUGACUUAGACGGCUGUCCUGGACAGGAAAUGCCCGGCCUUGCAGUGGACCUGAUAGCACUAGUGAAGUGUGCUGCCCCAAGGCGACUGGGGCCUCCCUGGAGAAAUCAGAACUGUGGCCCUGAAUCAGAGACUGGGGCUCCUGUGGCUCUUUGUGGUGUUUUACCUUUGGUUCCCAGAGACCUUGAGGAGGAAGCCCUGGGCCUGGGACUCCUGAGGGGAGGGCCCGUGGCUCACUCACUGGGCAAAGUCUUAAAACAAAGGCUUUUUUCAAGCUCGUGGCUCCUGGGGGCAGGACAGCCCCUCCUCGGGCUCUUGUAAUUCCAGAGUCCUGCAUGGAGCCCGGUGCAGAGACCUGCACUUGUAACCUGACCGUUUCUUAGCUCUGAUAUCCAAAUAAUUCGCCCCCAGCACAACUUGAAAGAGGAGAACGGCCAGGGGGAAGAAGCCCGAGGUGCUCUGUUAGCCGGUUACUGUUUCUGAGUACAAAGAGGACGGUUCCUGGCUCCCCAGGAGAGAAGAGUGGCGGGUUGGUGAAGGGCACUUCAGGGACAAAGCACUCUGUGUUUUUGUUUUUGUUCUUCAGCCGCAGGUCUCGUCCCUCCAUGCAGCUUGGCUAAGGGUUAUUGCGUCUUUAUUACGAGCCUGAUGUGGAGUCAGUGCAUGGAGCCCAAAUGUUGUCCCUGGCCCCAUUGGCCGAGACAGCAGGGAGGGACACCCCUUGCUUUUUGAGCCUCUCCUGUGUCCGGAGGUCACUUUGCAUCGACCUGGGAGUUGCGAGUCCUGUGGCCUUGGCAGGUGGCACCGCAGCUCCUGUAGGCGAGGACAGCUAAGUGUCCUGGGCAGUGGGGAGGUGGAGUGUGAACUCUGUGUUGUGACUCUUGUGGGUCCUGUCUGGGCCACAGAAUGGUGUGACAGGGGUGCUGGGAGCAGCUGUGUGACCUCUACUAGCCAGGGCCUCCCCUGGAAGGCCACUGGGGGCUCUGGAAGGUGCUCUGGGGCACGUGGAAGCCUGGGAGGGGACACGGGUGCCUUCUGCCAGGUCAGGUGUGGAUUCCAUGAUGCUCAGGAGCCUGAUGGGCCAGGCCGGAACUGUAUCUUCAUUGCUGGACUCCUCCCAGUGACACAUGAAGAACGGUAGCUAUGUUGUCCCCAUGUGGAGGAUGAUGCUGGUGCCUGCUCUUCCUGCCCCAGUCCAGGCUGUGGGAACGGAGGGGAAGAGCCCAGGGUGGCAUUGGGGUGGAUCCAGUGCCCGGCUGUGGACUGGAUACUCUGGAGGCCAGUGUGUGGUGCCUUCCCAGCCCCAUGGGAUUCUUGGGCUAGACUGAGCCUGGCUGGACUGAGCUACACCUUAGGCCUCUGAGUUUUGCAUAAUCCUGAGACAGCACUCUAGGAUAUGCAUGUGUGGUUAUUCCUGUUUUCCAGGUAAGGAAACUGAGGCACAGGCCAGGUGUUGUGUGCCCAAGACCACACAAUCAAGUGGGAGACCCCGGAGAUGAAUGGAGGUAUCUGGAAGCCAGGGCUUUGUCCUUAACCAUUUCACCUUACUGUGUCUCUACCAUUGUUUUAUGUUACGGAUUUUUUUUUUUUUUUUUUUUUUUUUCUGUACCUGGGAUUGAACUCACGAUCUCAUGCUUGCCAGGCAGGCACUUAUGCCGUUGAGCUAAAUCCCCAGCCCUCUACUAUUGUUUUUUUUUUUUUAACUCUGAUGAUUAAAAUUCUGUGGAAAGUCCCGGCUAAGUGGCUGCAUCAGAAUAAUUGCAACGAAAUCCUUCACUUGUAUUGGACUUUGUGGUUUAAAAAUUAUGGGAUGUGCAAUAUUAACUUCCAUUUUCCAAAUAAUGCUGUGAAAGAGGGCUUCUUUCUCUCUCCUCGCUGGCACCUUGUGAGAUCAAAGGUUGAGGUUCGCAGCUCCCUGUGUCACUGUGGCUCCCCAAUGGAGCACCUUUAACCUCGGGCCCCUCUUCCUGCUCCCCCGGAUUGCGGAGGGUGCUCUGAGCCUGACCUGUGGCAGGUUCCACCAGCAAGCAGGUGUAUUCUGUCCACACAGCCAUUGUUUCGAGAGUCCAAGCUUUUGUAGGUAUCACCUGGAGCUGGGCUUGGUACCCUAAAGGAAUUCCCCUGCAGGGGAAGUGAGAAGCACCUGGAGCUCUAAAAUUCGGCCCCUCUCCAGGCUGGAUGUCAUAUAUGGUGGUCUCUGAGGCCGACUUCCAGUGUGUUUUUUUAGCACAUCUUUGCAGGAUGUGCUUACUCCUGGGGAGCUGGUACACAUACACAGCACAUUUUGGUCCCUUUGCUUUGAGAAGAUCUGCCUCCUGUUCCUGUUGUCUGCCUUUUAUUUUGAUUUGUCAUUUAUUGGUGCCUCGGGUUUCUCAGUAGGAGGAGCUGUGCGCUGUUCAGUUGUGUGUUCGACCAACUUCCCUUCACACUGUAGUCUCGGGGUGCCUAGACGUCUCCAGUUCUGCCCAAAAGAAUGUUCCUCAAAGAUGAGGACUUUCUGUGGUCUAUGAAGGGUCAGCGUCCUAAGGUCAAAAUAGACCGAAGUCUUGGACACCCUUGGAGGGUGCCUUGUCUAUCCCAUGGAGGAGGUGGACGCUGUUUCCAGGGGAAGCCAGACAUGAGAGCGAUUUGUUCCAGAGGCUGUCCGCUCACCCUUCAGCUUCUACUCCACGUGGGCUUCAUGGCACCACAUAAAGUGUCCUCACCAGUGAGGUGAACUGGCUGCUUGUGUCCCCUGCCCAGGUGGUCAGUGUGGUGCUGGCCGUGCUGACCCUGCUUGUGCCUACCCUGAGGGUCAGCACUCGACCGGGUCAUGAGGACCAUCCUGCAUCCUGUGGAGGACUGUCCCCAGAGCCAAGCUGAGCGUGCUGAGUGAGCUGCCCCCGCCACACUUCUGCCUGGAGGAGUGUGACAGCGGACGGAGAGUGUGGGGCUCUGCACUGGUUUCCUCCCUGGCGAGAAGAUGCUGUGCUUGGAGUGUAAGGACCCCCCCUCCUCCACUCCGGCGUUUGAGGACCUGUCAGCAGUUUCAGGGUUGUGCUGCAGGAGAAGAUGAUCAACCCGUUCUACAAAUAACCAUCCUGAGUCUCCGCCUUGAGGCUGGCCAGGGACACUGGUGCAGGUGCUCCCACAUCCACAAGCCACAGAGCCCCAAUCCCCAGGUCCUGGGUCUUCAGCCCACAGCACCCCUCCACCUGCCCAAGGCACCUCCUGUGCAAACUAUGGAGCUUCCGCUGGCUUAAAUAUUUGUUUAGCAAUUAAAGCGGCUGCAGGAGGAACAAGUGGUUGUGUGCGCUCAGGAGGAAGUUUGCUGCUCAGGGAGGGAAGCAGGGUGCACACACCACCGAGGCCAUCCACCUCUGAGCAGAUGGCGCCUGGCCUUUGUUGGGGCCCUUUUCAUGCUGCCGGCACCUGGCACCUGCCACCUGCGGGGCCACACCUGUCCCUGUUGUCCCUGCUCCCACCUCUCCCAGCUGGAGUCCUCCAGCCCCUGCCUGCCUCUGCCUCUUUCUGUGUGUCCCCUCUGCCUGGAUCACUCACUGUCCAGGCCACUGAAGGGCUCACACACAUUCUGACCUGGCCUAGAGUCCACUCAGUGGGAACAGAAAACAUGGUGAAGGUGUAGUUUUUAAAAAUAGAAUUGAUCACAGGAAAAGGCACACCGUCCUGCAUCCCCGAGAGGUUGCCCACUAGCUUUACACACACUAUGGUGUGGCUCUUGCCUUGAGAUUUUUGCAGCAGCGCCGAGGUCCCUGGCUAACUGCUCGCAUGUGGUUCUCUGUCACAUGGUCUGUCCCACCCGUCUGGUUCUGAGUCUCUCUGGCUGGUGCUGCGAACUCAGCCUCCAUUCACUCCGCAUGGUUUUGCUCCUUCGUGGGAGGGUCCUUGGGAGGGCCCUUGCUCGCUUGCCCUGACUGAAAAUCCUACUAUUGCGUCUUUGCACCCAAGUGGCCUAGGGAUUCCUUUCCCAAAGCGGAGGAGUCAACCCAAAGAGCCAUUUGGGCCUUGUUAAAUGUGCUUUGGGUUCUGUGUCCCUGGGAGCCAUGGGCAGCUGUGUUCCCAACGUGGAAAUUCUCUGCCGGCUCUGGGACCCGGCCUGCUGUCUUGCUCACAGUGACAAGCUCAAGCCUUCUCUUCCUCCAUCUCAAGGGCAGUCCAGCUGGGGAGAAUUACGCUAGGUGCCGGGCUGGGUGCCAGCCACAGGACUCCUCCAGUGCUAAGGCUGGCCUUGCAGUGAUGGGUGCAGGAAGCACAGAGUGGGGUCCUGGGCCCAGUGCAAGAGGGAGCCGGUGGGAGGAGUGGGGAGAGGCGGCAGUUCACAGCCCAGGAUGCACUGAGGAACAGCACUGGUAGCAAAGUGUGGGUUUGUUUUGCCGAAUGAGCUCAUGGGCCUCUGCUGUCUGUAAUUACUGCUCGUUUGGUCUCCAGCCCGGUGAGCUCCUGGCCCCUCUGAGCCGCCUUCUUGCCAGCCCGGCUGCUUUGUGAUCCCUGGGAGUAACUGGGGUGGGGUGGGGUAGGGUGGGGAUAGGCCCCCUGGAAGUGGCUCUGCUCUCCCCAUGGGGUUAGGGUCUUGGUUCCUCACUUCUCCAGUAGGAUUCUCACUCACCCCUGGAGAGCGUAAGAAAGCUGGGAGGUGAAGAGAAGCACUUUGUAAGCUUUGGGGUCCACCUGCGAUGGGAGGUGAAACAGCUGCAGGAUUUGUCUUCAUUCCUGGUCAGGGGGUCCUGGAGGAGCCUCCGUCCCCUCCACCAACACUCCCAUGCCAACCGCUGUCCUAACGCUGGCGCGAGGGCCAACAGUGCAUGGAACCAGGACCACCUAACUCUGGGAGGAGUCGAAGGAGAGACACAAAUGCCUUCUCACUGGGAAUGGAGCCUAGGGCCUUUGAACCGAGCUAUGGCACAGAUCAGGCUGGAGCAGAAAUCCAGGGUGGAGUGGGUCCACGCUGUCUGGGGUGGCCUGAGCAGGGGUGACCCCAUGUCUGUCCACGGAGGAGCUGUGCAGGAGGUGGGCCACAAGGAGCAAGCUCGGGGUGUUUUCAGCAAGCAGAGGCUACAGUGAUGGCCUCUGCUGCCAAGGGGAGCAUUCACAGCGUGUCUGGUGUCCAGCGGCAGGCGGAGGCCGUGCUCACGGUGGUUAUGUGAUCUUGGCACCGCACCCGUUCCGCAGUUGAGGACCGUCAGCAGAAAGGCACUCGUCUGGGAGAUGGGAAGAGGGUACCAUGUGCCACGGCGUGGCUUGCAGAAGGAAAACACUAUUGAUGCCCCGUGUGCUCAGGGCAGGAAACCCAGUGUUCCCAGGCCUCUGUCCAUGGCUGUAAAGUGGGCUGGUCCUGAGUGGGGCUGUUAAUGGGCUUCAGGAGGAAUGUAGGCCCCUGGACUCCCGCUGGUGUUCUGGGUGAGUUCUCGAGCCUCCUGAAAAUAGACAGGGAGAAGAAGAGAACAGACGUCCAGAAUAGAUGCAUCCCACUCUGCUCCUUGCCCGAAGAUUUAGUUUCUGCUAUGUCCCUGGGGUGAUCAGACUCAGUAGCAGCCAAGUGGCUGAGAGUCUUUCUGAAAGAGGGGGCAGUGCAGGUGCCCAGGAUUUAAUAUUUUUAAAGAAAUUAUUUGCCAGAAGUCCUAGAACUUUUAUUCUUCAGUCUUUUAUAGUAUCAGGCUACCUAUUUUCCCAAACCCAGAAUUUUUUUCUGUGGGUGGUAGGUAUUCCAUGGUGUUGGGGGGCCCUCAAUAAUAGAGGGGGCCUAGGGUCUUGCUCCUGUCCGCUGUGUGUGUGCCUGAUGUGUUUGUUUAUAUUAUUAUCAUUGUCUUUGAAGGAAAGGGAAACGAGAUUUGUUUUCACAGAAACAUCCUUCCAGCUCGGCACACAGCAGAAAGAGCUUGGAACAGAAAGUCUCUAGGGGUGAGUUGUCUCAGCCUCGUCCCCAGUGGGCUGUGGGGCCCCUGCAAAACACUUGCCUUCUCUGGUCCUCCAACUCCUGUCUGAGCACAGCAGCGCUGCAGAAGUCCUGUGGCUCCGCAGCGUCCACUGCACCUGGACCUCUUCAGGCUCCUCUCCGGACUGUCUGGACCCAAAUCUCCGCCUUUACAAACCCGCCAGUUACAUGCCAAUGCAAGUUAGGGAGGCAUAACGGAGUGAGUGGUGCUGCUUUUGUCGCCUGAUGUUUUGUGUUGCUGUAGAUGUGUAUUAAAAUGCGGUUGUGAGGAAUUUAGACCGGGUGGAGCGAGGUGUGUGCGCAUCCUCCCAGAGUCCGGCUCUGUCUCUGGAGCAGCGCUUUACGAAAGCGAACACAAACCGGAAACCCGCUGCCUCCAGACAGCGGGAGGAUCAGGCUGGAAUAGUGUUUGUUAUUGUUUCUGUUUUUACCAAGCCCUGCAUGUUACAUUUAGCAGUUUCGUUUUUCUUUUGUGGUACUGGGAUGGAACCCAGGGCUUUGUACUGAGCUACAUCCCAACCGUUUUUAUUUUUGUUUGGAGACAGAGUCUGUCUUGUUGGGUUGCAAAAGGGUCCAGGCUAGACUUGAACUUGUGUUCUUCCUGCUUCAGCCUCCCAGAGCGUUGGGAUGACAGCGUACACCACCAUACUUGGCUUAUUGGUUUUUAAAAGCAGUAUAGAUUAUUGUCUUCACUGUUUCCGCUGUUUUUUUUUUUUUUUCUUCAAAGAAAAGCACAGAGAAACCAGCAAACAACAACAAUAAAACAAUAGUGACACAAGAUUUCAAAACAGGAUGGUGGGGAUUUAACAGUGGUUGUUGUGUUGUCCCUCGUGUUCUUUAUCUUCACGAUGACUGAGAAGGCAGAGCAUCCAAUUCCUCUGUACUGUAUAUGGCCCCACAUGAGCCAUGGAAGCAGGAUUGGGGGAGGCAGAGGCUGGGCCCUUAGAGCAGCGGCCAGGGAGGGGCCCUCUUGGCCUGACACCCCCGAUUCUCAGAAAAUAAGACUACAAGAGCCACUCUGCAGGAAGCAGCCUCGCGCCUGGCAUAACACCCAGUUAUGACCGCUGGGGGAGCCGGAACCUGGGUUAAACUAGGGCCUGCUUUGGAAGUGUGCGACCCGAAAGCUUGGAUGCCACAGUUGACUUCAUGCUCAGCUGUGUGAAAAUCCUUAACAUCACUUUCAGCGUGGGGCCUUGAAGUUCAGUUUGGAGAGGACUGAGAGAGUCUCCUAGCUGGCCUUGGUUAGAAAAAUCCAGAAGUCCCUCGGUGAUACCUGAGAAGUGCAAGUCCCCGGGGGAAGUACGUGGCAGUCCAGGGUGGUCCCCGUGGGCAGAGCGUGCAGGGUCUCAUCUGUCUUCCAGGGACAGGAUCUUUCCCAGUCUUGUGCUGGGCCUUGGGGGCUGCCUCUGUUUACCUCUGCUGUUUACCGAUGUAGAUAGCUGUACUUUCCUUCACAAAAGGACGGACGGCUUUCGGAUGGUAGAUUCUCUCAAGCAUGCUGAAGGAACAUAUUUUGGGGCAGCUUGUUUUUGUAUCCCAUGAAGUGUGGUCAGGAAAAUGAGAGAGACUGUGUGGGAAGCUCCUGGAGCAGUAGUGAAUAGCUCUUCUUGUAACACAGAUGCGUUCAAUUUUCAUUUUCCUGCCUUAAAGAAAGUCUUCAGGGGUGUGGUAGUCAGCUUCCUGUCACUGUAACAAAACCCCUGAGUCAGUCAGCAUAAACAAACAAGUUUCGGCUCCUGGUUUGGGGUCCAGUCCAGGCGAGUUGGCCUUGCAGCUCUGGCCUUGCAGGGCUCCUCACUGCCCCAGGCCGUGGUGGUCAGGGCUCUGGUGCCACCUGUGGCUGCUGUUUUUAAUCUCUUUGUGUCUUAUUCCCCAGGGGUGUGGUGAGCCCCUGGCAUAUGGGGCUUGGUGUGGUCCCAGGUCCCUGGGCUGCACCGUGGCAUGUAGCAGCCCUGUGGCUGUGGGUUACCAACCAAUGUGAUCCAGGAACCAAAUCCAGGGCUGCUUGUUUUCCGUCCACACCUCCUGCUCUGCUCCUUCAGCCCGGAACUGCAGUGUGGUUUUGCAUUUGAGCCAGGAAGAAAAAACAUCCCUUCUCCCCUGUGCUUGUUUGUUUGUCUGUUUGUUUUGCAGCAGCCUCACAGUUGUGUGUUGGGACUGUUUGUUUACAUGUCUGCCUGCGCUGGGCAGGCACCCUGGGCCAGGAGAACCAAAGAAGUGGGCUUCACCCCCUUUCUCUCUUCUGUGCCCCAUGUGUGGACUCCAUGCAGAUAAAGAGGCACUUAGGAAAUAUUUGUCAAAUCAGUGGAUCCUGGAAAGCCCACACUUUUAGGGCAGACAAGGAGACAGUGGGAGCUGCCUCUUAACUGGGAAAACACUUUAUUAGGUCUCUAUGGAUCAGUUAGAAACUAUGCAGUUGGAUAUCUUUUAUGGUCAAAGGAGAAAAUCAAGAUAAAAUGCUUAAUUAAAAGCAGAAACUCACGUUCCCCUGGUGGGGAAGGCAGGGCGGUCUGGGCCGGCGUGUAGGCAGGUGGCCAGACUGACGGACAGCCACAGAGAGCAGAGAAGAGGCUGCAGAGGGGUCGCCAAGCAGCUGAGACGGGAAGAGGCGCUCCAGGGCGAGGCCCUGAAGACGUUUCUUGCUCUUGUUAAUGCGGACGCCACUUGCUUGUGAACUUGUGGUGUUAACCUGGCAUGGGGUGCCCGGCUCCCGCCUGCUCAGCAUCACGGUGCUGCCUGCCGAGGACAACAGCUGGUGCGGAAGAGGGCAGUGAUGCCUCAGACAGCGGGUGGGCUGGAUUUGGGACCUGUAGGACUCCAGUGGCCCGAGGACCAUCUCAUCCUGGCCACGGGGUCUCCUUGGAGUCCUGGGGUCUGUGCUCCCCUCUGACCCGGGAGUCUGUGGUCCCCAGGCAGCUCCUCACCUGUAGCGUCCAGGGGUACAGUGGGGAGACAGGCAAGGCCAUCUGCGGCCAGGCCCCGCCAACCUGGGUUGUCCAUGUUCUGGGUGGAACUGACUUUGAAUCCCAGAGCUGCCACUGUGUGGUUCUAACUCGAUGCCCAGAUUCACUUUCUCAUCUGUGUUCCGGGUGAGAUUACAUGAAAUAAUGUGUCCCGAGUGUGGAGCAGGAGCUUAACCAGGACUGUUAGUGCUGAUACAGCUAUCUCUAUUCGGGCACUGGGUUGGAGGGCUGAGCUAUUCACUGUGACUGGCGCCCUGCUGCGCCUCUCACUGAGUGCUAGACUUUGGUAUGGACAUGUGUUCCAUGUGGCUCAAUGGGGGGUUCUUAUAGAAUCAAUGGAGCUUUUGUUUUCAUUACUGCAAAGAGAGUACAGGGUCUUUGCUCUGAACCCUGUUCCCAGCUCUUUAUUUUUUAUCUCAAGACAGGGUCUUUCUACUUCACCAAGUUGCUUGGGCCAGGUUCAAACUUAGGAUCUUCCUGCCUCAGCCUCCCAGCGUUCAGGGGUUACACCUCAUAACACCAUGCCCCACUGGAUCAGUAGCUUUAUGUCUGCCUCCUCCUCCUACAGGGUGAAUUUUCCAUACCCAAAAUUCUUGCUUUGGACCCAAAAUGUUUCGGGUCAUGGAUUUUUUUUUUCUGAUUUCAGAAUACUUUCAUAUACAUAUUUACAUAUUUACAUAUACUUGAGCUGGGGCUCAAGUCUACACACACAAUUCCUCUGAACAGACCAAAUACAUGUAGCCUAAAGGUAAUUUAUACAAUAGUUUAAAGCUUUGUGCAUGAAACAAACUUGUGACAUCAAGGCUGCACUCAAAAAGCUUUGGAUUUUGGAGCAUUUUAAAAAUUAAUUAAUUACCCAUAAAUAAUUUAAAGCAGGAUCUCACUAUGUAGUGCAGGCUGGCCUUGAACUGGCUUAUUUAGUCCAGACUGGCCUUGAAUUUAUGGUGAUCCUCCUGCCUCAGCCUCCCUAGCGCUGAAAUUUACAGGCCUGCCUCACCGUGGCCAGGUAUGGAAUGUUUUAGGUUUUGGAUCUUGGAAUUUUCAGUGUGCAGUGCAUCACCUAGGGCAGUGGUGGCAACCCAUGGCACACGUGCCACAGCGGGCUGUUUGCAUCAUGGGAAGCUCUGAAAGGCGCGCCCUGCUGACCCAUGGGGUCCAGUUUUGGCUUCUCUAAUAUGGGCUGGAAAUGCCCCAGAAGAUGCGUGCCAGUGCUGAGAGCGGAGAAGUCCCCCAGCUGUGGUAACUGAACCCCAGCCGUUCACACUGAGGGCUCAGGCUGUGGCUUUUUCGGGAGGAUGGAAGUAACUGUAUUUUCCCUUCCCAAGGAAUAUGACUUAAUGUUCAUAGAAGUAGUUACUCUCUUUUCAUAUAUUCAGUUUUAUCAAUAAAUUUUUAUAAAAUUAGCAUAUAUAAUUCUAAAACCAAAACCAAAACAAAAACCCCAGCAGCUGUGAUUUGAGGCGCUUUGGGGGCCCAACUAUACCGGCCAUUGAUGGCAGAGGAACCUCAGAGGGACCAGAAGUGCCCACCUAGCCAGGGCCAGCCCAGGGCCCGACAGGACCCUUCCAGAGGGGACAGUGAGGACGAAGCAGAGCACAGCGUCCUGUGAGUCCCUGGAGUGGAGCUGGGCUCAGAAGUGUCACACUGAGGUUUGUUCACGUGCUGCCUUACAGUCACCAUAAACACCUUCCCCCAGCCCAUUCUGUUUCAUUUCGACAUGGGCAAGGUGAGGCCAGACAGGUGGGGUAAUGCGGUGUCACCCCUUAGCACGAGGAAGUAAUUUCACUAAGGGAGGACUGGGAAUAAAACUCAGAAUUUUUGGAGCCCAGUAUGUCUGUUGUCUUUCACAUGUGUCUGGAGAGCAGUGGCGGAAGCAAGGCUGGCUUUAUUCAGAUCCUUCCCGUUUUCUUAUAGCAAUUGGUGGAAGCCAUGGAGCGUGUCGGGAAUGGUCGCAUGCCGUGUCCAUUCAGAGGCCUAUCUUAGUUACUUUUUACUUGUUGCUGAGACAAAAUACCUGAUGCCCAAAGUGGGAAAGGAAAGGUUUAUUUCUUACAGUUCUUGGAGGUUUCAGUCCAUACUCAGGUGGCUCCAAGGCAGGGUGGCAUGGUGUGGCCGCAGUUCAUGCUGGGUUCUCCGCCAUCAGGAGCUGGAGAGCAUGCCGGUUGGGGUUCUCUAGAGCGAAAGAAUCUGUGGGGCAUGAGUGUAUAAGAUGCAAGGACAUUGAUCCGUAGAUUUAUAGGAUCAGAGGUGGGAGAGUCCAGAACGGCUGUUAGUGGUCUGGAGAAGCAGAGAUUCUGGCAGGUGCUCAGCCCAAGAAGCUGGAAGCCGGGGAACACCAGGGGUCGGGGCGCAGCACCAGCUCAAGGUCGAAGGCACAGAAGCUCCCUGGAGAGUCACUGGUGUGAGUCCACAUCGGAGGCCGAAGAGGCUGGCUCGGGUGGACACUGCCACUGGAGCAGAAAGGAGCGCUUCCAAACUCGUGCAUUCGGCCUCCUCCUUUUCUGUCCAUCUGGGCCACAAGCCCAUCGGACGAUGCCGCAGUGGGCCGUGGAGGAAGCUGUGGCCAGUGCUGGAAGUGAAGGGGAGCAGGGCAGCAGGGCUCCUAGGAGAGGGGCAGGCGCCCAGGGUGGAGGUCCUUGGCUGGCUUUGUUUGUUUCCAAAACCACGGCCUCAAACACUGGGUCUGUGUGCAGCAUCUCGUGUCCAGAGAGGCGGUUCUUGUUAUCAGGGGAAGCAGCCAGGAGUCAAGGCCUGGCCUCAGGGAAGUCUGGAAAACUGAACCCAUUUCAGCAGGCACCCAGACAUACGAAGCCAGGAUGGGCAAGUGCCUCAGAGGAGUUCCCACCCUUUGGGCUGAGCACUGGACACUGUGCGAACACACUUCCUUCCCCACAGGGCGUAGGUGUCCAGAAAAUCCUCAUGUAAAGGGGUUCUCAUCAUCUUUGGACCUUUAAUGCAUCAGAUUUUUGGAUCUGCUUUAAGCAGAGCACACAAAGUCAAAGGGGAUGGGGGUGAGGACCAAAAGACCACGUGGUCUGACUCUCACGAUGAGCUCAAUUUACAGAGAAGUUUCAUAAAGCAGAGGGCACCGGCUGGGUUGAUGUCAUGAGCUCCCAGAUGCCAGCAUCUGAGCGGGGGGAGAGGACAGCGUGCCCACGUGCAGCUCGGUUUAAGGCCACGUGUUUGUGUAGGGCGAUGAAAGGUAUCAUUCUGCACGGGAAAAGAUGCCUUCAGCUAAGGAGUGGGGAGCUCGUUUGGGAAUCCGGUGUGUACGUUUUUUUCGAAGGUAUGCUGGGAGAUGGCCAGCAGGUGAAUGGAUCUGGCCGUAAAGCUCCGAGGUGGACCUGGGCCCUGGGCUGGUGGGGGGCGCUGUAGGGCUGCCUUCUCUCCUUUCCAGGGAUGCCUCCUAGCCCUGGCCCUGACUCUCAUGUGCAGAGGGAGGGGCAGAGAUGUAGAAGGCUACUUCCUGGCUCAUGGAUCCAGACACAGCACUCCGGUCUGGAGAUGAAAAGACUCCUUUGGCCUUCAAGGGACUUGUAACAGUGCCUAUAGCUUCACAUGUGGUAUCGAGUGCCAUGGCUGGGAGAGGGACAUGGGCCCAUUGUCUGGAGGAGGUCAGAGGAGGAAGCAUGGCUUUGUAGCUGGGUGCUGAGGCAUUUUGAAAGCAGCUGUCAGGCGGGAGAGCAGGAAAGGAACCUGCCUGGGUGGAGCACAAAGGAGCAAAAAGGAUAAGGCCUCUGGUGUAUGGUGAGGAGUUCGUUCAGCUGGAGCAAAGGCUUAGCGGCCUAAGGGUGUUUUGGGAAAUGAUAUUUUAUUCUGCAGAACCCAGCGUAUCAUUUCAGGAUGUAAAUGGCUUCUGUGCAGGAAGGUAACUUGGUACGGAGACCAGGACUCCCAAAUGCGCCUCCAGUGAUCCCCAAGGACUGUGUGUUUGUCCUCUUUACCUCUGCUUGGGCUGGAAAUCAACCCUCAAAGGGUCCAGGCGAGGAGAGGCAGCAGCUGGUGAUCCUGGCCCUGGAAUGGGCAAGCCGAAUUCUUUGUGAAGAAUCCCUGUAGACGCUUAGGUUCGUUUUUACCCCAAGACCUUGCGCUCCCAGGGAGUGACUCAUGGCAGGAGAGACUGUGGCCUGUGCUUUCCACCACAUCCUGCGGGCUCCUAUGGUGGCUGCUCCUAUGGGCGUUGCGGGGGACCUGGCCACCACCCUUCCUGCUCCCUUGGAGAGGGACCCUGAGGUGCCUACAGGUCUCUGGUUGUGGAUAGGCCAGGGUCUGGCUUUUCCCGUUGCAGCCCUGAGUCUGAGUGACCCCUGUGCUCUGCAGGGCACAGGCAGCAGUGGGUGUGGCUGCUGAACCUUUGGCUCCUCCUCCCUCCCUCCAGGCAGUCAUUGGUUCUGGUAGCCAAAGAAGGCUUUGGGGGGGGGGGGGAGUGGAAAUAAAACCAAACUCCUAUAGGCCUGGAGUUGGUGAACACAGACUGCCUGGCUAAGCCGGGCCCAAGUCUGUUUUUUUUUUUUUUUUGUCUUUUUCCUUUUUAUCGGUACCAGGGAGGAACUCAUGACUGUCUGCUUGUAAGGCAGGCGCUAUGCCACUGAGCUAAAUGCCCAGCCCUCCAAGUCUGAUUUAAUAAACCGAGUGUGGAGCAGCCCUCCCUGUCGCCUACACAUUGCCGGUGACCACUUCGUGCUGAGUUGCAGGAGGUGCUGAGUGGCAGGAGAGGUUGUAACCCUUGCAAAUGUGAAAAUACCCACCCCAGGCCCUUUGUAGAAGCCGUGAGCUGACUCUGGUCUAAGUCUAAGCUGCAGGAGGGCUGGGGAUGUCAGGGGUGCUGGGCAAGUUCCGAAUGAAUGAAUGGGUAGGUGGAUGCACUAGUGGGGUGGGGAAAUACGAGCUUAUUCAGUUUGUGUACGUUUCACAGCUGACAUUUUUUUACCAGCCUUUUUUUUUUUUUUUUUUUUUUUUUUUUUUUUUACCAGGAUCAAACUCACGACCUGGCGCUCACUAGACAAGCGCUUGAGCCGUUGAGCUAAAUCCGGGCCCCACAACCAACUUUUGUGAUGCCCUUCAGCUCCCAGCUUCCCCUUCUAUAAAAUGAGAGCCGAGUCCUUACGAGCAUGGCAGCACUUCGGCAGCACUUCUCAGGGCUGCGCCUCGGAUUAUAGCUGGGGUGUUUAAAGUGCUGUAAGAAGCAUAACUGCCCUCCGAGAAGCUUUAUAGGUGUCGAGCACUCUAUUAAGACCUUUACUUUCAUUACCUUACUGAGUCCUGGCAGCCACCCUGGUGGCCACCCACUGCCAGAGAGGGAUUCCUGACCCGGGUGUAGGUGGAGGAACCAAUCCAGAGACGCCAGGGCUUCUGCUAAGGUCACACAGCCGGUGAAGGUCCAGUGUGUCCAGUCCAUGGCCUUCCACCAGCCCCUGCUCCAGGUGCUGGACAGAGCGCCCACCCUCUAAAAGAGGCAGCUAUUGAUCUGUGAGGGGGCUUCAUUGAAGGAGGUAAGUGGAAAUCCCAAUCGUGUAAAUACUGUCCUUUGGAAAAUGCGAAAUUGCUCUCAGAGAGGGGCGUGGUGCCAGCCUCUCCUUGGCACCCCGUCCGCUGUGCUCUUCUCUUGAGCUGUAGGGAGCUGGGGCUCUGUGUUUGUGUAGCAGCACUGGAGGUAAAGGGAACACAUUCAAGCACUGCUCCCCUGGGGAUGUCACCCUGGAGGGAGGACCUCCCGGGGCCCAGUGGCCCGCAGACACUGGGCACCUGUCGGGGCUGGAAGGCCUCGGAACCCGGAUCCUAGAGCUUCACACACAGCGCUUUUGGUGUGGUCAAUACAUGUGUCCUCCAGAGUGUGCAUGCAUCAGUCGGCGUGAACCUCAGCACACACUGCCCUCCUUCCUCGUGCAGGGCUGCAGCGAGCAGGUUAUCAGACGGGGGACUUCAGAGGUUGAUGUGUGUGGCCCCACAGUUUUGGGGGCGGAGUGCAUGGCCAGUGUGACCUGUGUGGACCUCAGGGCCUUCUGUGACUGGCAGAAGAGCUGGGAGCCACAGCUCCAUGGAAGGUGGGACUGCCUGACGAAAACAAAGAAGAUCUACUUCUUUUACUCUGGGAGAUGUGUCUCCUGAAGGUCGCGAGUUAUUCUUGUUCUCAUGUGUAGCUGCAUCCCAUGGUUGUACCUGGCUGUGUCGCUGGUCUUUCACAGGACAUGUGGCCUUGCACCGAGACUUUCUGCUCCCCAGCGGCCUUCUCUGUCGCCUCCCCUGUGUCUGAUGUCCUCCCUCUCAUCUUUGUGAGCUGCUUGGGUGGCUGCAGCAGCCCCAGGAGUUUCUGUGAACGUUUUGCCUUCGGGGACUGAGGCAGCUUGAGGCAGGCUGGGGUCAGAGAUGCCAUCUGCUUUUGUUUCCCCAGACAAAAUCGGCCAGAGCCCCGACGAACACAGGCACCUUUCAUGCCCUUUGGUGAGGGGACUAGAGGUCAGGCCUUGCAUUGCAAUGUUCGACCCGGGUGACCCCUCAAACAGGUUCCCCGUCUUCCCCUUGAUGUGUUGCAUAUGCCUCAGGCGACUGCUGAGGAGGCUCCGGACUGCUGAAGGGCCCAGGGCAGAGGCCGGGACCUUUCCUAGCCUCUGAGGACCACUGUGUUUCGCCGCCACUGUCUCUGUCCUCCGGGCUGGGAGUUCGGGUCCACUCAGCCCCUUUCCUCACUGAAUCCGUUUUCCCCUGCCACUUUGAUCUCUUCAGAAAAAAGCACCAGGCACUGGCAGGGUGCCUGCUGGCCUCUGUGUGUUUGGAGAUGCGCUGUAACCCAUAGUUGAUCUUUUGGGUCACCUGAGACAGCCUGACCAGGGUCCUCCAGCCUGCUUUAUUUGAGAAACACUGUUGGCCAAGGCUUUCGGAUCUGGAGGCGGAGCUGGGGGGACGCCAAUAAUCAUGCUGACCUGAGCACCUUAUACCUUGGAUGGUGUGCAUGUCGGAUAAGCGGCUCUGCUGUUUCCGAACCUUGGUUGUCUUUGUUUCUUGCUGCUGGCUAACCGCUGUGUGUGGACUUGCUGGGGAACAGGGGCCUGCACUUCCCUUCCGAGGUCAGGAAAGAAAACGAGGAGGAGGAGGAAGAGGAAGAGGAAGGAGGAGGAGGAGGAGGAGGAGGAGGAGGAGGAGGAGGAGGAGGAGAAGGAGGAGGAGAAUAUGUGGCUGUUAUACACCAUGAUGCCACCCUUGGUCACAAGGGGAUUUUGCUUCCAAACCAGGGUUCCUUCUGUGGGUCUGCGUGGAGGGUGGGGUUGUGUCUUUCCCCAUCACUGUCCCUGGCAGCAGGUGAUGGUCACAGUGCCAGCAGAAGAGGUGCACUUGCUGUGCACUGCGGGUGCUGCUGCCCUGGGAGGACGGAGGUGGGUGAGGGUCCUUAAGGGGACGUUUGCAAAGCACUGCCUGCCUUGGGCUUCUGAUCCCGUGUCUCACAGUGCAGUGGGCGGAACCGGGCCACUCUCUCGGAGGAAGUGGACUCUGCAUUUCCUGCCUGCCUGCCUGCCUGCACCCUGGCUUCUGGCUGGAAGGCUGCCCUGAACGAGGAGGUGGUGGUUUCGGCAGCCCCUCCUUCCGGGGGCGCUGAUGUCAGCCCUGAGGUUCCAGCAGACAGAGGAUGCGCCUGGGGCUGGGAAGCGGGCCGUGUGCAAAGCCUCCCUGGAGAUUCUGUGGAGUUUUCAUGAAUCUCUCCUCACCUCCUUCCUCCAGUGUUCCCAGGGCUGGAUACACAUAAACCAUGCCAGUGUUUUGGAAGAUUCAGGUCUGACCACCAUAAAUUGGUUCAUAUUUCCAGCAGGGCAGUUAUUUAAUUUCCUGUUGGAAGUCUACAAAUGUUGGCACUGUUUGCUCUUUGGCAGAGGCCCAAGACCCGGUACAGUGUAAUUAGCAAACGCUGGUGCUGAGAUGAAAGCGCGCCUGUCUUUAAUAAGAGGCCGUCCCUGUCAGGAUGGGCCGGGCUGUGCAGGGAGUGUGGGGUUUCUAGUCCAGGCCGAGUGUGCGAGGGCCGGGUGCUCAGGGAAGGGUUAUCCGGAGGCCAGGACUCCGUGUUCUCCUCCCACUGUGCUUGUUUAGUUUACUUUGACAGCAUCGGGUGAUAUGGGGACUGUCCUAGUCUGUGGCCCUGUGCCCCUUUUCUCUUGUGACUUCCCCUGGCUGGGUCUGGACCUGGAAGCCUUGUCCUCAGGCUGAGGAGAAGCGCAGGGUCCCCACAGAGCCCCUGGAAUAACGGGACUUGAGGGCUUGGUGUGCCCAGUGCCGAGGCUUUGUUGGGUCAGCACCUGGCACUGCCCGGUCCAGUCUCUGCAAUUGGCCCUGAGACCGUGCUUUCAUGAGCUUUCAAGGAUGAGCUCCCCCCGUGCAAAGGAGGACCUGUGACACCCAAGCCUUCUAGCUCAGUGAGGCCCAAUAGUGCCGUGUGGGAAGGGUCUCCCCCUUCUGUGUGCCAUGUCCAUACCCAGGUAGCUUUCCAGGAUCGGCCAGGGUCUGAGUCUUAGGAGAGCAGAGCUCAGACUUGGAGACUUUGCCCAGCUUUGGUGCAGCUCGGAGGACUGCCUGCUUCUCAUCACUCAGCCCUGCCUUUCUCAGCCAAGGCCUCAGCGUCCGCCCCGAGUCUGCCUCGUGUCCUGGAGAUGGGGGAUGGAGCCACGAGGGAAGGGACGGCACCUGGAUUUGAGCUCACCGUUUACUCCGACUCUUCUUGCUUCACCCCUUCUCUCUGUCUGUCCCCUAAGAUGUGUUUGCUUUGAUCAGACACCUCCCCCGGCCUCCACUUCUUCCGUGGCAAUAGCUCACCUGCAGGUAAUAGGUAAUGCAUAAAACCAGGGGGGAGAUUCUGGGCCUGUGGGUCUCCUGUGAAGAAGGGGACAUUUCCAUCGUCUUUAGAGAGAGCCCCAGGUGGACAUUCUUCCGUGUGAGUUCUGUGGUAUAGAGGAUCUGAUAGAAAUAAAGUGGCGAGGUGCUGAUGGUGGUAUAGAGGACGCACACACACAUACACACACACACACAUGCACACACAGUGUAUCCACAUGGUGACACAUGAGGUGCUUUGCACUGUGAACAGUGCUCACUGCCUCCUGAUGACUGUAUCUCAUUAACUUCCUAGCAUUCUCAGUUUUCAGAUGAGCACCCUGAGUCUUAGCAUACCUUCCCAGAGCCAUGUGUGGAGCCUAUGGUGAGUCCCUGGCUUUCCCCAAUCCUCUUCGAGCAUUUGGUUUCAGGCUGUAGAUGGGGACUUAGCAGGAUACUAAUGAGGCAAAGCUGCCAAAGCCUGGAUGAUUGAGGCACAGGAAGUGCCCAGCACUUCUCCAGGAGUGGCCCCGUUGCCCUUGAGGGUCCCCAAGUUGGGUCUGCAGAGAAUGGGAGGGUCUGCCCUGCCCAGGUUCAUAAGAAGGGUUUGUAGCUUUCAGGGUUUCUCAUGACCAGUUCACAUUUAACAAGGAGUCCAAGUGUUGUGCUCAAGCCAUCGGCUGGCUGGUGUUUAUGCGGGGCUUUCCCCUGGGCCUCCCAGGUCCCUGGCCUUCCUGGGAGGAGGUGGCCUCCAUGCUGCUUAUCAGGGCUGGCACAGGUGUGCAUGGACCUUUCUUACGGGACCAAACCUCACAGAUACUCAGUGAUUUUGGCAUUUCCAGGCUGAGUCACACAGGUGUCCUCCCCUGGGUGGCAAAGGAGGCCACCUGAGUGGGCUCUUGGGGGCCACGGCGGGUGCCUGUGGGGACAAGGACAGGCCGUGGGGAGGGAGAAACCAUGAUUGGGCUGUGUGUGGGGUGGCGGCCUGGAGGGGCGAAAAGUGCCCAGGACUCCGGUUCCCAUCCCAGCUUUGACCACAGCGGCGGAACUGCUCAGCUUCCUGGCCCGAAAGUUUUCAUCAUGACUUGAGGAGUAAAUUUACAGAACAUAUGUAGCCCUUCAAACAGAGCUCAUAUGAAAAGAAAGGGAUGCACGCCUGUGAUUCCAGUGCUCGGGGAGGCUGAGGCAGGAGGAUGGAAAGUCUGAGUGCAUCCUAGGUAAUGUAGCACGCACUGAGCUUGUGGCCCUGGGUCCAAUCCCCGGUACCAAGAGGAAAAAUAAUAGAAAGAAAGAGGAAACUGAGGCGGUUUUGAUGUCCCAGAGGCAUCUGAAUGUGUGGCAUAAUCCACUUCUGAAAGUGGCUUAAGAAUGUUACCACAGACUUCUAUCCAGGCUUCAGGAAGCAAGGCUGAACCUGGACCACUUCUUUCUUUUCAUAACGCAAAAGCAGUGAACUCAUUAUGCUGGAAUUUCCAACUUGUUUGGUCAGAUGUCGUUGGUGAGAUAUGAAAAGGUUGGUGUCAUCUGGUUGAAGUUCCAGUUGGCGAGGACCCGGGGUGGAACUGUUAAGCCAGGUGACAUGUUGGGAGUAUUUGGAAUAUUGUAACAUUUGGUGUGCUCCGAGACCCAGAUGAUGAGGUUAGGGUGUUCCGGUCCCCUGGAACCGCCUGAGCUGUUUCUGUACACCUCCCUGCUGCUGCAGGUCAUGAGGAAUCAGGGCUCAGUGAGGCUGACGUUGGAAAGCGAGGUCACAGUCGCGCACUGUCACAGGCUUUUAUGCUGUUCCUGUGUGGAGGACAUUUUAGAAAUCAGGGGGAAGGAAACUGCCCCGGGAGAAUCAGCACGUUGGACUCCAGCACCUGGAAAGUACUUCUGGUCGCCCUUCCUCUCCGCUGCCAUGCUGUGCAGUUCUGCAGUGUACAGGUGGAGGUCAGUGUGAGUUGUGCAGGCAGAAGGGGCUUUGUCGGCCUUGACCUUAAGAAGCACUCCAAGGUCAGAUGAGGGCCUGGUGUGUCCCCUGCUGGGAGUGGUGCUGUAGCAAUGGCGUGAAAGCUUCUUGAGUGUUUUCUUGUUUACUGUUUAUGACACGCUUUAUGUAAGAUCAGUGCUUCUGUUACUGUUCCAUAGGUGGGGAGCAUGAGGCAUGGAGGUGCUCUGUGCUGUGUCUGAGGCAGGGCAGCUGGGAAGAAGCAGCGAUGCACUGAACUCAGGACUUUGAUCCCAAGCUCCUUGAGGAGUCUGGUGUGUCCGCUUGCCGUCCCAGUGGGCCUUUUAGGUUCCAGCUUAUGCUGGGAGAGGGAGUUCCGAGACUACGCAUUGUGCUUGGGUCAGGAAUGGUCCACUGCAUAAUUUCUGUACACACCAUAGCACCCUUUCUUUACCUUUUGAUGACUUCAGGAGUCCAGUUCCUGACCCCAACAGAGCCAGGGACAUCUUGUUGGUGGCUGGGUCUGAAUGCAGAAGACGUGUACCACCUGUCCUCCCUAUUCAUUUGGCAGUGGCUUCACCUUCUUCAGAUCGAGUUGGUGGCCUUGAUUUAAAGACUUUUAAAACAGUUGCACCCCUGAUAUGGAUCUGGUAUCCAUGGCAAUCACUGAAACUUUUCACUGCUGCACUUGGAAACAAACCGUAGUAAGUCUGUGCGUUGGCGAUCAAUGACUUCUGCCAACCGAAAGCUCCUUGGACCUUGAUUUUGAGUCAAGACCUCAUGAAUGCCCUGGCCUGGGAAGAGGAAACUCUGUCUCCUUGGACUGAGCGCAGGUCUCUUGGGGGCUUAGAUCAACGAGGAACCCCUGAGGACCUAGGCAGAGCCACUGGGCUGUGUGUCCUCUGGCCUGAAACCCAGCAUGGCCUGCAGUUAUGAGAAAAACAGAGAGACCCAUCGCCCCCUGGCCCGACACUGGGCAAGAGCCCCAGCCAGCAGGUCAGCUUGGCCGAGGGAGAAUGGAGCUUAAGUAAAACCCCAGCUGGGCUGAGGAGCUUAAGUCUUGCUGCUGGUGAAUUAUCUGACGGCUUUCUGUCUCCCUGUGUGCCUGCCACUGAGUGGGGUCAGCUUGGGAGCCCCCAUCAUCACGCUGGUCAGGGUGAUCUGGAGUGCCCUGCUUUGUAUACCAGGCGGCUUCAUGAAGCGUCACGUCCGAUGCAGCGUUCUUUGGGGAGGCAGAGGCAGUGUGUGAAUGUGCCUCGGAGCAUGUGGUGCUGGGGCCUUGGGAAUGAGCUGGCGGCAGCUCCUACAGCAGGACGCCGCCCCGCGUCCAGUGCCAUCCAUGCUUGGGGACUCAGGGACACAGAGACAGUGAGACCUGGGACACGUGGGGGUCUGUGAAGGCAGGGACUUAUCUGUUCCCUUCACAGAGGGAGCCGUGAUCCCAGGAACAAUGUCCGAGACCAGGUGGACACAAAGUAGGUGUUUGUUGAGUGAGCAGAGCUCUCUGCCCUGGAGACUCUCUGCAGAGUUCCUGUGUAUCAAUCCACUAGUCAGUGAAUGAAUUCCUUUAUUCUACCUGUGUAAGUAUCCUGGGGACAUUGAUUUUGUUUUUUUAAAAACUGAACUGAGGAUGUGUUUAUUGUAGAAAAGAGCAGGAAAGUGAAAAGAAACACAGUGAGGAGAUAAUAAUGACUUUCGUGUAAGCUUGUACCCUGCAUGAGGUGCUGCAAAACUUCUAUGUAAAUAUCCAAUGAGAUAAAGUGGGAGUGAGCAUGAGCUGUGAGUGUGAACAGCUUUGGGUAGCAAAUUGCAUGGGGUCCUACUGAAGUUUCUUACUCCCUUUUGUUGGACAUUGAGAUUUCCUUCUUUUCUCUCCCGCUAUCUGUCCUGCUCACCUUUCUAGUAUACACAGUGGUGUGAUGAUCUGUAAACUGCUGUGCAAUGCACUGUUAUUUUCGAUAUAACUGUUCAGUUCUGUUCUUAGCACAAAGGCAACCAUGUACCAUUUGGAAACAAAUGGCCUGCGGCCUGCGUUCCAAUAAACAUUUAUAGAACUGAAAUUAAGAUUUCAUAUAACUUUCACAUGUUACCAAAUGUUACUCUUCUUUUGAUUUUUUUUCCAGUCAUUUAAAAAUAUAGAAACUGGGCCAGUAGCACAGUGCUUGCUUGGCAAGCGUGAGGUCAUGAGUUUGAUCCCCAGUACCAAAAAAAAAAAAAAAAGUAGAAACCAUUCUUAAACUUGUAAGUCCUACAGAAACGUAGUGAGUGAGUGGACCAUGAACUGCAGGCUGGGAUCGCAGAAGUACUAUUCUUGAAGCAGAGUGAAGCCAAAUUUUGCAAAAAUUUGUAACAAUGUGCAGAAUGGAUGAAUCAAAAUGAAGAACAGAGAUUGGGGUGCGAGUGUAUUUAUCCUGACUCUUAAUGGCUUGACUACAUAGUGUUAGUGUCUUUAAUUUCUAAAGCAUGUUUUAUCACAUAUUUACUCAUACAAAAAUUUCACAUGACAUGUAAAGAAGGGAGAUCUGCUCUCAUGUUGUUUGUCAGUGUUUGACAUUUUUUUCAGUCCUCAUGUUCAAGGAGGGGCUCGCACAUGUGUGAGAUCUUUCUGCAUAAACAAUGUUGGAUCCUGCUUUAUGUCUCUCAAUACUGUAUGCUGAGGAUUUCGCAGUGUUUUUGAAAAUCCUCACGUAAACGGAAACCCUAGUAAGACUACUGCGCAACCAUGGAAUGGCUUAAGGUAGAAAAGUCGGCAAGGCUGGGGAGAAACACAAACCCUCACGCGUCGCUCGCAGGAAUACUGAAUAGUGCACCACUCUGGACAACAGUUCGGCAGGUCCUUAAAUUAACAUGAACAGACCGUGUCGUCUGUAGCUUUGCUUCCAGGUGCUGACUCCCAAGAAAUGAAAGCAUGUCCACACAACGGACACGUGCGCGUCUGAAGUGCCCUUAUUUAUAAUCGUUUCCAAAGUGGAGGCCAGAUGUUCGCCCAAGGAGUGAGCAAACUGUGGCAAAUCCUUACAGCAGGUUAGGACUCGGCGAGGGCAGGGAGAGGAAGGCUGCACACAUAGGCCUCAGAGGUAUGGUGUUCCAGGCAGGAGGGGGACACUGGAUGCACACUGUUGGGGUCUACGUGUGCUGUGUUUCUAGAGCAGGCAAGAUGUUACAGUUAGAGAGCGAAUGGGAGUCUGCUCCCACUGCAGUAGGAAAAGGAAUGACUACUAAUGAUACCAGAAGUUUCGGGGAUGAGAGACAAGUUCUUUUUUUCCCCAGUGCAUUUUUUAAGAAUUAGUGCACAUGGGUUACAUGGGUCAGUGGGUUUCAUUUUGGCAGAUUUAUACGCACACGUGACACGCUUUAAUCACAGUGAUCACACUCCUGCGUCGUUGAUACUUUUUUCAGUCCUCAUGUUCAUGGGGCUAUAAUCAGAGCCCUGGAACUGUACACUAAGUCACCAAGUUGUGAACUGACAAUCGAAAGGUACACCUGAGAUGGGUGAGGUAUGCGAAUUACAUCUCCAUUGCUUCUUAAAUGUUUUCUUGGGGCACCGAGUUCUCCCAUUGCGUACGGUUUCAUUCUUGGUCCUGUGUGAUGGGAGGACAUACCGUGAUUACUUCCUUCAGCCAGAAUCCACACAGUAGGUGAUGGUUGGAUUGAACCAGUCACUCUGGGAGGAACCCCUACUCAGCUCUACCUUCUCCCUGGGAAAUUUCAGAGAGGCACAGGAGGCCCUUGGCUGGGGACCAGGGCGAGGGGCAGCGGCCCGCAGUGACCAGCAGCGAGCAGCAGUAUCCGAGCCUCUGGCCCUGUCCCCGCCACCUCCCUGCUCUUUCUUGUGCUGCUUGGUUGGAAGUCAGCGAGGACGGUAUGUGGGGUUUGGAGGUGGCCUCCUGGUGACAGAGGCGCCUGGAGGGACUGUACUCUGGACACCAGCAGCUCUGCUCCUUAGUCCGCAGUUGCCAGGCUGAUGCACCUUCUGGGUGCUUUAGUCUUUGGGACAUCAUCUGGGUUUUGUGCUUUGAGGUGCAAGGGCUGGGCUUGUGACAGCAAGAUGGAGGCUGGAACGCUUUUCCAGCUGAGAGCUGAGAGAGCUUGCUGUGAAAUGACAAACCAUCCUUCUGCGGGGGGGCCGGAGCCCCGUUCUUGGUUCUUGGCGGGGCUUAGACGGGGUGCGGUGGGAUUGGCCCCCAGCUCCCCGCCUUCCCUGUUUCCAGCCCAGUCCUGAGUUUUCCUAGAAUACAGCCAGGAGCGCGUGCGCCCGGAGCACACAAAAGGAAAGCUAUGCGGGCCCAGCUCAUAAAUGUUUUUUCCAUUAGUCCCAAGCUUCCCGCUCCGCCAAUAAACGGCACGCUUUUAAAAAUCCUUUAUUAUUUUGUGAGUUUAAAAAAAUCUGCACACUUUUCUCAUUUAUAUAUUUGAGAUUUCUUUAAAAUGUUAUUUUUCAAGCAUUUAUCUGUUUGAUACUCCCAAAAGGUAACAGCAUUCCUGCUUUGGCAUGAAAGAGAGAGAGAGAGAGAGAGAGAGAGAGAUAGAGAGAGAGAGAGAGAGAGAGAGAGAGAGAAAGUGCUGGUAAUAAACAUGCUGUAACUUGAGCCCGCUGGUGGUCUUGGAGGAAGCCCAAAUCCAGGUUUGGUUGAUACUGUGCUAUGUGAAUGCAAUUAGUAGUGGUUUUCUAAAGUGGAAGGAGAUGUAGAAAAUAACGCACAGCAAAUUUAGGUCAGAGCUGGGAAGCUUAUAAACCCUUGCUUUUGUUUUCAUUACUUUAAGUAAUAGGGAAGCUUUCGUCUUUAUUACAUAAUUUCCCCAGCAAGAACACAUUUUCAAGCAUCUGUCUGCCGGUUCCAUACGCCGGGUCGGGAAGCCGAUCCUAAUGCCCGUGCCGAGGCGGCUGGCCAGGUCCACACACAGAGAUGAUGUCUCUGCCCUGGGAGGCCAGUGCCGCCAUUGCCCCCCUGCUCUCGGUGGGGUCUGGUUGAGGCGUGAGCUGACCUUUACCUGUGGGCUGCAUCCGGAUGCACAGGGCCUCGGUCCCACCGCAUUGGGACCUCUGUGACCAUGUGGAGGUUCCCAGGGCCUGGUGGCUCUGGGUGGAGCACGCUAUUCUCUGGUGCACAGUGGGUCUGCAGGAGGCACGUCCUUGCCCUGGCACUGAGAGCUGACUCACCCUGUGGCCGCACCCUCCUCGGGCUCCUCCUUGAGUCUGAACUUGCUGGGCACAAGCCCGCCUCAGCGACUUUGCAGUGACUGUCCUGCUACCUGGGCCCCAGGGGAACGCGGAUCACACACCCGGCCAGUCUCUGUUUGGGUGACAGCAGCUCAGCAAGGCCACACAGGGCCCUUUUCCUCUUUCCUUUUUCCACAGUGCCAUCCCCAGUGUUGAUUUGCCACCUGUACCCCACUGUGGCACGUGAACCCUGUGAGGCCAGGGGCUUCUGUCUGCCCUGGUCCUUGCUGUGAACCUGACAGUUGGGUGAAUGAUGUUCCCAUCCCUGGCCUCAUGGAAUGGGCUGUGUGGGUACUUCCGUGGAUCCUGGGUGUGGUUCCCAUUUGCUCUGGAAGAAGACACGUGUGGAUCAGAUGCAGUGUCCACAUGGAAGCUCUCUCUUGUGUCACAUGUUAUGCAAAUGCUUUGUUCACUUAUCCAUUGCCCAGUCCAGUCUCUCCUGAACAGAGCUUUCUUACGGGACCGGCGUAGAACGGUUUCAGCAAGGGUGCUCAGUGCUGUGCCAGGCGCUGUGCAUUGGUGCCAAGGGCAGCCGGGAGGGAACUCCUGGUCUGCAUGUGGGGUCAGGGCUCUAGGAGGGCUUCCAGGUUGAAGAGGCCUGGAAGGGAAGGUGGAGGGAUAGGAUAGGCUUCACCAAGUGCAGGGUGAUGCAUUCUUGCUCAGAGAGCAAUGCCAGCACCCGACUGGAAGGUGGAAGCCACGUGGCGCUGAGGACAGAAGGCAAUUUGCUGUCUGACCUCUGAUGGUUAGGGAAGUGGCUUGCUGUGCCAUCUGGGGACACAUCAGAGACAGCACCACAGGCUGUGCUGGGAGCCUGGCUUCAAUGCUCGUGGCAGCGGGGAGCUGUGGAGGAAAGGACUCCUGGAAAGCAGUGGUUCUCCCAGACUCCCAUUGGGUAGCGGUGGUCUUGGGGAGCGGGCAGGGGCAGGUCUCCUCAGUCAGCCAGGAGCAGGCACUGGAGCCCCAGGAGGGGAGGUGGGGAAAAGAGUCCCAGGGGCUUCUGGAAAGGAGCUGUAGAGGCUCUAAGGAGUCUGCUGGGUCCUGCUGAAUUCAACAGAUGAGUUUUGGAGAGAGACAGGGAGAGAGAGAGAGAGAAAGAGAGAGAGAGAGAGAGAGAGAGAGAGAGAGAGAGACAGAGAGAGAGACAGACAGACAGAGACAGACAGACAGAGUAGAAGCAGGAACACGAUUUCUGCACAGGCAACUAAUUAUCCGGCAGCACAUAUCAAAGCCUGAAGCGGGGCUGUGAUGCACUAAGGUGCAGGUACUCUCCCCCACCUCAGGCAGGCAGACAGAGCAAGAACAGAGGGGUCGGGAGUCCCAUCUGUGUUUCCAUCCUCAAGAUCCGAGACCCCAGCAGCGCAGCAGCAGUAGGGCGUGAGCGGGCCACAGACCUGGGCCCCUGCUCCCCUGCCUCCGGAGACCCUGCUGCUCUGUGCUUCAGCUUCCUUCUCUGGGAAGCGGAUUUCAUGCCACGCACCUUUGAGUCUCACUCAGAUCCUGUGAGCUCAGCAACAGUCAUGUCUGCUGUGGCACUGGUUUUCAAAGUACAUGUUUGUGCCAAGCGGUUUGAUCCCUCAGGGUUGCAUGCAUUUUGCAUUUACUGGGGGUCAUUUUUACCUAAGAGAAACACUCGGAACUAUCAGAAAGCACCACUCGGACCCCACCCCAGCUACCCCGAGCCAGGUGUGUGUUCACAUCUGGUGAACACCCGCCCGUCUUUUCCCACAGCCCCCUUCCUCUGCUCCCCAACAACCCCACAUGGCCACACUUCCCAGCCCCCACUCAGCCAGCAAAUCUCAGGUCAUUUUCAAGGAAAGCAGCAAGUGGGCUGGAGGUGGGUAUUUAAGCACUGACAGCACCGGUUUUCUUUGAUGCCUGUCUUUGUUCUAAUUUGCUUGGUGCAGCUGGGGCCAUUUUCCCACAAUUUCUAUAGUUUGCGUUGCACAAUUUUGUGCCCAGGGUGAUAUUUUGGGAUUUUCUCUGUUAUGUUAGAAGAGCCAUCUCUAACGCACCUAAUGCGAUUCCUGGUGGACAACAGAGGUAGCUGUUUCAUUAUCAAUCCAGACCCACUAAGUGGGACUUGGGAGCAAUCUCUUUAACUGUGAUCAUUCACUAAACACUUCAUUUAAGCCUUGACUAGCAUUGAAAUGGAGGCGUAAGUGCAGGGUUUUGGUGCUUUUAUCUUUGCUGAGUAUCACUUGGCACAAGAGCAUUAAGGGGCAGGCCAGGGGAUGCGGCUUCCAGCUGUGAGAGGGCUGCACUGGGGAGGAGACUGCUUUGUCUUAUAGGGCUUCAGGACCCAGGGGUGCUGCUCAGCUCUAGGAGAAGUCCUGGGUGGUCCCUGGGGAGUGGGGGCUCCCAGCCUGGAGAGCAGGCAGAGAGGGAUCCAGCUCAGGUUUAAGGGUCUUUUAAGGGUCUUUUUCUUCUUUUUGCAGUGGCGUGCAAAGACGACUGUGUAAGGCCGACCAGAUUAUGUUUCAGACAGAAAGAACCAGUGUUUUCCCCAGCAAUGCUUGGAUGUCUACUUGUCAUUUUUCUUAGCGGUUUGAAAGAAGAGUGAGCUCGUGUGUGUAUGUGCACACUGAUUUCCUUAGUUAGGCCCUCGAGCAGUGAGAAUGUGAAAGAGUGAGCUUCACAAGUGUCGCCAGCUGCCUGCAGCGCAGGACAGUGAAAUCCCAGCGGGCUCCCCUCCUCCUUCCUUCGUUGGUUGGUUUGCCUCUCUUUCAGCACAGGGCAGUGAGUGUCUGUUGCUGAUCUGGCUGAAUGUUCCCUGCCAACGCCCUGAGUCGCUUUCGCCCUCUCUAGCCUGACCAGACUGUUAAGCCCUGGUGACUCAGAGCUGUCCCCACUCUCGGGCCACCUCAGUACAACUGAGAUGCGUGAGCUCAGAAGUGUGGGCCUUUGAGAGGACUGGUGGGACCUGUGGAAAGGGGGUGUUCUAAGUUUGAAAACAGACAACUUUGGGGGAGAGUUAUUGUUGGGCACUCACUAUUAAUUACAGGGCUUUGUUUCUAUAUGAAUAUUUAAGGUUCGAGGUUUGUAUUUGAUGUCGUUAAUAAGAACAGGAGAUGUUUCCUGCAUAUUUGAUUUCAUUAAACUAACUUCCCUCUAGUCAUAGAGGAGCCUUGCUGUAUACAUUGUGAAUCUUAACAACACUACAAAAACCUUAACAAAGUGGAAUUUUAAAGAAUGUUAGAUAUCCUGUUCUGAAUCUUCCAGAGUGAAUGUUACCUUCCCUUCCUUCUAUGAGGGUGGCAAUUGGAAGACUAUGACUGGUACUAGCCUGGGAGUCCUUCUGAUCAACCUCCUGCUUCUACUUAAUCCAUGAUGUCCAUCGAUUCUGUCCUCCGUAAGCCACGGUGCUUCAGACACCGUGGUUCUGUCCACUUUGGUGUUUUUCUCUAUUCCUUAGUUUCUCAUUAUGCAAACAGCUGGGAUCCAGAAGCUGGGUUCAAAUCUUGGCUCUCUUACCAGCUUUGUGCUGUGUGGCAAGAUCUGGGGGCCCUGGUCAUUCACUUUAAACAUGAUGUCAGACACCUCCCACUCCUGGAGCUACUGAUAAAACACCAUGAAGGGGCUGAGAGGGCACCAGACAGGUCGUGGCCACCGCCCUUGCAGAGCUAGAAUCCAUGUGACCGUUCCCAGUUGCUUUUGUGAGCAGGUCACUUUGUUUAGCCCCGGUCUCAGAGCAAAAGAAUUGCUGUUCCUACUUUGCUUGUGCCUGGUUCUGGCCCAGGCCCAGGGGAUUACAGACAGGGGGAAGACAAAGUCUCUGCCUGUAAUGGGUUCCAGCUCACUGGUCCAUUCCUCUGCAGACUACUGCGUUUUGAAAGGCACCAUGUGCAAAAGCUCAAGCCCUGGGGACGAGAACUGAGGUGCCUCAGUCACUAACUGAGUCACAGGUCACCAGGGUGAGCCCAGCUGUCUUAGGGGACGCGGGGUGGAUGAGCACACAGGACAGUCCCUGUCCUCCAGAUGCCACAGCACAGUCUGCUUUAUCUGCAUCCGGGCCAACACGUGGAGCAGGGAGCGGCCUGGCUGGUGAAAGGCACUGUCCCCAGCCCAGAGCAGCCCUACCUGGGGUGCCCACAGGCUGCUGGGCACCAUUGUGAGAAAAUACAUGCUGGGCUUUUUCAGCAUAGUGCUGUCAGCCUCUGUGUGCGCCGGUGUGGUUCUGAUGUAACUCUGUAACACGUAUCCCAGCAGCCAGGCUACAGGUGGUUAGCGUUCGCCCACAGAAGGGAGACAAGGGCACAGAGAUUGGGUAAAAGGUGAAACCUCGUCUGCCUUUGGAGGUGAAUCGCUGAGUCAGCGCCGGCCUGAGUGACGUUGCUUCCUGGGGACAAAGUCAUCUUUUUGCACGAAAAUCUCGAGACAUCAUCACCGCCAUUCUUAGAACUUGUUUCUCCAAGUCAGUAAGAAAGCUAUAUUUACAAGCAACAAGUAGGGUCCGUAGGUGCUGGAAGGCCAGCAGAGUGGGACCUCAGUGGGGAGAGGAGUUACUGUCAGAGGGGUCCUGUUCUCUUCUACCCAGUUUCUUAAAAUUUCCUCCUCGCUGGGGAAUUCUGAGCCGAUGAGUAUCAGAAGUCGUUGCAGGUGGCUCAAGUGCAGAACCUGAGCUCCAGGACCCUAAAAGGGAAAGAAGGGUGGGCAUGAUAGAUUCUCCUUUACCUCACGGCUCUGUGUAGAAUCUGUACUUUUGACAUGGCUGCAAUCCAUAGUUAAAUUCCUAGAGCCCCGAUUCCUUACUCACAGAGCUUAAAAUUGAGAAGGCGAUAGACAGCACCCCAGCUCUUCUGUGACCACGAGUGCUGACUUUGCACCUUUGCAGGGCAACUCUCCCCCACCCCCAUGAAUUCCAGUUUAUUUUGUUGAGGAUGCACUGGCCACUGGGCUGAUGUUGCUAAGGGCUCGGAGCCCUGUCGCCGAAGGAAGCGGGUAUGAGUACGCUUGGGGUUCACGUCAGCCAGCACUGAGACUUUGGAGACCUGACUUUGGUGAGUGGUGGGGGCACGCUGGUGCUGUGACCACGUUACAUACUCACUGGUUUCUCUGUUCCAUUCAGGGCUUUGGGGUUCAAACUGUGCUUCUAGGGUGCAUGUGAGUAACUUUUACUCAAACAAAUAGGCAGUUGGUUGGAUUAGGGUUAGGGUUGGGGAGAGACGCAGUUGGGCCUGACAGGAAGGCCUGACUGGAAUAGACGUGGCCCUUCUGUCUGACCUCACAUCCAUGCGUCCACCAAUCUGUCUGUGUAUCUGUGUAUCUGUGUUCCAAGCAUUUGGAAAGGAAGGAGGCUCCAUGAAGGCUCCAUGGUACGGGGAGCAGCACCCUGGGCCUCUCAAAUGCAGGACCGUGCAGGACUCGAGAAAGGCUGAUGCUUCCAGAAAGGGCAGGGAGAGGACGUCUGGAGAUGGUACAAAUGUCCUGCCUUCUGGCCUCCCUCUUCUGCCUGUUACCUCUGCUUUUUAAAUCAGUUUGUGGUCCUUGGAAGGUGACAGUGAUGUGCACCAAAGACAACUGAGGAAGUGGCAGACCCUGAGAGGUCAGAACUGUUGCACCUCGGCUUGUCUCAAGUGAUAAUCACUUGAUACUUCACUCAGGAUCUUGUUUUACUUUGUGAGUAUUGUUUUUCUUUUUUUAAAAUGCAAUACAUGUGACCACCUUACAUACACUAUUUUGUAUCUGGGUUUUUUCACCGUACUCGUCAGAGCCUGUGUUUGUACGAUGUCACACAGAGCAGCCGCAGCCUACCUAGGUUUAUUUGGUUGGAUGUUUAGGGGAUUUUGCCUCCACUGUCUUUGAAGAUUAAAGGAAACAAAACAGAGUUUUUUUGGUGCUGAGGAAAAUAAACUUAAUCGAAGUCCACAUGGGCAACACGGUGGCUCAUCGGUUUGUUAGGUUAUUUAUGUGGAAAAAGAAGACCAAGACCCCCAGGACUCGGCAUCCCAGAGGAGCAGAUAUAGAAAUGAAGCCCAGUGUUUGGGAGCAGCCUGCAGCCUGGGGAGAGGGAAGAGUGGGGAGAGGGAGCAGUUUUAUCCUGGGAUGCUGCUGGGCCUGAGCUGUGCUGAGUCCCUUCCAUCUCGGGCAGUGUGAUUUUGCCAUGUGCCAUGGGGUGCCCAUGGGGCAUCGGGCUUCACAUUGUCUUGGUCAGCCUUCAGCAUGGGUAGAACAGGCUCCUUGCCAGCUCGGAAAGUACCCAGUGUGUUCUAAGAUCUUUACGAAUAGUCUUCCAGAGCCUGGUACAGUGCUUGUGGCUGUGAGUGGAAAUCAGAUGCUUGCAAAGAUUCCUGUUCUCUUCUUAUGAAAGCGUGUCAUAAAAUCCAUCGUUGGCUCCCGGAAGAGGGUGCUUGCCAGCAUGGGACUCUGGAACAGACAGCCUGGGCUUCUUUCUGCUCCAUCACUGUCUGCUGCGAGACCAUGAGACUUUUCAUCAGGAAAAUGGGAACACUACUAGUUGCUCAUGAGUCAGUCAGAGAAUUUAAAUAAGUUAAAAUUUAACUCGGGUGAUGUUAACUGUCACUGUUUCCACCAGCUGGUAAAAUUCUGAGUUUCUCAUACUUUGAGUCCCUUCGGUGACUUGUGGAGUAGUCCACGCUUCCCUCAGCGAGUGGCGUUUUACAAGUGGUGCUGCCCAUCGGGCUUAGGGCGAUGCCAGCUGUAGCUCCAGGUGGCGGUGCGUGCUCGGUGCCGCGCUGCCAGACCGUGAGCUGUGUGUUUCUCACCGAUCUCUCUGUGCAGAUGAGGAAGCCAGGUUGAUGGAUGUUCAGUAAGUUUCUCAAGGAUCUGAAACUGCUAAACAUGGAUCUGGGAGCUGAAUCCGAGCUGGCAUAUUUGCCAUGAGUUGGAUUUGGAAAUUCUUUUAAGGAAGGAAACUUCUGUUUUUAGAGCCCUUGCAGCUUCUAUUACAGUUCCUUGAACACAGUGGGCUCAGUAAGUUUGCUCAUUUGUGUGUGUGUGUUUGCUUUGUAGUUUAUAUAUUUAUUUUUUGGUUCUGGGGAUCGAACUCAGGACCUUGCACUUGCCAGGCAGGCGCUUAUGCCAUUGAGCUAAAUCCCUGGCCCUUGCUGUUUUAUUCUGUUGAAUGAAUAAAGUCGGUGAACUGGCGGGAGGGAGAACGUGAACCUUUUCUCCAGGAAGAAAAUCUAUGGAGUUGCUUUUAAAGGGCCGUGAGAUCACACGUCUUGGAGUUUGCUCUGCUGCUGUAUUGCACAGGAGAGAACAAUACAUCUAUGAUUCUCUGCAUGUGAAGCUGGCUCUAUUUCCUGUGUAUCAAAUUCACAGACCUUGUGCUCAGAACCCCGAUUAGAGAAACCUGGAUUAGCAUUACUCGGACCAUGGCCAAAGCGUCUUUAACUGAAGGCCGUUCAGCCAGGUCUAGGUCUGCUUUCAGCCUUUUGUUCAGGGGCCAUGUAUUUAGUAUCUGCACAGUGCUAAGCCCUCCGCUAGCCAGUGAGGACUGAUGGUUCUUUGGGCCACUCUGCCUGGGUCUCACCGAGGGGCCCACAGACUUAUCACGAGUUGGACGGAGAGGACUUUCACUCACUCUCGUUUCGGGUGCCUUAUUCCUGUAUCCGCGUCUUUAACCUCACGCCUCUUCUAGGUCUUUGCCCAGCUCUGUGCUGCUCACCUGUGGCAGUCGCAGGUCGCCCUACUGAACUUAGCACCCCAUUCCCAGCAGCCGCACAAGGCACCGUUACCUAGACCCCACCGCAGAGGGGACACCCGUCCUUGCCUUCGCUUUUGCCCCAUCCAAAGUGUCAGGUGGUGUCCCCCAAAUCCCGCUUCUCACCUUGCCAGUCUCCAGCCCUGCCGGGCUUCUUUCUAAACACUGUCAGCCGGGAAGGAUUCACCACUUCACUGCGUGGUCGCAAAGUCCGCAGCCCGCCACUGUGUCACGGAUGCAAAGAGAUCAGUGGCUUCUUUGCUGGGGCAGCGGCUGGAGUGCCAGUUGCCUUUGCUUCUCAGAGGCGCUGUUUCAGUGGGUAUCAGGAAGGGAGACAGGUGAGGCCUCAGUACACCGGGCUGCAGCAGUAGAGCCCUGGGCUUCAGGGCCCAGAUGCACUCUGCCUUGGACGCAGCUCACCUGCUCUCCCCACACCACAGGGGAGACUGUCCCCUCCAAGGCUGUUGGCACCCCAGCAUCUCUGCUCGCUCCCGGCUGUGUGGAAACCAGCGACCAGGGAGGCCUGCCUCCCAACAGCGCAUCCUGGCUGUUCCCACUGUGCCACCCUUAGCUCCCUGCCCAGUGUCACUGGAACGUGGUGAUGUGGGUUUCCCUAACUCUGUGUGGGUCUCUUGGUCUCCAGCUCCUUCCCCAGGCCUCACUGGGGUGGAUCAAAGUCUCCUGAGGCCUUUCCACCAUCAUUGUGGAGGGAAACUCCUCCAUCUGCACAGACUCAUCAACCUGCUGCAUCCAGACCAUGGAGUGACCCUCUGAGUCACUUCCGCUCCACCCGAGCCUCCACUCAUGCAAGGAUAAAUACAACAGCCCCAUCCUCAUGAAACUGACACUCCGGCAGUGAUAACAGACUGACUAACAGACACCCACAGCUCCAGAGCUGAGUGGUGAAUGCUACAUCAAAGACGUCAGGUCUUCCAUCUUGGCGCCCACCAUGAGAGCUGGCCACAUGGGGUUCUGCUUCUCAUUCUGUUUCCCUUCCCCCAGGGGCAGUGCCUUUGCUGUGACCACAUUGUCUUCUUGGACUCUAAAGUCCUCCUGUCCCUCUCUCUGGUUCAAGUGGUUAGAUGCCUUCCCUUUCUACUGUCAGCCAUGGAGCUGUGGGUGUCUGUUAGCCAGUCUGUUAUUGUUGCCAGAGUCAGUUUCAUGGGGACCGGGCUGUCAUGUUUAUCUCUGCAUCACUGCCUUCCGCUUGUUUUAAAAAAUGUCAAAUGCGUUAGUGAAAGAGUCAGAGGUGUUUGUGGUCUGCCGGAUGCUUGGCCUGGGGUUGAGUGGCAGAGGCGCUUGGGAGCAGGGAAGAUAAUCCGGGUUCAUGCUGGGGCCCAGGGUGAAAAUCAGGCUCCGGGAACCCGGUGCAGGCCGGCUGCUUGUCGAGUGGCCCAUGUGGCAUGGAAGCCGGUUUAAAGUUAUCUCUGCACGGAAUAAAGCCGUUCAUUCUCUGGGACCCUCAGGGUUCCCCCGCUGAAAGAAGCUUUUGCUGACGGGAGGUCAUGCAGUCUGCCUGCCCGGUGGAUUUUCAGUUCCCGGGAGCACAAUGCCCUCUCUGUUACCUGGUGGAGCGGCAGAAUGGAGCUUCUUUUUAAUUAAAUUGUCUUUGCAACAAAGAUGACUUUGUCCCUCCUCUGAGCAUCCCGUCCCUGGUCCUGGCUGGGCAUCCUCCUGGCUGCUGCCCUGCGGGUGCCCCGGCCCUGGGCACGACGGUUCCAUGUGAGCAUGGUCGGUUCCUGUGGUUCCAGCACGCGGCGAUCUGGGAAUUUGUACUUCCAUCGAAGUGCGCAGGGCUGCGUGAGGGAGAGCCCUGACCAGGGCCUCGGCUUCCCUGCUGCAGCGGCCGCACCUCACACAGCAGUACAUUUUUGAUGGUUUUUGAUGUACCUUUUUAUUUUCAGCAGCACUAGAGACUGAACCCACGGCCUGUGCAGUGAACUGCAUUUCCAGCCCUGUUGAAAAGCAUUUUAUCCUGAGACAGGGUCUUGCUAAGUCUCCAAAUUGCCCAGGCUGGACUUGAACUUGGAAUCCUCCUGCCUCAGCCUCCCAGAAUGCUAGAAUAACAGGUGUAUGCUGUGCUUUCCAGCUUUAUGUACCAUUUUCACUAUACUUUGAGCUACUGAGCAUUAAACACAGGGCCUCAUAAUAGGCGACAUUCCUAGCCUUUAAUAUUUUCUUUUUUAAAUUUUGAAAUAGGGUCUCACUAGCACUAAGAUGCCCACAUUGGGCUCAGGGUUCAGUCCUGCCGCCUCAGGCUCCCAGUGUGCUAAGCAUUUUUUAAAAAUUACUUUCAAAAUAAGAAAGUAAAAAAUGAACAUGAAAAAUAAAAGCAAAAAUAAAAAGUAAAAAGUUUUUUACUUUAAUUAAAUAUAUUUUUUUACUUUAACAAGUAAAAAAUAAAUAAGUUUGCACAUGUUUAGAUAUAUGUUUACAUAUAUAAUGUUUGCACAUACAUCACAUGUACAUAUAAUAUCCAUGCACGUGCAUUUUAACUCUUGGAGAAUGCUAGUACAUGGGAACUUGGACAUAAGCUUGGUAAUGAUAACCGCUGUUAGCAUCUAGAGUGCGUCUCUGUAGUUGCUUUCUUUCCCUUUGUGUUUCUGGCUCUUUGUCUCUCUCGACAUAAAGGGUGCUCUCCUGUCACUCUCCUGGCAGUAUGCUGCCCCCUUCAAUGGUAAGAGAUACUGUUUUUUGUGAGACACUGUUUCUGGUGAUUCAGGCUGGCCUUUAACUCACUGUGUACCCCAAAUUGGCCUCAAACUUGCAGAGAUCCUCCUGCCUUAGCUUCCUGAGUGCUGGGAUUACAGCUGUGUACCACCUUGCCUGGCAGGAGACAUUAAAAGUGACACUACAGAAGAGUUUCUUGUAUGUUGCUGCUUCAGUGCAGUGCCGACUUGCCUUGCCUGUGCCCUCUGACCUGUGCCCUCUGACCUGUGCCCUCCAACCUGUCAUGCCCUCGUCUGGGUACCUGCUCCCUUCUUCUUAGUGAGUCCAGUUUUGGGUAGUGUUCGUAGUGUCUCAGAUGCUUGUGCUGUUGUGUGCCCUGGAAAGGUCUCUCCUGAUAUCCGGGUGCUGGCACUGUCCAUCCCAUGGGGGGGGGGGUGGUCUGGUGUGGAUCGGGUAGGGAAGGAAGCCAGGAAGCCAGGCCAGGUGACCUCCAGGGAGGCCGAGGGCGUGGUCUUCCUGCCACUGCUGUGGCUCUGGCCCUCAACCCCCCUGGGGACCAGGUGGUCUUCCCGUUGAAUCUUUCUCAACUGCACCACUGGACACCAGGGCUUGCUCCAAGGCUGCAUGCAGGUUCUGUGUCCCCCUAAGUUCCCUGUCCUGUGGGCACCCUGCGGAAGGCGCCCCACCCCCACCUUUGUGUGAGGUUUGAGUGGCCCAGAGAAAUCUCCACCUGUGUCCUGCAGGCUAUGCUGGGGCUGAGGUGGGGCCGUUCACAGAGGAAGCGCUUGCUCUCCUCAUUAUUUGGCAAGGACAGGGCCACUGGGAGGGGCAGAAAGGUCCUGCUCUCCCCCAGGUGGGGUCGCAGACCUGGGGCUUCCUUCAUGCCUGCUGUCCUGUGGGGUCCUGGCCCGUGGUGGCUGCUUUGUCUUCAGCCCCCUCGCCGAGGGACACAGGUGCUGCUCCCAAGCUCAUGACAUGGGCUUUGCCUCUGAGGUGAAGACAGGGCAUGGGGAGCCCUGGGGAGGGAGGCACAUUUCCUAUGCUCUGCAGUAUCCCUGAGGAACUCCUACUCAUCCUUCAACGCCCGUGCGGUCCAUCCCAGCAGCAUGCUCUGCUUUCUCCAGGCAGGAGUCCGUGGACUGGCGUGGGAGAGAGACCAGGCUUUUCUUUCUGAGGUUCCUGAGGCCAGGUCAGACAGGAGCAGGAUUUGGGCAGAGGAUUUGGAUGGGGCACAGUGAUGUCCAUCUGCCCCAGGAGGCCGAGAUCUGCUGAGUUCUCCUUGCUUGGAGGACACCUUAGCAUGGGAGCGCCUUGAGAAUCUGAGCCUUCGUGUGGAGAUUAAAGAAACCGAGGGCUGAAGCCAGGGUGGCAGGGAACCCGUGCUGCUCUCAGGUACCGCAGGCUGAAGUUCCCAUGGCGCCAUGCGUGGUGAGACUGUGCUGUGACAGGAGCGGACCCCAUCCUGUGGACAGUCAGUGAGGGCUCCCUGAGGGAAGCAGCCAGCACCCUCUAGGAGAGGUGCUCCUGAGGCCUCUCGGGAUUAACAUUGAAGCUGGGGACAGGCCCGAAGGUAUCAUGCCAGGUGGCCUUCAGGGCUGAUUCUGGGCCCUGGCUGCUCUGAUGAGAUGGUCACCAGCCGUUUUCUGUGCCUAGUCAAGUUGUCACUGUGUCUCUCAGCCUUGGGAUCUGUGUUUAUGGCUAUGAUUCUGACCCAGCCUGGCCACCUUACUGAUAGAAGGGCGGGCAGGAAGGAGACAGUGUCCGAUCUCUAAGGGCCACGUCCCCAGCUGUCCUCCAGAUGAGGAUGGCACAUGGUGGCAGAGGUCCGUUCCACCCAGGACACUCGAUGUGAGUCCUGUUACACUUCUUUGCCUCUGCCUCUGGCAGCCUGUACCCACUCUGUGGGGAACAAAUUUUAAAGGAAGCUUCAAGAUUCUUUUUUGGGGGGUACCAGGAAUGGAGCACAGGACUUGGUGUUUAGCAGGCAGGCACUGUGCCACUGAGCUGUAUCCCCUCCCAGCUCUGGAUUCCUCUUAAAGGAAAGAAAUACCUUAAUAACAUAAAGAGGAAACUGAAAAGUGCCCCCUUCGCUUGAGGUAAGGAGGCCUGUGAUACUUUGUGAAAUUACUCUUUGUUUGAACGAUGUCAAGCCGAUUUUGUGGAUUUAGGUCCUAAAUCCUAGGUGUGUCAGUGUGUCAUGCAUCUCCCUGCUUUGUUCCCUCUAAGCUCACUUAGAGUUUUUGUGAAAGACGGGGCGUGGCCCAGCGGCCUGGCUCCUCAUGUGUGUUGGGAGCUCAAAUCUUGAGGGUCUCUGGGCCGCAUGCUUGUGCUGUUUCCUGGCAUUUAGGGGACAACGUGGGGUGACCUGCGUUUAUAAAGGUUGGUUUCUCAGAACCCUAAAUGGGCCGAGAGAAGCUGGGGCAGCUCCCCGUAGAGUCAGAAGGGCUCUGUGAUCUGCUUAGUGAUCCCAGGACAUUGUAUUUGCAUCUCAGCCAGGGACAGAGUCCUGCAGUUGGUUAUGGCAGUGAUGCUCCUUCUUCUUUUUUUUUUUUUUUCAUUUUCUUUUUUGUCUUUUUCGUUUUUAUCGGUACCAGGGAUGGAACUCACGACUGCCUGCUUGCAAGGCAGGUGCUUAUGCCGCUGAGCUAAAUCCCCAGCCCCUAGUGAUGCUCCUUCUGAUGACUAGCAUUACACCGGCUCUGAAAUGCAGGGACAAACACGGUUUUACAGCCAGAAAGAGAUGUGAAAGGCUGCUCUGCCCAUGUUUUGCAGUCUUCUCCACUGACCAUGCCUUUUAGGGGAGGUCUCCUUGGACCCACACUUGGAGAUCAUUGAAAUGUGACGUUCUUAGCAAAAAUAGCUCCUUUCCCCACUUUCUUAGUCAAAGGCAUGGAUGACCGCGGUUCAUUAGUUCGUCAGUGUAUUUGGUCAGUGUCCCGUCCAGUUUGGUUUUGCCCCUGCUCUGCUGGGGACGGGGUCGGAGGUGUGUGACAGCCGCCUGGCACCGUGUUAAAAUCGCCAGUGCUGCAGCUAGAUCGGUUAUCCAGGGCAUUUUGCCUGGAGGCCUUGAGAGCUACUUUCCUUUUUAAAGUUUUAAAUAAUUUAGGCACUGUGUGGAAAUACAGGCAUACAAAAAUGACAAAACCUUUCUUAGAGACAAAUAUUUUGCGGUAUUUUCUCCAGAUUUGUUUUUUGAAGAAGAAAGCAUGGCCACGGGGCAGCUGUUCCCUUGUGAGCGCAUUGCACACGCAGAGGUCUCUGUCCCUUCUGGCUUUUCCAGUACCUAGACGAUGCCGCCCUGCACGGGUUGCCCCCUGAUGGGGAAGGUUGGGCUUCUGGUGAGCUGUCACCCUCAUGGGAGCCCCCUGGGGCCUGAUGGGUUUGCUGGGCCUCCGUCAAACACCGAGUGUGUGAGGUGCGUGUGUAAGGAAAGAGCCGUGUGAGGCAGGCAUGCGGGGCUGGCGGGGCCUCUGUCCUGACACUGGGGAGAGCCGGCCGCGGGUGCAGGGAUCCGACCUUCUCUUGUAGCUUGCAUGCUUCCAUAGUCAGACAAGCGCCUUCCUCCCCCUCUCCCAGCUGCUGACGCUGCUCCCUGUUUCCACAUUCCGUGAUUCCGAACAGCAGUGCGCUUUGGUGCAAUAAGAGGUCGUGAACGACUAAUCCUCACUUUGUCUUGAAAACAGGAGUUAAAUGCAAGGGCCACCGCCACUGAGAGGAGAACAGGUACAAACAUGUACAGAAAAUCCCCUUUGGAAUUGCCACCAGUGUUAAGGGAUGUGGACAAAAUGACCGUGUCCCUCGCGUGAGAAGAGGACAGGAGGAGACCAAGGUGCAGGCCGUGCUGAUUAUCUUCUGUGUUUUGGUUCUGUUUCCCAAUUUCUUUAAUGGCUAUGUAGUAGAAUUCUCAAAAUCAAAUAACAGGCUCAUACAAACAAUUCUAAGCUCAUUGGCAGAGCAAAGAGAGCGUGAUUUAUGCAGAACACGUGUAGGGGAAGAUGCGGUCCUUAGGCCAUGCCUAUGCGUGGCCAGUGCAGGGACGAGGAUGGUGCGAGCUCCUUUCCGUGUGGCCAGGAAAGGCAUCAGGAAAGAGGAAGUGGCAAAGCUGAGGGUGGGACAGCUUGUAUCUCCUUGGGUUGAGUGACCAGGAAGGAGGCACAGAGCCAGCUAGAGCUGUAACUGUCAGGACGCACAGGGCAUCCUAGAGGGGACCAUCGGAAGUGAUCCUGACACUGAUCGAGUGUUUGCUGUUGGUGCUGGGCCACUCUGGGGUGGGGAAUCUGUGCUGGCUGAUAGCCGAGGGGAGCCACAGGGAAGGUAGGAAGCCCACCAGAUUCCCCAGACCCUCGCCGCGCAGGGCCCCACAUCCUCUUUUCCGGAGUGCCGAGUACCAUGCUACAUCUGUUGCCACCCUUGUUCCUCCACCCUCCUUCGAGGGCCAGCCCUGCAGGUGGCCAGAGUGGUUCCCCGUCCUUGUCCCUGCCUCCUCCACCCACCCCCCUUGGCCUGUUGUUCCUGAGAAGUGCGGAGAGGUGUUUUGUUCACAGACGCCUUGGGAGAUUUCAUGGUUUGUAGACGCAUGCUGAGUUUGUCCAGAUGUGCCAAUAUUUGUCUUCUACGAUCUAAAUUAAUUGUCUAGGAGAACUAGAAACCUUUGCAGGCUCUUACUCACUAAUGCAAACCAGUUCCUUGGGGUACUGAUGGCAGGGAAAAGAAUUAAAAAUGAACCAGAUUGCUUGUGCCGGGGGAGUGAGGCUGUUGACUUCACGUUCUGCUUUUGGGGCAGAUCUGCAGCCUGACAGGGCGGAUUACCACACUCGUCAGCCUCGGAAACCCAGGAUGACACUUGUAACGGAGCCCGGCUUUGGGGGAGGACUUUGCUGAAGCAGUGAUGUGCGCCCUGUGCUGGCCUUGAGUGAGAGCUGCUCUUGCUGGCCUCGGUGGCCCUUCACCAGCAGACGACGUUUCUCUUUCAGACCUCAAGGUGACAUGACGGUCCCCGUAAAUAGAGCUCGAGUGUGUGGAAAGGGGCAGGCUCCCUGGAGGGCAUGCAUGGGAAUGGAGUAUAAUGUCAGUGCCUGAGUGGUGCGGUGGACCUUCAGGACAGCCACGAUCACAACAGCCCUCCCCCAUCAGUGGUACCAGGUUCAGGGACAGGACUGCCACAGUGCUCCAGGGUCAUGCCUGAUGCCUGCUUUGCAUCUGCUGUCUCAGAGAAAUCUUGAAACUUGGGAAGUGGGUCCUGCUGUUGGCACCGUGCAACAGAGACAACGGGGUCUUGGGAGUGGUCGCCACUGCGGUACAGAGGAGCUCAGGGCGACUCCCGCUUUGCUCCUGACCUGCGCUUCUUCCCCGACAAACAGGAUCAGGAAGCAAACAUUAAACAGUGCCUCAGGGUGGGUCAAGGAGUCCUCCAUUGUAAAUGUGACACCAGUGAGGAUUUUCCAGGAUGAGUUCUCUUAGGUGACAGAGUCAUUCUUAGCAAAAGUGUUCCACCAAGACUCCGAGGAGAGAGUAUUCAAUUACACCCCAGACUCCCCUUCCCACGUCACCCACAUUUCCGCUCUGAGAGCUGGAAGAAGAGGAUGUGACCUGCUGUCAGGACGGCUGCUUUCUGAGCGUGGGGGACAGGAGCUUUACUCCUGGUCCAUGCUCUGCUCUCCCUGGGUCCCCGCAUUACCCCUUGUAAGCUGUGGACAUUGGUGCCAGGUGCGGCGGACACGCUUCUAAUCCCUGCUCUCUGGGAGGAUUGGAUGUUUGAGCCUGGCCUAGUCAACUCCGGGCUUUAGCAAGACCCUGUCUCAAAAUGAAAAUACAAACCAACUGAGGACAUACAUAGGUUGAUGCAAAGGCCCUGGGUUCAGUCUCAAGGACGGCAAAACAAUGCGGGCAGCUGACUCUGCUGAUGAAGCCUCUUUCCAGCUUUCCGUAAUGCGUGUGCCGGCUGCUAGUUUCAGGAAAAGGAAUUUUCCUAAUGAAAACGCCUGAUGCCAGCCUCUCCCUUUCACUUUUCUCUUCAAAGUGGCUUUGGUCUAGGAAUCCACGAUACCCCAUGAGCACCUGUGCUCGAUGCCCUUGUCAGGACUUCCCUGUGUCUCGGCACAGUGGCGUGGUGGCCUGGUGGCUCCCCGCAGCUGAGAUCUCCUGUCCCGGUCGUGUGUUACCGAGUUGAAAUCGAGAGGGAAACUUGCAUGGCGUCCGGCUUUGUUCCAUGGCGUAGACCUGUCCACUUACUUUCUAUGGCCUCCCUUUGUUCUGAGACGGCUUUGUCUCCUGUGUUUCUGCGCUGUUUGCUUUCCUUAGAGGAGCGGAUGCCUCCUUCUUCCACGCUCUGACAUAGUCCCUUCGCAUGGUCUGGCAGGGUGACCAAAGGACAUUGCUGCUUUUUUCCUCUGGAAUAUAAACAGGCACAGGCAGAAGUCUCUCUGAGCUUAGACAGUGUCUGGCGCAUUAAUGCUGCUGGAUGCAUGGUGAAAAAGUGGAGACGAAGGAAAAAACCUGUUUCUAAAUACACACAAUUAAACCACAGCGGGGAGACUUGAAAAUAUCCCUUUCUGAAACAGGCAGUUUAACCGUCUCCUCUGUGAUCUUCCUUAACCUGACCCCACUCACCUGCGGGUAUUUUCUCCUCUGCUCUAAGCAGUCUUGUGUUUGAUUUGUUUGGGAAUUGGUUAUGUUUUGCCUCCGGAUACUUUUUUCUGUUCUUAUAAAACAUUUGUUCUGUGACUUCAUCUUUCUGUUGUAAUUUGUUUUCCCCUCAAGGUUGUAAAUCCUUUGGGGCUUGGGGUGACUGUAAACAUACAUAUGUAAUAUUUAUUCUCUGCUUUCCUUUGGGGGUCCCAAGUAAGAUGUAUAUUAGGCCACUUGAAGUUGUCCCUCAAAUCAGUGGUGCUCUGCUGAUUCUGAAAAUUCUCUUUUUUCCACUUCAUUGCAUUUUGGACAGUUUGGGUUUUAUAUUUUCGGCUUUACUGACCUUUAUCUUCUGCAAUGUCUGAUUUGAUGUCAGUGCUAUCCACUGUAUUUCGCACUGUAUAUUUCAUUUCCAGAAGUUCGAUUUGGGUUCUUUUUGUCUUUAUUUGUCUCCACUGAUUUCCAAUCGUGGGGGCUAGAGUUGUAAUACCUGUUUUCGUGUUCUCAUGUGCGAAUUCUAAUGUCUGUGUCAGACCUGAUUUUCUUUCCUCACCAUAUUUUCCUGAUAUUUGCAUGCCUUGGUAGUUUCUGAUUGGAUUCUUGACUUUGUGGAUUUUAUCUGGAUGGGCGCUGAUAUGUUUUAUAUCCCUACGAGUCUUUUUGAACUCUGUCCUGGGGUGCAGUUAAGUGAUUCCAAAGCAGUUUGGCCCUGUGGGGUCUUGGCCGGGAGAUGUGUUAGGCAGGCCCGGGACAGCAGUGCUUAGCUUAGAGCUCACUGCUCCCGGGCCUGGGGACGGUGCUUUUCCAGUCUGGAACCUCCUGCCGCACACUUCUUUCCCGUCCUCGAGGGAUGCAGACCCUCACUUCUUUGGCCUUUCUGGCUCUCAGCUUCACUUCCUCGACUUGGGUUCUCUAGGCUCUGCUUGGGCUUGUGCUGCCUCGGGACUCCAACCUGGAAACCCAGAACUCCCGGUAGAACGCCCUUCUGUGUCCACCUCUCUCAGAGUCUGGCCUUCAUUGUCUGUCUCAGCAGUUUCACUGUCUCUCCAGCCCGGCCGGAAGUGGAAGUGAGCCCUUUCUUCUCUCUCUGUGGGAUUAUCUUCCACCUCCGGAGUCUAAACCCUGCCGUCCCUGCCUCCACAGGGCUGGCUGAGGACCAACCCUGCGCUGAUGACAGCCCAGGUCUCACCCCUUCUUUUCCUGUUAGUUUUUAUUUCUUUGAAGGCAGGGAUGUCUUUUAUCCCUGGAUUUCUAACUCUAACAGUUACGCACAAAGUAUUUGUUGGAUCGAUGGAUGAACUGACAAAUAGGACCCAGGUGUCAGUUUACCUCAGCUUCCAGGGACACUGGUCUUGCAUACGCUACUGAAAUUUCUUUUAAAUUUCAAGAAAGUCUGUUGCUUUUGAUGACUUGGGCAUAGUUUUCACCUAUUUUUUGUCACCUCUUACUGGGAGGUGUUUGAUAAAAGCCAUCUCAGUGGUGCUGAAACAGCAUGUGGGGGACAGAGGACAGAUGAAGCUUGGCUCUAGGGCCAUGUACCUCUCGGGGGCCCAGGUUUGGGGUCUCUGCUGCUCAGGCUUGCAGGGAGCAGUCCUUAUCUUGAGUGCCUUUUCCAUGUGGGAUAGCGUUUAUCCAAGUACGCUGUGACUUGUCCACAAAUAGCUGUGAGUCUGUGCGCACUUAUCAACGGGGCACUGGACCAUGGCCGUGGUCACUGGGCCGUGACCCAGUGCAAGUUCAUACUAUAUUUGGUCUGCAAGGCUGGGUAGUGUGAGCCAUGUUUGGUCAGCCUCUUGGGACCAUCUCGCUCCAUUUCCUCAGCAGCUCGUGGUCACCAGAGGUGACGGUGGAGCCCCAUCUCUGAGUCCCCGUCCCGCUCAGCUGGCAUGAGGAAGUGGCUUAGGGUAUGAAGUGAUGCGUACUAUUGCCGCAUUGCUGUUCUGUCCACACAGGAGCCAUCCAGCCUCCCGCCAUGCUGACUUCCUGGGAGAGCAGCGUCUCUUGGGCUGAGUGGUUCUGAGGGCGCCACGUGAAAGUCCUGUGGAGUUACUGUGUCUGCAUUUCUUAGCAUUUCCUUUAGCACAGAUGCUUAUUUUCCUGAAAUGGUAUUUUCUAGACUUAAAAUACUUUCCUUACUUUUUCUUUCCCUCCCUCCCCCCCUUACCCCCUCCCCUUGCUAUUCCCCUCCCUCCUGCCUCCUCCCCAGCCCCUUCUUUUCAGGGUAUCUAUUUAGAUAUUUAAAACCAUCACGCUGCCCCCUUCCUCUCCCUGGUCCUGGCCCCACUCAGGAUGACUUUAAUAACAGGAGUACUGCGCUCUCGAAGCUUCUCCUCCCGAGUCUCUGACAUGGAUUAGACCCUGGCCUGGUGUAGAAGUGAAGACGGAAUGUAUUUUGCAUAUUUUCCCAGAAUGACACAGUGAUUCCGUGGCUAAACCAAGAUUAGACCCUGCUACUUUAAACCCUGAUUUUUUGCUUCAAGGGUAAACUGUGUUGCCUCCCAAAUUGCUAAUCGAGUUUAGCUUUUAGGCGUGCUUUUUGCGAUGACAGUGUUUUUCCUGCUGUCUGGUUUCGACCGGGACGUGUUCCUCACUGGUCUGCUCAGCGGCCCCGGCCCUAGGUGUCCUGCUGCUGUCUUGGGUGUGUUGAGAUGGUUGUUCUCUUUGCCCUGUCGUUUAUGAUUCUUCUGAUCCUGAUUGUGAGACUAUAAGUUGUGGCAGCUCCUGCUACUCCAUAAUGUGUGGCCAGGCCACUCAGCUGUGUGGUAGAGCACUUGCCUGGCAGGCACGAGGCUCUGGGUUCAAAUCCCAGCACUGCAAAAGAAAAUAACUAUAAAUCUGAGAUUGUGCGACUGAAUAACUCAAUACACCUUCCUCAUCACUGGCUCCGUGUCUCCUGGUUAAGUGUGUGCAGCGAUGUGAGAUGAGUCGACUGGAUCUGUCACACGGUGUACAUCGGGCCCCUUGUGCCCUUCAGAGACAGUGCCAUCUGGGGUGUGGGUGCUGGCCCAGCCAUGAAGUGUAGGGUGGCUGCCAAGCCCCAGGUGGGUCUGCCUGGGCCUCCUUGCUCUUGUGUCAGAUCUCCAGCACAUGCCCUGAGUGAGGAGUUGAGAUGGUCAUUUUCUGUUCUCCAGGGGUUUUGGUGUUGAGUGCACUUCAAACCGUUUUUAGUUUUUAGUCCAUGCUGCAGUGCAUCAUGGGGAGCUGGUCCAUGUGCAUCCUGUCCUCAGCUCUUUUCAUGUCCCCUUCCCUCCCUGCAUCACUUGCUCCCCUUCCCAUCUGCUGAAAACCUGGAGGGGGCAUGAUGUUGCCCCAACCCUGGUGACCCUGGCUCCCAGGAGCUGUGGAGGAGGGGGAGCCCCGGUGGUGCAGCUCGGGUGCUCUGGGAAGGACAGAGCAGCUCCAGCUGCAUCCCACAAAGCCAGUGGCUGUGAUGGUGACUUUGGUUAAAUCUCACCAGCCACCUGUGGGUGCUGUUCAGGCCUGGGCAUGCAGAGUUGGGUCAGGCUUGAAGCCGUGGCCCCGACGGGGUAGGUUGCCGGCCAAUGUCAUGGGAAGUGGGACAGACUGUGUGGCACUCUAGGCCCAACCAGGAGGCUGAGGCAGGAGGAGGAACACAGGCUUCUCCCUGGGUGGAGGUGUUUGAAUUCCCAGCUGUGCCUGUGACAGCUCUGAGCUGCAUUUCUUUAAGUGGAGGACUGCAGGGUGGCUGCCAGGUCACAUGGGCUGCAUCCUGGACGCAGGGCUUCACACGGGUGAUUGCAUGGGAUCUCUCAAACAGCCCUAUGAGGCAUACCUCAUUCCCAUCUGCCAACAGUGACAGAUGAGGGUCCUGGGCACAGAAGGCUUGGGAACCGGGCCAAAGCAGCAGAGCUUGGAGCUGCCCUGGGCUUGCAGAGCCAGGUCCUGAAUCCAAGCACGAGAGACACUUGGUAGUGACUCAGCGUGAAAAGGAACUGCGACUCAGGCCUUGCUUUGUCCUGCUCACACUGAUGUGACACAUUCUAGCCUCCUGUGAAGCUUCAUGGGCUUUGCUGGUUAUGGGCGCGUGGGUGACUCUACUGCCUCUGAAGGGAGAGCCGAGCAGGACAUGUUGGAGAGGGGGAGUUGUGAAAGUAUAAAGAGCAGCUCAAGAGACAACUAGCCAUGGAGACUCUGUGCUGGAAAGCUGGAAAUAAAAAGAUGGAAAGGUACGGUCAAGAGGCAGCCAGCAACAGAAAACAUCCUGGAGAACAGACAGCGCAGAUUCUGCAGACAGAACAGGUGACAGGUAGCGACGCGGACACCUCUUAUGAUGCUCGGCAUCAGGAGGCUAAGACCUGUGAAAUCUCUGAAACAGUUCAUCCUGCUGCCACCCUCCCUGGACUUCCACAAGGGUUGGUGAUGACAGAAUCUAUUGUUGCCCAGUAAGUUUGGGGUGCGUUAGGUUAAGGCGUCUUGUACACAGCUGGCCCAGGAGAUCAAAGGCUUCCUCCCCUGUCAAAAGGCCCAGCUGUCCGGUAGGACCCGAAGAAUGUCCCCGCCUUCCCCGCCCUUUCCCAGUGAUUCCCAGUGGGGAAAGGUUGUUCUGAAAAGGCUGUGAUAAAAUAAAGCCUGGUGCAGAGACGGGGCUGCCAGUGCUCUUAUCUUUACGGCUCUCCUGAGUUUAGGAGAUGCACUGAAAUGUAGCAGAUGUAAUUGGGAGUAGCGUUUUCCAUUUUGCUGAGUCCCCACUUUAGUUUUCCCUGGGAUUUCUCUCUCUCUUACUUCUCUCUUCUCUCUCUUUGGGAAUGCUGCUGUGUCACAAGCUCCUGAGUGUUGUACCUGCUAGAGGGCCAGAGGUUGGGAUUGGAUGGGGCAUGGUCAAGGGCAUUGUGCAGCCUCAUCAGGAAGUGACCGCUGCAGGAAGUGACUGCUCCUACAGCUCUGCAGUGCCUCGAGCCAUCUGUGUUCAGAAGGAGGAGCCGAGGUCUCCUGCUGUGGGGCUGGCUGGCUGGAAGCCCUGUGUCCCUAGCGUGGCUUCUGUUCCCCUUGACUUCUGUCUGCACCCACCAUCUGCAGAGGGGUCCAUGAUUGCCUGCUGUUGGAAACCUGGGAAAUACUGAUCCAUGGGAUUCUGCUUGGAGAUUUUGGGGCUCAUUGAUAGAGUGAGAAACCGUCAGGGUGCUGAAGAGGUGUCCCAGAGAUUUUAGGAACUCGAGGAAGACAAAUGUCCCUUCCUGUUAGCCUGCAGGUCAGGGUUUGGGACUUUGCUUGAUAAUACAGGGAACGGAGGAACCCUUCCUGCUAGGGUCGAGUUUAUGUACUUGCUAAAAUUUAUUAACUCAGAUUUAAGAUGGCAUAUUCUAUGAAGAAAGCGCAUAUCAGGAAAACGUAAACUCAGCUUAGCAGUGAAUUAUGUGACUAUCACAUAAUUUUCCUUUACUAUUCUUUUCCUUUCACAAGGUCUUUCUUCCUAUGCAGUUCCAAUAAAAAGGCCUGGAAGCCCAUUUUGCUUUAUUGCAGGCAGGAGACGUCGCCAGAGACCCUUCCCUUUAUGCGUCUGAUCUGCCUGCCAAGUAUCCUGACUUCCUAUCUCCUGUAACCUCUCUGAUCUUCCUGGGCCGUGGGAGAAGCCUAUCUUUGAUAGUAUAAUUUUGAGGCAAAAGAGUCGGAAGUUAGGGAGGGAGGAUGACUAGUCUCCAUGGCUCCUGGCUAAUUCCAGCAUGAAGCCAUCCGCUGGCCUCUCUGGGCCCAGGUCUGUCCUGAGCGGAUCUGUGGUGCUGUGUCUCUCGGUACAGGUGGUGUUUGUUGCUUAAUGCACACACAGCUCGUGGCCUCUUUGUGCCUCGGCAUCAAACUUCUGUAAAAUGAAACUAAAAUAUAUCCUGACCCAGUUAUGGUUACUGUGGGGGCUAAGUGACCACCUACAAAGAAGCCUCUGAAGAAUUUUUAAGUAUAGCAUAAGCUAAAGUGACAAGUACUUAACAUUUAUUAUUGAAUUCUAUUUUGUGACCUCAUAGAAUCAAGGAGAACAUCUCCACUAGUCUUUCUUUCUUGCCAUGCUAGCGAUUGAAUCCAUGACCUUCACAUCAAGGUCCACCACUGGCCCCUUUAUAAACUUUAAGGCAGGGUCUUGAACCUGCGAUCUGGGCUUGAACUUAGGAUCCUCCUGUCUCAGCUGUCCAGAACUGGGAUUGCAGGCUUGCACCGUCAUACCUGAUGCUUUUAAAAAUAGUCUUGAUUUAUGGUAAAUUUCACAAGCCAACCUCAUUGUCUGGCAUUCAAUACUAGCGUUGUCUUGUCUUGUUACAGCUUGUACUGGAAUGCAGGUGGGGAUACCUGGUUAGUUAGCAGGUGGUCAACUUUGUAAAAGUAACACAAACACAGUGUCCUGGGACGGUCAACAGAGAGCACAAAGAUAACUACUAGCACUAACUGCUUCUGUGUUUCUGGUGUCUUUCUGAUAGGGACCAUGAUAAUUAGAUCACUUUGCCAUUUUUCCCUAAAAGGGCUGUAGGAGAAUGGCAGGGAACAAUCACUGUUUGCGAAGUGCUAGAUUUUAAGUGUUUUCCAGAUAAAAGCUAAUCUCUAGGCUGUGGGAUCUUGAAGUAGGUUUUAUUAUCCUUUGUAUUUUAGAGGUAACAACUGAAGCAUGAGACAUUAGGGUUCAAAGCUUUCUCCUGACUGUGGUCAUUAAGAGACGAGGCAGUGCUGGCACCAGGCAAAGGCACUCCUAGGGGUGGUCGUACCCCUGCGUUUACAGAGCUGCUUCUGUGCAAGUCGAGUUGAGGCCCUACCCGAGAUCCCAUGGCCACAGAGCAGCGGACUGUCCUCUGUGCGGCCCCGGGAACAAACAGGCGUGGGUUCAAUCCCAACUCCGCACCAACAAUCUCUGUCACGCUGGCCAAGUCCCCUUCAAGUCCCGGGUCUAUUUAUCUGCCCAGAAGGGACGUGAUGGUUACAUGCUGCUGCAGGCCUUAUGAGGAAUGAGACCGGGCUGACUGGACGCUGACUUUUCACAGAGGGAGCACUCGAUAAACGAUCCUGUUGUUUUCUGUCUUCAACAUCACCACCACCGUCGUCAAGGAAUUGCCGUAUUUUGGGAGUCGCAGCCCUGGCACAGAGUAGGCACCCAAUAUUGUCCUUGUGGCUGAGGGUGGCUUCCCCAGCCGUGGCCUUUUAUGUGUUUCAUGAACAAGGAGGAAGCUGCCAUGGGACAGGAGGGGCCACCUCUGAGCCCAGGUCCCCAGUGUGGGUUGGUCUUGGGGUGAAUGGUGCCCUGCAGCUCAUCUGGCGGAGCCAGCAAGAUGGCACUGAAGCUGUUUCAAGGAGUGGCAGUUGCAUCGACUCCCCAACUGCCGAAAUUUUACUUUUUCCCUGUGAACUAGGAGAGCCAACAGGGGCAGAAAGGUUACUGGUUGUGUUCAUUAAUUUUCUUUCAAGAGCUGCCACAUGUCACCAGAUUGCCCCCCGGCACCAGCGCUGUUUGGCUGUCUUCUCUUUGCCCAGGAGAAGCCAAAAUGUUAAACUGGUGGAGCUUACAAGAUCUGACAGAGAAAUUCUUCACGUCUGGCCUGGAUGUCUAAGUAAAUUUGGUGUAGUCCUUGUGGUCUGGGGCAAAUGCUGGAAGCUAUUAGAAAUCUGAACAAAACCCUCUAUUCAAAGACUGCCCAUUUCCUGCUGGGGUAAUCCAAGUAUCAAACACGAAGAAAUAUGGGCAGGGGGAAUGUGGCCGCUCGGGGCAGAACCACCGAGGUGUCAGCGACAUCCCUCUGAACGGCUCAGAAUGCUACUUCCACUUGAUCAUCCUGAAUAAGUGGUUUCUUUUGAAAAUAAGAGCCCUGCUUUCCCUGACCAAGUGCCAGAGAGAAUUGCUCGAAUUUCCUCUUGUCCGUCAAGCUUUGGAGGGGGAAGCUUUCUCCUCCCCUUGCAGUUUUUGGAGCCUUAUGUUUUGGUUUUAUUUUCUCUUUUGCCUCUGAAUUUCCUUCCAAAAUCAAAAAGUAUCUUUUAUUAGUUAUGGUUGUGGACUCUAUGGCUUUAGACCCUGUGAGCUCAAUGGCUGGAAACUAUUUUAUUAAGGUUUUAUGGAGAAGCUAUGGUUUAUCUCAUGAAAUAUCUGAGUUCAUCAUAAACGGUUUCCUUUCUGGAGAGAAAUUUAUUUUCUGUGAAAUUCCAGGUGUUCUUUUACGUGGACUUGAAAGGAACAGAUUUGAUGGUCAGUGCAGGGUUUUUUUUUUUCCUUUCUUUUUUCUCCUUGAGAAGAAUAUUUUCCUUGUGGUGGAUUAAUUGAGGAUGAAAUCAGAUAACCUGGGUGAAAUCCCUGAGUGUGCACGGGGAGGUUGGCUGUUUUGGUGAACUUGGUUGUGGUGCUGGUGGCGGGUGUUGUGUCCCCCCCCCCCCCCAUGCUACCUGAGAAUGAGUUCAGGGGCCAGCCUUGCUCCCACAGGCAUGCAGGGCCCUAGAGGACAGGGAUGAGCUGUAUUCAUCCUACAGUCUGUGCACCACAACACAUGCGUGAUUCGCACACAAUGGCUGAAUGGGAGGUUUUACAAACUCACAUGUGAGACCAGGUGGUCCCAUGCAUAAAGGACGAGCCUGGGUGGGCUGCAGGUUUCUGACCCGGUCCUUGGCUUCCUCCUGCUUACUUGCUUUCUACUGGGGUGGCCCUGCUUCCAGCCCGGGCUCUUUCUUCAUUAGGGGAUCAGGACCAUCCCUCAGGUGUGUCCUUCCCCACAGUCUGUGUGAGAGGUGACACACGUGGAAAGAUGACGAGGAUUGGGAAUAGCAAAGCCACUUCUGUGACUCCUAAGUCGCUGGUUCUGACUGCAUUCGAUGGCCUGGGCCCUCUUGUCCCAGACACGGGCCUGGCUUAUAUCACCAUCAUGUGGUGGCUCCUUUCGGGGAGGCUUUGUCUUCUCCUCCAGGUUAUGCUGACCCCGCAGGCGUAAACUCUCCCCAUCUAAUAAAAGUCAGGGCGAUUUAUGGGCCUGCUCCUGGCCACUUGUCCUUUAUGCACUAGCAGAAAAAUAUAAAUCUCUAAGAUUCAUGGGUUACCGGAGGGUGGUUUCAGGGAUGGCAGGGCGGCUCGCCCACCUUCCUCGCCUUGCUCACCUCACGGACCCCAGUGGUCGGAGGACGUGGGGUGGGAGGGGAGGGUGCUCCAGCCCGGGGUCAGCCUGCUUGCCCUGUUGAGAAAUGCAGGCUGCAGAGGCAAAGGGGCUUCCUGUCCUUGUGGGCUUCCUGCCAUUUGAUCGUUCUCUCCUCUGUCUGAGGUAAACAUCAAGUGGUGAAAGGGUGGUAGGGCUUCCAGACCCACUAAAAACCCAGACUCCCCCACUCCCUGGCUCUUUGGCUUUGGUCAAGUUUCUGCAUCCUCUCUCUAAAUCUUUGCAUUGUAAACACUACAAGGAAGGGUGGGCGAAGUGUAUGGGUAAUACAUGGUAAGGCCACGUCGCGCACCCCCUCAAUGCGCUUUCCCUGGCUUUGGACACAUCGCUCCUGCUGUUUGGCACUUCUUGCAGCAGCUCUGGAACCCUCCUUCCUAAGUGUCUUUAUGAGAUGCCAUCACGGACACAGUGAGUGCCACCGCUGAGGGCCGUUCAGGGGAGAGGCAGCUCUUGUCCUCGUCCACCUGACUGGCUGGAUCCGGCACCAGGCGAAUCUGACUCUUCUCCAAAUUCAAAAUGACCAUGGGAAGAAGACAUUUCUCAGUUGGUUCAGGACUUUGAGACAGCCAGGACAGUGUAACUAAAAAGACGCUCGGGAAAGAGAAUCCCAGAGCUGCUGCAGAAAGUGGCAAGAGUGAUGGGAAGAGUGGGUUCCAAGCGAGAAGGAAGAUUUUGAAGAGGAUGAGUGGCAUGUGGCUCUCACUGUGUUUAACUGGUUUUUGUUUGGUACCAGGGAUUGAACUCAGGACCUCACACUUGCCAGGCAGGCACUGUAUCACUGAGCUAAAUCCCUGGUUCACUAAUGGAGGUUCUUAUGAUUCUGACAUCACUGCUAAGAUGCAGAUCUAGCCCCACAUGGAUUUGGUCACCUCCCCUAGGGGACAAAGACCUGAGUGAAGGGUCCGAAGAAGUACAUGGGAGACACACACGUAGAAUUCAGGAGUGUGGCAAGAGAGAAUGGAGGGAAAACCUUAUCCAGGACAUAGUUUUUACGUAUAUUUUUGUUUGCUUGUAGCAAGCAGGCACUCACUCUGCAUCCUUUCUGUUUGCAGAGUGUGAAUCAAACCAUGGGUAACUGAAGGCUGGGCUUGAGUUAAGACCAGCAGUGGCAUCUCUCUGUGCCUUCUCCUACUACUUCCUUUUCCGCUGAGUGGUGACACCUGUCUCCGGGGGCUCCCUAGUGGCCACGAUGACCUCUCCGCAUGAGUGACAUCCUUACGCUUCCUAAAUACAAUCAGAGUAGUUUCGGAGGCAGAUUCAGACCUCUCAGCCUUUUAUGGGCAGGGUACAACCUGGGGAGUUACGGCAGGAUGUCCCUCACACAACAAGCCCUCACCCAAUGACAGCUGUGCUCGGUGUCCACUAUGUCACUUCUAAUAAUCCUGAGCUCUUGUUGGAGAUGCCUCCCUGGACACACUGGCGUCAGCCCUGUGCCCUGUGCACUGGCCCACAGCCCUUCUGCACUGGGUUCACUCUGGCCUGCAUGCCCAGCCUGUGUGCCAGCCUCCCAGGCCCAGGAGAUAACAGGCUCCUCACGGUCUGCAGCCAGACCCCACCAAGGGGUUUUGUGUCCUGUGAGCCUGCACAAACAGGAGGCCUUUGCACAAAUGUGAUUCACUGAGUGCUCCACAAAUCAGUUUUUCUGAUUUGAGUCAGGCUCUUACACACACACACACACACACUCUCUCUCUCUCUCUCUCUCUCUCUCUCUCUCUCUCUCUUUCAGGCAUAAGACUACCUCCUGAUGUUGGGUUGUUAAGGGUUCUGCUGGGUUUCCACUGUAGUUGUGACCUUGCUGGUCAUCCUGAGUUGGAGAUGCCAUCUGGAGAAGCCCCCAUCUCAGUGUUCAGGUGUCCCUGCUGGGCUCCUGGGUGAGCAGUGCUGGCCGAGGGACUUGGGCAGAAGUCUCCAGAGCGAGCGCAUAAGAACCCAAGAGAAGCAUCCUUACUCUGGCUAAUACUCGGAUGACAUGUUAUACAGCUGACUUGUUUAUAGUGUGUCACCUAAUUAUACACUCUGCAUAUAAUAUGCUUUUGAAAUUAUUAUUUACUGCAUCAAUACAAUAGAAGCUAAAUUCAAAGCAAAAGGAAAAGUGUGUGUGGGCUCACCGUUUGUACAGAUAAGACCUUUAAUACACAUGUAGGUUCACUCAUAGCCCAGUCCCCCAGUCCUGACCCUAGACGCAAGUAAUAUCUACAUUCUGUUUGGUCUUUGGUUUCCCCCGGCUUCCAGCUGCACAUUUUCUGUGUAUCAGCUUCCUGUGCUCCGAGCGUUCGUAGCCUCUGCAUGUGAGCACUACACUUAGGAGAGCCAUGACUUGAACUCUGAACAUCUAGCAAUCCCCCCCCCCCCCUUCUUUUCUCCAGGUGCUGGGAUUGGAACUAGGGACAGCUGGAAGCACAACUGGAGUUUGUUAUCCAAGUCAGAACUUUUACCAGGAACCUAGAGACGGUGCCUAUCAGAGUGAAACCUGUGUCCUUUACAAUGAGGAAGGCCACGGAACGGGUUAGCUGAGCGGGAGCCAGGCCCCUGCUUUAUUGGUUUUGGCAGAAGAAGGAAAGCGCAGGAGAACGUGAAAUACUUGCCCCACAGCUGCCUCUGGAAUGCUGUGGACUUGGGCUGGAUGUAUUUUGGGUGCCGUCGUCUCUGUCGCAUUGUCUUCCAAGGGGGAGGCAGAGGUAUUGGGGCAGUGAGGUGGUAACUAGCAGCUUUCCAGAAGUCCCAAAGUGGAGGAAGUACGCAUGAUAUUCCCAAAACCAGCCGUGGAACAGGAGGAAGCGGAGUCAGGAGUGAACGGCAGGCUUUGAAGUCAGACAGCGGGGUUUGGUGGCCUUGGGCAAAGCACUUAAUGUUUCUGAACUGGGAGGAAGAUAAUUACAGUGCCCACCUCGCGCGGCUAUGGUGUGGAUUAAACUGGGUAAUAUAAACCAUGUACUCAGCACAAUGCCUGCCAUAAUGGUAAGCACUCAAUAAAAUGCAGAGCAUGAUUGUCAUUAUUUCCUGCUUCAUGUUGUAAUUUGAUUGCUCUCAAACUGGUAUCCCUGGACUGGGGUGCUAGUGGUGUCUGCAAACUUUUCAGGCUCUUGGGAUCUAAGAGAAGUAGGGAAUCGCAGUCUCUGAAACGUGGUGUGCACAGGGGAAGAUGCACAGGAGGGCUUCCGGGGUUGAAACACUGGCUGGGUGCCGAGCAAGGCGGCCGUUUCUUUGGUGGGAGCUGUGGGCUCCGCAUCUUGAUGGGGGGGAGUGGAGGGAGGUGCGCAGUAUCUGCUGAUCUUCACUGGAGCCUGCUGCUUAACUGUGUGCUUGCACAGCCUUCACAGCCGUGAGAACUACCAGGAACCUGGGAGCGGUGAGAAAACUGAAGAGACCCAGGAAACCGGUUUCUCUGCCCCACUUGGUUAAGCACUUGCUCUAGGCAACCAGACAGGCUCCAGGAGACCACUGUCUUUAUGAUGAUUUUUUGUUGUUGUUGUUAUAAUUUAAAAUGACAUCACUUGACUUUUGUGUCGCACCAUGGUCACCCUAGACUUCGCAUUAUGUUCCUGUUCUCCCUGCGGAAGAUGGUGGCGUUUGCCUGGCACCAGCACGGACGCUGGUUGGAAUGGAAGCCAUCCAGAGAAUGAUUAGGAUGCCAGCAGCCCUGAGGCCGGGCACAGAGUGUGUGAAAUCAUCAUUGUCUUAAUGAAACACGUUCCAGCUGGGGUCUCUUAGCCAUUUGUUUUCUUGUUUUAACAUUGAGUCAUUCAUUCCCGCUAAUGAGAGGCUGUCAAGAUUAAACGCCAGUCCUACCCUGGGUUUGCCAACAUGAAAGAUCUAACCUGAGCUGUGGCUUUGCAAAGCACCCUGCAUUAGCCUUGGUGGAGAACUAGAAACAAACCAACUGCCUGGUUUCAACAGAAACCAUCAACAUCACAUCUGCAGAGAAACUCAUGGGGUGUGACCUCAGAUGUAUCUCCUGACUCAGAGACUGGAGAAAUUUUCUCUGGAGGCGCACGAUGAUGGGUGCCAGCCACUGCUGUGACCCAGGCCUGGGCUAACAUUCCUAGGCUGCCUGGCUCCCUGUACCCUGCUCAGGAGCGGGCUCUGUGGAGUGAAGGUCUCACUGCAGAGAACGGGGUACUUCCGCCUCUGGACCAGCAGUUACUACAGUGCUUGGAGCUUCCCUCAACACGGAUGCACUGGUCCCUCAGUGAAUUGGAAGGACAAGGACGGCCCCAGGGCUGCUUCCUGUGUCACGUUGGGGUGCUUCGGUCCUUCUUGACAUUUCUGGAGCAUGAUAAAUGUGUGUCCUUGAAGCUUCCUUGGCCAGCAAAUGGCCCCAGCCACUCCAUCCUCUGGACACUGCUCUGCUCUCUUCUGUUCUUGCUCUCCACUGGAAAGGUUCUAGUUUUUGCUAACAUGCUAGGGAAAGAACCGGGCGAAUGCCUCAGAGAUCAUCUAUGAGCACAGCAAGGCACAGCAUUUCUCUUAUGACCCGGAUGGCUGUAAUUCCAUUAAGGAGACCAGCAGCUCCUGGACCUGUGGGUUCCACAUGCUUAGACAGUGGGUGUUGGGGUGACAGUGAGAGUAGUUGGAAGCCACGGAUUCUGUUCUAAUUCUCACUUAUCAGUAGGAAACCCUGGGCAAGAUGCUUAACUUCUCUGUGCCUCAGUAUCCCCAUCUGUAAAAUAGGGGACACGAUGUGAGCUGUUUUAUGCUGGGUGCUAACGACAUUACUUGGAAAGGCAGCAUUCUGUGUUAGUUUUUAUUGAACUUAAAAAUGAAAAAUCCCACAGUGUGGCUCACUUUCUCACUGAGACUUCACGCCUUGUCAGGACCUUGUUUGAAUGCUGGUGGGGCUGGGGUGUGCUUGCAGCCUCUUACGUCUCCUUGCCUAGCUCUGGCUUCCUUCUGCAGGAAAUGCUUAAAAGAGUAAAACAAUUUGCAUUUGUGAGCUCUAAUUAAGAUUCUGGAGAGCAGUAGCCAAGACUUAUACCUCUUGGCUUUUGUUUUUUAAUUCUAUGUGAUAUGCCAUGUGCACAAUCACUGCUAAAUUAAAAGAGUAAAUAUUUAAAAUGAGUUUUCCCUUGGGUCUUAGCCUGUGGUGGAAAAAUGGAAUUCAUUCGUGUUACUUAAACUGUGUGCUCCUAAGUUUCUGGGAGAGCUUGCCUGGCUGUUCUGAAGAGUAUGUUGUUUUCUAUUUGCGCACUCAUUUACUUGGACUUCCACGUAAAAGUUGACCACUUUUCUGCUAAUACUUUCUGGAAUUCCUGGGGGUCCACAGCUGCCUUGUUCACUGAUCUUUCAGAUGGUCUGGGAGGUAAAUAAUCAGGUGAGUGCUGAAUGUUAUGCCAAUGUUCCCAGGACUCUGGGAUUCAUUUUUCUUGUGACCUUAAACAAGUGGGUUGAGACUAUUUUAAAAAAUGGUUUAUAGUUAUUAAUGUUUUCAAGUCUUGGUUGAAUUUUAAAGGUUGGGUUAAACUGUUAAAGUGAGUAUAAAUUAAAACCAGUUAAAUAGAGGAGUCCUUAGUCCAUUCUGUCUUUGGUGUGCUUAGAAUUCCAUAAAUUUUAUGGAUUUCAAAAUCCUUACCUUGUUUUUGAGUGUUUCCAGUAAGACAGAGUGAAGUGGUGCACACCUCGGGGAGAGUCGGGAGCUGUUACCCAGGAAUGCUGCUUGGCACGCACUUAAAGAGUACAGGACCAUUGGUUCAUAAAAAAAUGUGUGGCUGAUUUUCCUGGGACAUGUGCAUGGCUCCUGCAGAAGAAUUUCAUUUUUCACUCCCUCCCACUCUGUGUGUCACUUGCACACGUUUGCAGAUCAUCAACUGAUUUCUAAAAUUCCUUCCCCUCUCAAGAGGUCUACAUCCAGUUACCUAAAGAACAGAGAUAAUAUGGGGAGAAGGGCCAUUUUCCUAAAUGCUGUAUCUUGCCGGUGGUAAGGGGCUUGGUGAACAGCUGACUCAGUGCCAUUGUGAGACAAACUGGAAACUGUUUCCAUCAAAGAGAAGGCACUUGUGUGUUUCCAUGAAAGAGACUGAGUGUAUGUGUGCGCCCAUGUGUGUUUAUAUCAGCCUUCCCCUCCCCACCUCUCUCUCUUGCAGUCUCAAGGCAGUAUUUUAAGUUGACUAUAUAGAAAUGAGGUCAUGCCACAACCUCACCCUCUAAAGCCAAAAUACACAAGGGAAAGACUGCAAAUCUCAUCCAGUAAGAAUCUCAUGUCUUGCCUGUAAUUGUUCUUAGUUUUGCCAGAAAAAAGAAAAAAGAAAAAAAAAGAAAGCACUGGUUUUGGCUUAGAAAGCAGUGAUUCUUUCAUACAAUAAAAAUACUAUUUAUUUUUGACUUUUGAAAAGAUUUUCUUAGAAAAAUGAAGCAUGUGGGGAUUAAGUGCUGACCUCUUAUUUCCGAUGUGAAGAUUUUGAUUUCCCAGUGAAGCUGGCCUUUCCUUUUGGAUGCCUGAUGUGGUAGAAAGAACAGUGACCUUAGUUUUGUUCCUAUUCAGCCACCAAGCCCCAAAAGUUGAGGGAAAAAACAUAUCUGGGUAGAAAGUUAUUGUGCCAGCUUAUCAUAGAUUCACAUGGUGGCUCUGCAGCUGUGAGUGCAGCCAGGGCAGUGCACUAAAUCUGAGUCUCAGUCUCCUCUCCAGCCCCAGUGCUGCAAGGGAUUCGGGGACACUGCUCCAGGACCUGAUGUGCAGUCUGGCAUGAGGUACAAGGAACAUGCAUGAUCACCUCAGAUUUUUAUUCUUUGCUUUGUUUAACGCUGUGGGAAAGACUGGCCCUGUGGGGGAUGGUGACAGGAAGAACCUGUGGGGGUGGGUCAGGGUGCAGGUAGGGCCAUAGAAAUGCUGUCCCUAAACACACAAGACAACCGCUCUUAUAGAAGGCUAAGGUGACCUCUGUAUUUUUUUUUCUGUACUAUUUCUGAUGGAAACUCAGGAGACUCUAAGAAUCCAACUUCCAAGUGAAAGGGGAAGAUUGCUCUGCUUCUGUAUUCUGGAGGAAGUUUGAGAAAGUUACAGGGAAAACCGUAAAUGAAGAAGACUAAGCUGCUGUCAAAGUUCAUCCAAGUCUGAUGCAUUUAGUGAAAUGAGGAAGUGUGGACCCAGUCACCCUGGGGAGGGCCACAUGUGCAGCCCCAGGUUGCUCUCUGGGGACGGGGGCGACGUUUCCUCACUCAGGACCUGCGUCCCGCGUGGACGCUGCUUCCCGAGCUCUGUCCUGGCGACCCCUCAUCAUGUCAUUCGAAUUCUUGCUGCUUUUUCCUCCCUUGUCUGCUUCCUUUUUCUGCCCAGCAUGCAGCCACCAUGCCACUACCCUUGGGCACACGACAUGGCCUCAGAGGCUCCAGGAAGCCACUGUGACCCUUUCCCACCAGCAGCCCGGAGAUGAAGGGGCCUCCCUGGGCACUGGGGGUGCUCAAUUUCCAAGCCACACUAGUGCCUCAAGCCUUACCUUUUCUUUUUCUCCUAUCUUGGUUCCUUGGCAGUGGGGACCAACUGGGAACAAACCAGUGUCACUUGCGGCGCUGUGUCCACUGGCGUGGUUGGGACUGCAUGACUGACCUGGCCCUGCUCUCUGUCCACUUCUCAUCCACUCACCCCUGGAAGCCGAAAGGAUCUUUUCAGGAACACACAGGCACACAGCCUUCACUCCAGCACACUGGAAGCGGAAGCACUGCUGCAGCACUUCCGGUGGUAGCUGCUGUUCCUCAUCUGCGUGCUAUACAAGACCGGAAACUCCGUGAGGUGGAGACAGGCCGUCAUGGCUGCCGCUCACUCAGAAGUCUGUUUCCUUCUAGGUUCUGAACGUCCAAUUAGUUGAAUAAGUGGAUUACUUCUUUCUCCUACAAGUUUGACAACUUUGUCUAUUAAAGCUUCAAUUGAAAGGAUAAAUUAAAAGAGAAUAAGCCUUGAGAUGAGGGAAUAAUAGAAGUCAUAGGACCUUAGAAUGAGUUGUUUUAUAGCUGAGCAUGAUUAGAAGCUUUCAGUAGAGUGAUGUAUAUCACCCACCUGGUAAUAAGAAAGAAAGUGCAAACAGAUUACAGUACUUUGUUUCUUUCUUUUCCUAGUGCAAGCAUGGAGUCUAGGACUUGGCAAGUACCGGGGAGCAGAGUGCUCUACUGCUGAACUCCGUCCCCAGCCCGGGUUACUUAACUCUGUCUGGUGAAUGGAAGCUCGUAUUUGGUGAUGAAUAUUUCCUCGUACUGAAAUUGAUCUGAUAAUUAUAUGGGAGGAGAUGGAGGAUGAAUAUGAGGGAAAGAGAGACUGAGAAAAAGAAUGACUUGAACAAGAAACCCUCUUCAUUAUCAGCUAUGUCUUCUAUUGUGGUUUUACUGGAGGGACAGAAUUUGUGAGAGACCGAGUGAGACAAGGUGGAAGUAAAAGGCUGUGUGUAAUUUCGGGAAGCUUUAGACAGCUAGGGAGACAGGAAAUUGCCUCAUAUAUCUUUGGUCAAAGAUGAGAGCCAAGCCUAUAGGCGUGGACAUCACCACCAUUUCCAACAUGGCUCUGAAAUAUAUUCUGUGGGACCUCAAUCUUGAGAGACGGUCCUCUAGUCAGAUAAGUUUAUAGAAUAGUACAAUUUCACAUAUUAAUCCAGGUCUGCUCCUUAGGAUGUAGAACAUAUCAGCAACCACAACAAAAAAUCCCCAAGAAGUCUUAUGGCAAAGAGGUGAUGUUGAAUUAUUUAAUCAUCAUUUCUCCCAAUUCUUGGCCACAGCAAACAUUUUAGUACUUCUCUUAAACUGAACCUGAGGAAAUACCCUAUUUAAGGGUUGGGGAGAAAGCAGCUUGAGAUCAAGAUGGAGGAACUCAGCUCUCCUUGUUUGUUGAGAAGACAGUCAAAAUUAAAUUCUGUAGGUUUUUUUUUUUUUUUUUUUUUUUUUUUGUAGAAAAGGGUGAUGAUAGCCACUAAGUUGUGUGAGGGCCACCCAAGAAGGGUGAGGGCCACCCUUCGUGAAGGUGGUGUGGUGCACAGUGUUUCGAUGGAGGGGUCUAACCAUCAGGAGAGGUUGUCUCAGCAGGCUGACAGGAAACCCCGUAAUAGCUCCGUUGCAUUCUCAGGUGUGGGAGAUGAGUAAUAAUAGUGGUUACCAUGAGGGCUCUUCUCAAAGUUCACUGUGACAGUGCUUACGUCACGCACCUGUCUCAAGGAAAGAGAUUAGUCAGUGUUAGCCAUGACUGUUAGCAUGGCUGAUUAAACAAUGCCAAGGAAUUUAUAAGCAUGGGAAGAUUAGAGCCUUUCCUGCAGAACAAAAUCUAGAAACAUCCAAUGACCAAAGCCUUCUCCUCCUGGGGCUUUUUCCAGCUUGAGGCUGGGAUAAUAAAUUUAGGAGCAGAUGGGGUAAUUAGAUUCCCACCUGGGGAAAACCCUGGUUCAACGUAGCAGUGAGGACCACACCACAUGUUCCUGCAGAGUUGCAUGGAGGUCACGCACUGAAGCACACCCUAGGCAGGAAUCAUAAUUAGUCCCAGGGGAGGGUCCAGAGCUGCUCUUUGUGUGCUUUUCGCUAUUUCUCAAAACGAUAUUUUGCCUGUAAGAGAAUGUGAAUCCAGUAAGGUUAUGAAUGACUUGAUUUGAACUCUAUCUGAGGUAUCUGUUCUCUUGAAGAUGCCAAGUUGGUUUUGAUUUCCAGGCAGUUGACUAAAGAGACAGGACAUCUGGGGUUCUGCUUACCCCUCAGACAACGUCCAUGUCCAUCCACCCCUCCAGGCUCUUAUUCAUUGCCCUCCUGUAGCCCAGGGCUACAAACCACUUCCUGCUUUCAAAGCCUUGGAAUGGGUUUGCACUUGGUAUGAGGGGCUCUUUCGGUCUUUGCAGAGAGGAAGGAAACCUUUCUAUCUUAAUUUUCUUCUCCUACUCUUCUGAAAGUUCUAUCCCGUGCAGUGUGACUUUGCAGGAGAGAUCGUGGAGAGAUGUUUACUCGUAAGGCCUAGGCAGAGACACACAGAGAGGGUAGCUGCUAAGAAGUGCUGGUCACUGACGCUGUCGGCUCCUGCCCACCUCCUGGUCAGCACAGGUACCCUGGGCUGGGCCAGGACGAUCUCUAACUACACUGUAGCCUGGUAAUACAUGCGCCUCUGGAGGAAUUUUUCUUUGUUUCAGCGUCUCUGAAGCACGUUCCACAGGGAGCAAUCUUCAGUAUACAGCGAACUUACUGAAGAAAGUUUGGCUGCAACGCUGGCAUUCAGACUUCCUAACGUCACUAUCGGCUAUUAGAUGUUAGGGUACACAACGCUGGGAAGGCAGUCAGGUUGGUUCGAGGCCCAAGGCCCAGCAUGUCUGUGAAUGACUGAGAGCUGUGUGGCAGGAUCCUCCUGAAGGUCUUCAGGGGACCAGUCGGUGGAGAAGGGUCUUAUGUCACAGUGGAUUGUUCUCCUGUGUUAAUCACAGUUGGUGCAAAUGGCCAGCCCUCCUCGCUACCAGAGUUAUUUUGCAUAUGGGGAUUUUAUGUGUAUGUAUUCAUUCAACACAAAGAUGAAUGAUGCGUGGUUCCUGCCCUUGGGAAAUAUCAGAAGUACAUGGUUCCAACUGGAGGGUCAGAUCGUGUCAGUGGGUUAGGGAGGGCUGCCCGGGGCUGGGUGGGGAAGGGUGCUGGGCGUGGAGGAGAGUGGUGACUGCCUCAAGGUAGGAAUCCUCCAUGGCAGGCAUCCUCCAUGGAAGGCAGGCAGCUGCUGCUGGGAUGUCAGGGAGUAUGGGGGAGGGUUGUGUGGGUGCUCUGGGAACCCCUCAUUCUGCAGGUGAGCAGGAGUAGGGAGGCUUCAAGCUGAGACUGGAGCAUUACUUGCCAAGUGAGAGAGCUGGAAAGGGUGGGUAGGAGCACAGGGCUAUACCAGCAGGGCAGUGUCAGGAUGGUGGGGUCUCCUGGUACCAGAAGGAUGAGCUGUGUUGCAAAGGUCAAGCCACACAGAGGGUCCGGGGGUUUAGGCCCAGCAGCACUGUGAGAGCCCCAGUCAUCUGGAAGGAGGGGCCCAGCACUCCCUGGAGCUCUGGUCCUGUUCUGUCCAACCUUUACAGCAGGGACUGCAUUAGACCAGCAUGAUUAAGGUCUCUGUCUCUCUCCUUGCCUCUGUGUCUGUCUGUCUGUCAGUUUGUCUCUCUGUCCGUUGUCCAUCUGCUUGCCUGUGCAGCCAGCCAGCCAUCUGUGCAUCUCAGAUCAUUAAAAGACACAGUGCUCACAAGAUUUGUAAACCCGAGGAUGACUUCCUCUGAAACCAGAUGCCCCAAAUGCCAUGACAGAUUCCGGCAGAGGAUGUUGAUAGGGAAAUGGUGGAAUUCUGUGUUUUGGUUCAAGCACCCAGCUGUAAAGAAUGAAUGCUAUGGGGAACGCUUGGCUUGGCAGCAGUACUUGUGAGAAAGUUGGAUUUGGCUGCAAACCCCAUCAGUACACAGCAUGUGGUGUGGCAACUAUGCUGGGCACAUGGGUUCCCGCAGAGGGGUGAGGGUCCUGGGGAGCCGGGCAGGGGCCGUUGGGAUGGGGAGACAGGUGGGCAUACAGGGGAGAGGAAGUAGCAAAACUGGGGCUUUAAGAUAGGGUCAUUAUCCCCCUUCUCAAACAUGCACUGAUGGAAGUUUUGUAAGCUGGUCCUGAGCAUUUCCAGUGGGGUCCGGUCUCAAGAGGAACGAGUUUCUUGGUGGAAGUUAGUGGUGAGAUCAGUUGUGUCCAGAGGGUGACAUCGAUGCGUUUUUUUGCCUUGUGAAUUGGGCGUGGCCAAACUGGAAGAGGUGAACCACCGUUCCUGUCUGCAGAUAUUUUAAAGGUGCCUAUAAGUUGGGUGCACAUUGUGCAGAGCUGAGCAAAUGGGCAGUUGUGAACUUCAGCCCAGCUUCAUGGCUCAGGGCUUCCAAAGGGAAAGGGCAGGCCGUGAGUUUUCUGCCAGCAAUGGCACUUGCUGAGGGCGUGGACAGCGGGGUGGAAGAGCGGGGUUUGGGCCCAAAGCCUCCUCCAGCCCUGAGUUUUUCCUUCCAGAGCAAACAGGAUCUCAGACUUGCCCUGGUGUGUUUGACUCCAGCCUCUGCCAGAGCAUCUAGGCUGAGCUUUCCUGUCCCCCUGGAUGACAGGGGACCCUUCUGCUGCUGUCUGGACCUUCUGGGUUCCUAGGGUCCCAUCCUGUUUUUUAAGACUGCUUCCCAAGGCUGUGGUGCAGAGAGCAUUUUCCCAGGACAGAGACGCUUCCCACAGAAAUCCCUGGACCUGAGAAGGCCACGACUGUGAGGGGGUCCCUGCCCUCUGCCACUCUGUCUCCAGCCGCAGUCCUGGCUUUGGUACUGGCUCUGCUGUCUCCUGCUGGGCCCUUCUCUUCCCACCAUCAUGGGCUCCCCACUGUCGCCCCAGGAGGGCUCUGUGCCCGGCCUGGGCAGCCCUCGGGGCGAGACGGUUGGCGACGUGCUCAGCUGUCCUGAGCCAGCUCUCCCAAGAGGGGAGAGGCGGGAGGGCAAAGUGCAGGCGCCGAAACUCAUCCAGCCCCUGCCCCGGAGGCUUCCAGAGCCGCCUGUGAGUCACCGCUGCCCGUGCCAGGAGCACUCGGCUGGGCAAACACAGCGGUGAGGCCCAGAGCGGCAGGAGACCCCCGGGGCGGCACAGACCAGUGCUGCCCUCACUCUUCUCCCACUGUGCCCACAGCCCCGGGAAGCAGCCGGAUGCUGUGCCCCUUCCACAGAGCCCCUCUGUUGUGCCACACGGAUGGACGGGAGGUCCCCCUCCAGGGCACACCCUGGAGCCCUCCCGCUGAGAGGAGGCCUUCGUCCUUCACUUUGGCAGAGAGAAAACGGAGAUCCGGAGAGGUGGAGUAACUCAGCAGAGUCACAGAGCUCGAGACCUGCCGCUGCGUAAUCCACAACCGGCAGUCUUUAUUUUCACUCAGGUGAAACUUGGGCCCCUUGGAAACUGAGUCAUUUGUCAUUCAGCUGCCACAGAGAUGCAUCAAGCCUCUACCUGCAGCUCGUGGGCUGAGGAAGGGGACCAGCACCUGUCCAGGGUUGACUCAGAGUGGGAAGCACAGCACGCCAAGGCUGGCUUGGAGUGUUCUGAGAAAGCCGAGGCAGUAUGUUGAUUGACUGACUGAGUAGGCCAGAGAAGAUACCUGAGCCAUGGGUAGCUGCAGCACAGGGGCCAAGGGAUGGUCUGGGGACAGACAUGCGUCCUGCUCACAGCGAAGUGACCUCUGUGUCCUCUUAGACAGUAGGAUAGGGACAGCUGUGCUGACAGUCACCAGUGCCAGGGGAUGAGGAGGGAGAAGGGUGUGGCCUGUCCUUAAUGGGCUUCCAGGGCUCCCCUGCUCUCUUUGGCACCCAGAGGUGGCCUUGGAUGCCUGUGAUUAUGCCUAGUGUCACAUUCUCCACAGAGACUGUCCUCGCCCAGAACCUAGUAUGCUGGCUGUCCUGCUUGGGCCUGAGCAGUGUUAUGGCUUUGUACCUGCGCUUUGUGCCCUGCUCACAGGGACCUGGGCAAGGUGGUGGUGGUCAUUUAUGCCUCUGCUGACCAAGAGUCUGUCGCCAGCCCAGUGCCCCGGCCUGGCUCGGCACUGGCCAUCUCUGAACCGGCCCCUUCAGCAGGUGGCAGUAACUGGGAUGCCACUGUCCCUUAGAUCAAGAGACAGGAAGUGUCCCCCAACCUGAGUUUAUGGUUCUUUUUUCUCCGAAAGAAACUUUUACCUUAAAAACCUUCUCCACUCAUUCCCCGCUCAGAUCCAGGCAUGGUCAGGACAGUCAGCCCCCUGCAGAGAUGGUGGGGGCAGGACAGGAUGGGAGCUGGGAGCUGGGGUCCCUGAGUUGCCGCCCUGGCCUGGGUCUGCCAGAGAGGUGGUGACAGUUGUGGCCGUUCUGCGCAGCCUCCUCCCUGGAAUGGAUUUCCUAUCAGCUUGAGUGCUGGAUGGACAUCAGGGAGACUGAGACACCUGUCUCCCCUGGGUGGGGAUGGCAUGGGCACCUGUGAGCGAGGAGCUUGUUCCCCACCCUGAGUCUGUGCUCUCAUUUGGCUUUGGGUUUGAGGAAGGUCAUUGUUUUUGUUUCCAUUUACUUUUCUCUUUUUAAUUAACAUAGAGAGUUGUAAGUGUUCAGUUAUCUUAGUUUAAACAAUGGUAUCCACUCAGGAAUUCACCUCCCAGGGCAAGGUUCUGAGCAUGGCCAUCAUUACCAAAGGUCCCCUGUACCCCUGCCAGGGACUCCUUUCCCUUUCCUCUGCACAGAAGUAAGCAUUUCCCUGCUGUUGUCACCAAACCUCAUCCACAGGGCAGUAUUCACGGCGUUUAUUUCUCCACUGCAACCAGGGUAAAUGGGGUCCACUUCCUGCAGGCCUGGGUUUCACCAUAUCAGGAGACUUUGGUUGGGAGCAGUUUUUCUUCCACCUUGAGCUGGACCUCAAUGAUCUGGUCUAUAACAUGGGUACGGUACUAUAUACCAUAUAACCAAAGACGCAGGCCUGACUGCCCACAUGUAGUGGCCAUUUCACUUCCUCUUUGAGACACCUCCUUGUGACACCUUGAGAAGAGGACUGUUUUCCUGUGUCUCAGAGUGAGAUAAAGUUGGAAGAGGUGAUAUGACUUCCCAGGGCUCCAGGGCCGCCCUGUGACGCAAAGCUGGGCACAUCCUGGGCUGUAACCAGCACAGGUGAGCCCAGGCCAGCUCUCCCCUGUGAUGGAUCAGCUUGGCGGCCACACGUACUGUCUUCCUUCUCCCUUUCUCACUCCUUCAUAAGUAGUUGCCUAAAAACUGUACUUACUCUGAAUGCUCGGCUACAGGAAACCGGAAAAGUCUCUGUCCUGCAGAUGGGUGCCCCUGUUAGUUUCUGUGCUACAGAAAAGCAUUAUGAUUAAACUAAAAUCAACAUUGUUAUUUGUACUACGUAAUCAACGAAACAGUGGCUAAGCCCUUAGGGACUAUUAACAGUGUAAUUUUGAUUCUCAUAGCUGCGUUUGAGUGCCCCAUAGGUGCCAGGCCUGUGCUGCCUAUUGGCAUGGGUACCUAGGUUUCCCAUCCUGCCUGCCAUUCUGCACAGUAGGUGUUUGGUGCAAGCUCUUCAUUGCUUGGUAACAAAUGGCCUAAGCCCUAGCAGGUGGGAACCGGGAGCGGUGAGUGUCUCCUGCAAGUUCCUGCGGGUGAGGACACCGAGCAGCUCGUCUGGUGGCCAUGAGUUGUGGCCAUGCCAUUGGUGAUUCUGGCAUCUUCCAGGCCAACGGAGCUGGAAUAUCAGCUUCCGGGCUGACUUGGGGACUGAUGGCCCAGGGUGUCAUGUGAACAUGUCCCUUGGGUAGCUCAGAAUGGGCUUUCCCAGAGAGACAGAGACAAACAUGGACAUCGUAUUUUUCCUAAUUUAAUUUUUAGAAGUGAGUCCAGAAAGCUGUCUGUGCCCCUUCCACAGAGGCAGGGUCUGCUAAUGUAGUUCAGGUUGGUCUUGAACUCACCAUGCCACAGUCCUGUCCUAAUGCUUCUGCUGGGUGUGCUUGGUCACACAGGCAAGCUGGUAACAUGGUAUUGUGGAACGGGACUGCACAAGGAUGUGGGGCCAAGUGGUGGGGAACCCUGGACCCCUGGAAGGCUGGCUGCCCUGGGCCUUGAAAAGGGUGCUCAGGGACUCCCUGAACUGCUGUGUUCAGGAAGUGUGGGGGCUAAGGUUUGAAGCCCUGUCUGGUGUGUACCUCACUUAUGUGCUUCCUAUCAAGAAUGCCCAGGAGGGGGUGCCCGAGAGAAGGGCAGGGUCAGACCUGGCUUGGGGUAUCCUUGCUUAGUCCCCAGGUGCUCCUGGGCGCUGCUUGCUCUUGGACGCUGUCCCUUGAACAGUUCUAUGUCCCGAGAGACCUAGGCAAAGACCAAAGGUUUGCAAACCCAAUGUAUGUACAAUGUGUUUUGGGAGUUGGACUUUUCCUUACAUCUUUCUAUAUCAUUCUAUUGUUGACUCAAAAUGUUUGCAUCUUGGUGUGACCUAAUAAGUUGUGCAUGAAACCGCCCUGUAGGGAAGAUUCUUACUUUUCUCUUCUGGGUUAAAAGUGUGAUUAAACCCAUUACAAAAGCGUGGAGAGCCGAGAAGGCCACUAGUAAAUGAUUGCAAGCCUGGUUGUGUUUAUGAAUCCAGGCAGUUGCUGUGUAGACGGCUUCCCCAGACCAGCCCAAGCCACCCUGGCUCACCACAUCCAGGAAAGGACAUUUUUAUAGUCACCUCCGCUGUAAGAGGACCUGACCACUGAGAUAAAUCUUCCUGUCAUGACCUACUUGUGGGAUUUUUAUUUUAGGGAAAGAAUUCAGGAGAUUAUAUGGUCUCUAGCUAGCCCAUUAAAAGUGUAAACAUUUGUCUACUUUUUAAUGUCCAUACCGAGCAAGUAAUAAAAGCCACACAUACUUCUCCAGCGCUUUCUCUUUGGUGAUGUUGGAAUAUUACGGAAACAGGAAAAUAUCCGCUUCCUGGUCCUCUUCACUAAUGCCUUCUUUUCCUUAUUAAUUUGCUAAUGUGUCCUGCUGGGUUAAGUGAAUUCAUGACACAUUCUACUCAUUUGUUUGUUUAGCAUUUAUUUUGUACCUGAGCUAGGUAUAAAAUUCCAUGAUAGAUUCUGGGGAUAAAAAGAUGAAAAAGGCAAACUUCUCACCUUCAGGGAGCACAAGGCACCAGGGGAGUCAAAGGCAAAGACAGAUAAGACCCCAGAGAGCCUUCUGUUUCUUAGGUGUCAUAGAGCAAGGAGUACUUUUCUCCGUGUAUGGGCUGCCGAUGAUGCCAGACUUCAGUUCACAAGGGAGAGAGGGGCUUUGCUGGCCAGGAGGGGAGGCUGGAUGAUUGGAUGGUGAUGGAGGAGGUCCAGGUAGGAGGUGUAACUGGGUGUUUUUCUUACUGUGAGCCCUGAGCUUGUGGAAGUCUAUCCUGGGCUGGAACCAGCAGGCCUGGGUUGGCUCAGCCUGGCCACCACGCAUGAGCCCUGCAAACCUGGACACAUCGCCAGCCUUUUCCACCCUUCUUUUCAUGGGCAGCAGGAUCAAGUGGGGCCCAGACUGUCCCACACAUGUGUCCUGCGAUCUCUGAAAGCUGAGUGGGGAAGGGUGACAACAUGGCACACAGGAGACCAGUGGCUGUGGUCACAGAGAACAGCUUUGUGCAGAUGCUUCCCAGGGCCACAUGAAUCAUGUCUGGGCUCACCAGGUACCUCUGCCAAGGGCCGGCUGGUGGAAGGAUGCCUGGAGCAUCAUAGCCCAUUUAGAGGAUGAGUGCGUUGCCAUGGUGUCAGCCACCACGCACUGGCCACACUGCUUCGUGGUGCUGACUGGACACAGCAUGGGUGUCAGGGAGAAUGCCUCCUUGGGGGCAGCUGACUGCAGGACCAGGCAGUAAAUGGCCUCUGUGCAUAGCACGCUGGGGGUUUCAUGUUAAGUGGGCAGUGAGGCGUGAAACCUCAGACCUCAGUGGCGCUUCCUGCCACCAAGGUGAUGUCAGAGAUGCUGGCUAGGCCAGCUGGGCUUGGUGCAGGGGAGGAGCACCUGGCCAGGGAGGAGCCUGCAUCGGGCUGGACCUUGGGGACAUUACUCACACAUACUUUGCACAUACUCUUCUGUGCCAGGGUAAAGAAAAGAGGCUGCUUUAUACUUAGUGGAUCUGCCCCGACAUGUGCAUGAAAAGCUUUGCUUUUGUGGUUCUCUUUGUUUUGUCUUUUAUUGAGUAAGGUGAUCCUCUUCUAUCUCCUCUUCUUCCUCCUCUAUCUCCUUCCUUCUCCUCUUCUUGUACCUCAUUCUCCUACCUCUUCUUCCUCUCCUCCUCCUUUUUCUCCUCCUCUUUUCUCUCCCUGGUCCUCCUCCUCUCUCCUCCACUCUCCCUUCUGCUUUUCUUCUUUCUUCCCCUCCUCCUCCUCCCACUCUGCUUCUCUUUGCUGGAUUCACCAGCCUUGCUCUUUCUGGGAAAUCAAGGAAGCAUCAGUCUCCAUCAAUUAAUGAGACAUCAAAAGCAGUGAUGAUCUCUGGGUGACGCUACACAGCUGGGCCCAUCAAUAGAGCCUCAGGGUUCAUAAGAGGAGGCAAUUUGGUGGUGACAGCAAGUCCAUGUGUUCUCUGCAUUCAUUCAUUCGUUCGCUCAUCACACCUCACAUCUCCUCCCUUCUUCCCUCUCCUUCCCCCCUCUCCCUUCCCAAACCCUCCCCAAAUCAACGCAUGCAGUUAAUUCCUGUGCCCUGCGAGCUUCAAUCCCAUCAGGAUGUGGCUUCUUCAUUUGGCCGAGAGUGAUAGCAUGGAAGAAGCCUUUUGACACCAGUUUGCCCCCAUUUCAGAAAAACUCUUCACUGAAAACCUGAAGAGCAUUUAGUUUCCAUGAUUUACGCAAACUUGAAUGUCCGUCAUGAAGGCCCUGGAAGACACGCUACAUUGGCGAUGGCCAGCGGCUUGAUUCCAUCUGAGGUGUGUGAUUGGAUCCGAGUUUGGGAAAAGUUUCUAAGCUGUUUAGAGGAAAUCUCAUGGUCUCUCUAGACAAGGGACCCACCCAGCUGCCGGCCAGUUGGCCAGUGGCGAUGUGUGGAUGGGAUGAAUGGCAUAUUCAGUUCUUAACAUGCUGCCGUCCUGGGAAUGCAGGACUGUUGGAUUUAGAAAGACAAACACAUUCUCUUCCUUUUUCUCCACUGUCUUUGUUAGGGAGCCAGAUAGAAUUUUGCUUUCAGGUCCAUUGCUCUCUGGACUUGAAACUCAGGGAACAGGCUCAUACUCUUAUGAGAGUGAACCACGCAGGUUGGUCUUAGCAGGGAGGGGUUAGACUCAGGAAGAGGACAAGCUUGUUGCCCAGCUAGAGUCUGAGGCUGAGGAAGGGAGAGUCCGGUGAGGUUUUGAUGAGUGGUGUCUGACAGUAGAAAAGUCUCCACUAGCUACGGGCAUCAGAGCUUGACUUGAAAUCACUGCCAGGGACCGCGCUGCUAGCGAACUCAGAGGCAUCUCGACUUCUUUUUCCUCUCCUUUUAACCACCAGGAGCCAAAUCCCAGAGACACCAAAUCCAUGUCCCUGGAUGCUGGGCAGUGGCUAAGUAGCUUCAGUCAUGCCUACCUCACCGUUGAAUGCAGCGUGUUAGUAAACGGCUGCGUGCUAUGACCCGACUGCCAGCUCUUCAUGAGCCGGUGGGUAUUUCAAUGAUCGGUGCCGGGUCUCUGCCUGGACUGUGAUUCCAUUUCUGGAAAUGUGACAAUGCAUGCCUCUGGCUUCUGUCACCUGAGCUGCGUGCCCUUUGACAGCAUGUGCAGUGCCCUCCUUAACGUCCUGGCAUUGUGCAGGCAGGAGCCAGGGCCUCCACACCAUCUUCAGGAGACAGCCUGAGGGUUCUCAUCCCGCCAGAGCCCCUGGCCUCUCAGGGUACUCCCAGUGCUGCGGGACCAGAGUUCAAGUCCUGACUGUCUGUUGAUUAUUAACUGUUGAGCUGGAUAAAUCCCUUAAUCUCUUUGAGGUUAAUAAUCGGUACUCUAGAGAGCUAUUAAAUGUGUCAAAUGAAGUAAUAGGUGUGGGCAGGCUUUGGAAACCUACAAGGUCAUAAAAGCAAGUUGUUAUUAUUAACAGGAUGUGCUAUAGGAUUUUCCUGCCGCUCCUUCAGCCGUUGGAAAUCCCCUUCCCGCACUGCUGUGGCACAGUGGCCCCCGCUCUCUCCCAAGUAUUUGUACUUCUGUGCUGCCUUAAAAAUGCAUUGCAUUCACAUUCGAAAGCGUGACUGUGCUUUAUGCAGCGCCCAGGAGCAUCUGUGCAGUACCCGAUGCUGUCCCAGGCCAGUGGGUGCCUUAGCUGCAGGGAACCCUUGUUUGUGUUUGGGGCAGUGGAGGAGUAAUGUGCAGGGAAUGAGUUUCGGGGAUCGAACUCCCCACUUGCUGGGUCACAGGAGCUGGGUCCUGGGGGGGUUGUGAAAUCACGGCUUGACUUCCUUCCUUCCUUCCUUCCUUCCUUCCUUCCUUCCUUCCUCCUUUCCUCUUCCUCUUCCUGUCUUUCAUUCACUUCCUUAUUCCUCAGUUCUCCCACUUUCUUUUUACCCUAAAAUGUAAGUUAAGUCAGUCUUUAAUCUGUACUUUCUUUUUUUAAAUUUUUUUUUUAAUUUGUACCGGGGAUGGAACUCAGGACCACACACUUGCAAGGCAAGGCGCUUAUGCCGCUGAGCUAAAUCCCCAGCCCUAAUCGGUACUUUCAGCCCAUGUUUGUUGAAUCCCAGAAUGGUGCUAGGUGUUCCGUAGAACAUGGGCUCCAGGGACUGGAGACUCUGAGAGCCCAUUCACAAUGUGUCCCCAGAACAGUGAGUGUCCGGUGGAGAGAGGACCCAAAUAUCCAUCACAGGCACUGCCACCUGUCAUGGAUGAAGCCAGUUUGCAUCACUGAGAGUCCUCGGACAGUGGGCACACAGUGGACACACGUCCCUCACUCAGGGAAGCCCAGUGUGUGAGGCUUGUCACUCAGCACCGUCCUCGGGACCACACUGGGGAGCAGUGUGUGGCUUCCUGGGUGACCAUAACUCCAGCCAGAGGCUGGACAGGGGACUUGGUGGGGUCCAGGGGAGAACUCUGGCCACGCUCAGGAAGUUCCCUAGCUCAAGAUGGGAUAAAUAGAGGAGGAAGGCAGGAAAGGAAGAAGGGAGAGAAAAGAAGGCAGAAGCCAUGAGAGGCGGGUUUCAGGGACCACGCACCCAGAGGGGACAGCAAAGGCAUCCCUGAGAGACCUUCCUGUCCCUCUGCCAGAUGUCUGCAACUCUGUGACCUACCCCUUUCCCCAUAGAGGACACAAACCUCUCCCAGUCGCCUGGUGGGGAUGGCACAUCCAGGAGCAGCACAGGGCAGAGCACAGGGCAGGGCUCCAGUCACGCAUGAGCUACCCCUGGGCUCCUGGUUUCCCACGCUGCGUGGUUUCCCUAUACUGCACCAGUGGUCAGGUCAGGCCGACAGGUGGCCUGCAGGACCAGUGCAUGGCAUGGUCCCCUCAUGAGUCUCUCUUGCUCCUGAUUUUCCCAGUCUCUCCCCAGGAUCUGAGCUCAGAAGCUUCUGGGCGAAUCUGUGGACUGGCUCAGUCCCACAGCCCGCUGCAUCCCCACCCCGAGCCUGGCAUGUGGUCAGCAAGCACCACACAUCAUGGAAGUUUUUCAGAGGAAAUAUUGUUUUCAUUUUUUUUAGUUUUUAAAAAAGUCUCUAUUGGUGCCUGCUUGCAAUCCAGAGUGCUAUACUCAUGCUGGGGAGUCGGUAUGUGCAUUAUGUUGUGGCUUGGCUUUUUCUAUUCCUUUUCCUCCCCCACCUCUCCUCCUCCUGCUGUCUCCUUCCCCAUCACCAAAUGUCUCCUGCCUUUUAUUUUACUCUUGACUUAUGUUUUUGGAUUCUUAGAGAAGAGAAACCACGUGAUACUUAACUUUCUACGUCUGACUUACUUCCCUUAACAUUCCGGGCCCAGGAUCCGCUCCCUUUCCCUGCACAUGGCGCACACCCAGUGGUCUGGAAGGUGGAGAGAAACUGCACCGUGUACACAGCAGUCUCCACGUCCAUUCGCCGGCUAAGUGUGUUCAGGCUGCGCACUAAGCUUUGCCAUCGUGGACUGCAGAGCUGUGUGCAUGGGUGUGCAUGGUCACUGUCAUGGGGUAACCCUGUCCUGCCGGAACAUGCUCUAGGGGAUGACUGGGCAGAGAGGAUUUCUGGCUAGGUCUCUGAGGGCUCCCACUCUUACCCCUAUGUGCCCACCCCGGGAGCUCUGAAGUAACUUUCCUUAUUUUGCUCACCACCAAUCACAUGCACAAGGCAGAGAACCCGCUCUUGGGUACAAACAAAACUUUAAAUUUUGGUCAAAGGAAAAGACACAUAACUCCUCAAUCAGAAUAAGGGACUUCUCCAGCUUGCUGGGCUCUGGACACAUGGGCAGGGCCGUAGUGAGUGCCUCUGCAGUGACAAGGCUGGGGAAGUCCUGAAAGGAGCUAGGGAAGCCCGGAGGAGCCGGAGAGACAGGCCAGAGGGAGCCCUGGGCUGAUGUCUACCAGCUUGAAUUUGGGAGAAGAAAGGCAAGCCCUGUUUACGAAGCAGAGUGCUGAGUGCUCGGUUAUGAGUGGUUCCCCGAAUGCGUGCCCGAUACCCUAGGUCUCUUCUGUGUGGAGGCCAAGCUGCGAUCCCAGCGCUGGGACAUCCUGGGUUGGCAGUGGUGUGUCACCGGGGCCCUUGGCGAUGGCCAUGUCCCUGGAGGGGGAGGUGGACGGCUUUGGCUGCAGGGCCCUGGUCAUUAUGUACCUUGUGGAGCCGUUGGAGCCUCAGUUUCCUCCUCUCGACCUGGAAGAGCAUCCGCCGAUCCCCCGCCGCGGAAGGUUACUCUCAAGGUGCAAUGCAGCCUGCCGUGUCAUGUCCUGAAUGCACGGUGGGGACAACACGCGCAAGUGGCAGGUGCUCUUUUACUAUGACAAAAGAAGGUUUUGCCUGGAUGCAAUCCCUGAGGGUGAGCCGCGCCGUGGAGGUGGUGGAGCACGGGAGUGCCCAGUGUGGUCCACUAUGUGGUCAGGCUCAGCUUGCUGAGGGCCUUUCCUGUGCUUGCGGUGGGCCAAGUUGGUGAAUUCCGAUGACUCUUGGAGGCUCCUGGGACUCGGGUGCUCUUCUCUCCUUGGAGGGACUUCCUGUGUGAAGGGCGGGUUGCUGCAGGCCAGGACCAGCACCAGCCAUGCGCUCUUGACCUGACCGAACUGCUCCCCAGAUGUCCCCUGUCUCCCUCUGCAGCUCCUGUGUGUAGCCCAUGUUCCGCCUCCCCAGUUCCUUGGGGCCCCCCUUCCUUUACCGCAUCUGGCAUGGGUAGCUCCUAGGAGCAGGCCGCUCCCUGGUGUGAGGGCCACACUGCUGGUCACUGCUCAGUAACUGAGGGCUGGGUUUGCUGAGCUCCUGAAGCAGGAGUCAUCAGGGACCACGUCUUCCGUUCCCAGCUUUGUCACUACAGAGGCAUUCACUAUGGCCCUGCCCUGAGCAUGUGGCCCCGCCAGGAUCGGAUCCCAGAGGCUGAUUCCUCCACACUUCCUGCUCACCUCUGGGACUCCCCAUACCUUCUGAUAUGGAGAUGUACUUCUGGUGAAGGACAGUUUAUUGUUGCAUAGAUAAAAUACAGGCGCACUAAAGGAUCUGCACACUCCAGCCACAGCCAGCACUGACCUUCGGCUCCGAUCACUUGUGUGUCUCGAUGAGCGUGUGUUCAGCGAGACCCCAAUCGGAGACUUCCCCAGAUUGUUCAGCAGUCGUCUUUGGUAGCAGAAAUGAUUGGGUGUGGGACGCAGAGAGCUGUCAGGACCCCAGUGACCCCCCCCCCAUCCACGGGCUCCCCACCAGGGCAGGCUUGGCCCCUGUGUCUCCUAAGCAGGGCCUGGGCCAGACCCUUGCCUGACAAGGGAUCCUAGCUUCCCCACCAGGCCGAAGUUCAGGGAUACCGUGCCAGGCAGGAGCUGGCUGCUUCUUUGGGCUGGGUGCCGUACACAGGCCAGCAGCAGGUGAGCCUGGGCUAAGGGAAGACAGGUCGGGCUGGCACUGAGCCACGGAGGUCCAGGCAGGGCCUGUCCCCAGACCCUGAACCUGGUUCCCCCGUGUCCCCUGCAUUCCACAUGGGGACCCCCGCCCUUCCCUCCCCUCCCCUGACCCUUCCUCCUGCCUCUUUUGCAAACUCUGGUGGGCCACCACCCUUAUUUGUAGCCUGUGUUCAUUAGGUUCCUGUAAAACGGCUCUGCACUCUUCCUGAGUGUGGGUUUUGCAAAUUCAACCUCACCUGUGCAUGCUGGAAGGAAAACCCUGUGCCCAUCUCCCAAACGUGCCUGGCACCGGGGGACCCAGGCCCUGGAAGCCCCCAGCCCCUUCGCCCCUCCCAGUCACCCUAAGCAGAUCUACAGGCCACUGUGUGGCGCCCUCACCUUGACUCUAGGCUGCAGAGGCUCCUGGCCCUGCCCCCAGCUCACAGGGACUCCCUACCCCUGCCACCUUUCCCAGUGAGCCAUGCUGUCUGCAUGCCCUUUCCCGUGGCCAGUGCUGCACACAGCUGGGUGGUUUUGUUCCUGGUUCCUUUCUUUUCCUUUUUUUUUUUUUUUUUUUUUAAAGUCAAUCAGUGUGGGUGUUGGCUACAUGAGACUGUGGAAAAAUGGGAUAAAUAUGCCGGGAAUGUGGAAAUUAUCACACGGGAUGCUCCUUGGCCGCUUCCUAGGGUGCAGGGAUGGUGGGGUGGCCAUGCGCUGCUGCCAGGAGACUUCCCAGCUGCAGUGCAUGCAACAGCGAUGGUCUGCAGACCAGGUGGCCAGCCUGCUUGCAUGUGACUCAUGCUGUGUGGGAGAAAGACUCUGUGGCUGGGGACGAGGAAGGGUGAGGCGAGCCCCAGCAGGAGCAGGGGCAGCGUCCAAGUCUCCUGGCUUGGUGGAACGCUGCUGAGAGUCCUGUGGCCAGUCUGCAGCUUUUGAGGCCCCCACCGUGAGCCUCUGUGAUGCCCCUGAUCCAUCCACUGCCUCCCAAUAGCCCAGGGCUGCUGUGACUGAGGUGAGCAUGCCUGGUCCCCGCUACCAUGUCCAGCAGGCAGCUUGGGGGGUGUGAUGCUGUCUCCCACCUGUCCCUGUGACCCCCAGGACGACCUUUCAAGCUGAUGUCGGGGGCAGAGGGACGUCCUCCUGUGCCCUGAGUCCCUCCCUUCUCAGCUGCCUGCUUCCAGGGUUGUGCGGAUGGAACUGAGUGAUGCUGGUGGAUAACACUGUCACUACCCUGCGGUUCAGCACAGGGACAUCACAGGCCUUGUGGUUGUCAAGGGGACAAAAGUGAGAAGGUGACACUGAGCCCACGUCCCCAGCACUUCUGAACUGUGGCCUUGGUUUCUUGCCGGGGAAGCUUGGAGCAGUGGCUCUGGGUUCGAGUCCUGAUGCCAUCCUGCUCCUGGAGGACAGGGUUGCCUCUGUCUUGCUGGAUUUAUAGAAUCUUUCACCAUGUGUGGCUCCCCGUAUGACAGGAGUCACCUCACAGGGUCGUGGUUCCCGGCAGUUUGACACCAGCUAGGAGCAGGUGAUGUCCCCGAGGACAGAAAAUCACUGAGCCUCCCGUUCCCAGGAAGGGGCGUGGCAGAGCUGACUGAUGUGAAGUUUGCCCAUAAAGCAUGAAGAUGAGCCCUGGGCUGCACGAGGCAGGGAUAGGGCAGGGAGGGCUCCCCCUGCGGGCUAGGUGUCAGCCUAGAUUUUUUCUGAGCCCCCAUCUGAGCCACACAAGUUGGUGUUGUGGGGAGUGACAGAGGACCAAGACAUGGUCUUGCCGCCUAUCUCAGCAGUUCAUAGUCUAGCAGUGAAGAUAAGGAUUACUCUAAUUUAAGGAGGAAAUGCAUCUAAAUGCAGCCUUGACAAAGCCCUAUCAGACAAAGACAGACCUGUUCCUGUUUAGUUGGGUCUUGAAGGAUGAGUAGGAGUUAGCCAGCAGGGAAGCAGAGUCUAUGAAGGAAAGGAAAGGGCACAAAGGCAAAGAAGUGCAGAAGCCCUGUGUUAGUUGUGGCUGCGGCUGCCUUGCAGGGAGGAGAGGGAAUCAGGUGCUGUGGGAGCAAGACGGGUGCUGUGGGGCUUUGAAGGAAAGAAAGGGUGUCUCAUCUACCCUGGCCUCCUCUAUCCCUGUUCCUUGCAGCUGGGCUGUGGCCACUAAAAGGCAGGCGGGAGAAUCCGCAGCAGGCCCAGAAGACAGGGGGCCUUUGUCUCACUAGAGUAAUGGAACAAUUAAUGUGGAAGUGAGGGAAGCCUUUCCCGUGACUGGGGCGAGCUCCCCUGGGGUCCUCCGCCGGACCCGUCUACCUCUUCCCUGGCCCGUUUAUUCUUUAUUUUUCCCUCUCUUUAAAAACUCGUGUUUCUUGGAUAUGCCUGGAAAACAUACUUACUAAUAAAAUGAAUAUGUCACCCAUGCGUGGUCAUCGCAUUGUUUCAUUAGUGUGAUGAGGAAAAAAUAUGUAUUUUGUCCCAGAGAGAGGGCCCUCAGCAACGACUCGGGCCACAGCAGCCUUCACUUUAGCUAACUUUAGCUAACCCACUGUGAGCCAUUCUGAGUUGACUUUUGGGUGUUUUAAGGAAUUUUUGAUGUGCUGUAAGAUGUGGGGUUUUGCAUGUGGAUGUCCAGUUGUUCCAUACGUUUACUGAGGUGCAAUCCUUUCUCCACUUAACUGUUUUUCCAUCUUUGCCAGAAAUCAAAUGUCUGUUAUGUGGGUAUCUAUUUUGGGACUCUAUAUUGGUACCUUGGUGGCUUGUCAGUCUUGGUAUCAAUGCCGUUUUGUGAUGAUUGGUGUAACUUUGUUGUAAGUCGUGGGGCUGGAGAGGGUAACAGCUCUAAUUCUGUUCCUUUAUUAAAGCUGUUUAGACUAGUCUGAGUCUUUUCUAUUUCUACAGAGAUGUAAGAAUCAAAAUGUUAAUCUUUGUGAAAAAUGAUGUUUGACAGUUUGACAAGGGAUUGUGUUUUCUGAUAUUUAUUAUUUUCUUCUAUUCUUUUUUGGUUCCAUUCUGUCUUUUAUUUAAAAGAUACUUAUAUUUCUAAGUACAAAAUAAGUAUCUCCACCUUUGGGAAUGCAGUGUAGGCUUACUUCUGGUGGAGUGAAGGAAAUUGAGCUCCUGGAUUUUUCUCUGCUCGAUAAAAGGCACAGUGUGUGUGCCCUCUGACAGGGUCUCCGCUUUCUAGAGGGAACACACAGGGGUGCAGAUAUAUGUAAAUCACAUUGUGCAUAUGUAUGUAUGCAAAUUUCACAUCCAGUUAUACAAGAUUUUCUGUUAUAUUUGCUGUGGGGUUUUUUUUUAAAGGGAAAAAAGAGUCUUAAAUGUUUUUAACUCAGGCAUCUGGCGUGAGUCUGGGAUGUAUCUUAGUGGCCCGGCAUGCACAAGGCCCUGGGUUGGAUCCCCAACACUACCAAUUAAAAACAAGCAAGAUUGCAGUGGAAUUGGUGUACCCAGUGCAGAAGCAAAAAUAACUUUCCGGAGAGGAGGAGGCUGAGGGAGGCGUGGUGUGUAUGGCAGGGGGAGUGUGGCUCCUCUUGUUGGUGACGAUUCCAAAGAUCCUUUCAUUAUUCAGUCAGUGUGUGCUGGCUGAGCAGCUACUCACUACCUCCUGCACUGCCGGGCUGGCCAGUCCUCAACCUGUCCCCCCUUCCCCAGCGUGUGCACAGCACCCAGCGGUUCUGCCACCACCUCUCUCAUUUCAAGCCUGCUGCCCUGCUGUUAGCACAGAAACUGGGCAGGACAAUCGUGAGGCCGAGGUGGUGCGUGGGCUGGCAGUGUUUGAUGGCUUCUCCCACACAAUGGGAACCUUACUGUGGCCCUGUAGACACGUGACCGCUUCCUGGCUGGGCUGACCUGAGGCUGGGCCUGCUCUCAGGCCUGCUUUUGUGACCUGUGGGGCUGCGGGUGAGGGGCACUUGAGCAGCGGUGAUGUUUCUGAAGCUGCAUUAGCGCUUGUAACAAAGGUAUUUCGAAAAAAAGCAGACAAAAAUAAAACCUGAGUGGCUGGGUAGGGUGGCGCAUCCCUGUAAUCCCAGCACUCAAGAGGCUGAGGCAGGAAGAUUGCCUCAGGUUCAAGACCAGCCUGAGCUUCAUAAGCAAGAUUAAGAUCAGCCUACACUACAGAGGGAGACCCUGUCUCAAAAAUAGGAAGGGCGGCAAGGGCUUUCCAGCUGUGACAAACCCCACGUCCACCUGGUGCUUCAGGCCAGGGUGACUUUAGAACAGGGCCAUACCAGGAGGCAGUGGGAAGAGGACAGACGGCCAGCCGCACUGGGUAUGGGCAGGAGGGUGGGGUCGUUCUGCGUUCACACUGGCAUCCCGGGUCUCAAGGUGGCAAGCAGGCUCUUAGGUCGGGACCCAGGAGCCAUGGUGGGAAGACAGCUCUCAUCCCUGCAGGGCGCUUGAGACUCUGGCCCUGCUGAGUCUUCUAGAUGGUUCCUCUACCCUGGCCCAACCUGGUGCCACACACAUGCCUGACCCUCACAGCUUCUCUGCUCAGCAGAAUCCAAAUCCUGCUCCAAGCAUGGAGUCAGAGGUGACCAGCGAAGUCUCCUUAAGAAAAUGUUUUGGCUAAACUGGGUGCCCAAUGGUGUCCCCACUCUGGGCACUGCCAUCUCUCCGCCGUGCUAUCUGUGGCCUGGCUAAGGCACUGUUAGGACGAACGGUGCCAGAUUCAGGGUCAAGUGGGAUCUGGGGACCAUCCAUCGCUGAAGCCCUGCACCACGGCCUCGGCCACCUCUCAGGUGACAGUUUUCAUGCAGCCCCUCCACGCCAGGGCAGAAAGCAGCCACAGGCUCCAGGCUGGGCAAGGCCUAGUUGAAGAGCAGUUGGCACGGCUGAAGCUGACAGGGACAGGAAGGGGGGGUCAUGGUCUCCUCACACAGCUUCAGGGCGGGGCGGGGUGCAGCAGUUCCUGGCCUGCAGGGGGCGGUGUGAGCACCCCAGGAGGGGUAGGUGUAGAAAGGCCAGAACCGUCUUGUCGUCCUGCCCCCCACCUUGAGGGACCCAAGGCCUUGGAGCUCCAGGCACUGGCCGCACCUCCCUGCCCGUGGCCUUCACAUUGGGGUUGGAGCAUGGCCUCUCGUGCCUUCCUAAGGGGGUUGAGCCUGGGCUCGCAUGCACAGUACCCCUGAGCUCCAGCCUGGCUGAUGCUUCUAUGGUCACAGUGAUUGGCAGGGCUGCAGCUGAGGGGGAGCCUACUCUCGCACCGGCUGCACCCUGAGUCCAGGGGGCUGACCAUUGUGGGUGCUUGGCCCGUCCUUCCCAGGGGCAAGUAGCCCCUGGUCCAAAAUAGUGUAAGGUCCCCUAAGACGACACUAGUAGACAUCUUCUGGGCCAACAUUGUCCUUCUGGGAACCAGACGCACUUCGGUGCCCUUCCCUGCCCUACACUGCAGGGUGCCCGCCUACCCUCUCCAUCCCUGACCUUGAGUCCCUCCUGGUGGCAGGCCCGAUGCCCACCAGUGGCAAUGACCACAGGGUCUGCCUCCUCCCCCUUGCACUGUGCUCAGAGGGUGCCUCUCGUGGUGAUGAGGAUGAGAGGAGGGGUAGGGCCCGAGGAGCCACCGAACGUGUGGUGACAGGAACAGGGCACACAUACCUGCCAGGCGGCAUGGAAGAGCCUGGCGCUCUGCAAACACUGGGCCCAGGAAGCGUGGUAUUUAGUGUAAACACGCCUGCUGUUUGUUCUCCAAGGCGCUGACGCUGGGUUCUGAGGUAGAAGUGAGCUGGGGAGGCCGUGGCCACAUGCUCUCCUUUUCCAGCUCGUGGUCCAUCCUGAACCGCCUGCCUUGAAAGCUCUGCUUCCUGGGCCAGCUCGGCUCUGGCAGAGACAGUGGUUUAUUAUUAUUAUCAUUACUACUAUUACUCUUCAUAAUGAAGUCUUCCUACGUGGGCCCCCCGAGGUGGACUUACUCUCCUGGACCCGGGCCCUAGCACUGGCCAGUGCUGGGUGGGUGUUGGUUCAGUCAGGGGUUAUUGAAUGCGCUGCAGGUAAACUGGAAAAUAUGGCUAAACAAACAGGAAGGGAAAUGGCUGUAAUCCUAUAGCCAAGGAAAACCGCCUUUUAUCUUACUGUGUACUUUCCUGAUGUUUUUCUGUGAUAUACGAUAGUACUAUAAUUGUUUUCACUUAAUGACUUCUGUAGAUAGGAAUAAAUACCUACUAAACAUAUUAACUUGCCAUCAUUUUACCUAAUCAUGCUGUGUGCCUUAGCUCUAACCUGGUUCCAACACUUGCUGUGUUAUGGAAAUUGAUUGACGUCGGAUUGUUUAAACCUUCCAGCCUGCUUCCUACCCAGCCACUGUUUCACCCUGCCGGAUGGUGGAUGUAGUGCAUCAGGCCCAACUGUCUAGGGAAGGGGACACGCAGACAGAGACAGAGCUGCAAACCACUAGGAAGUGGCAGAGGAAGUGGGGUGCUCCUGCUGAACGCCACGGUCCUCGUGUGGACCCCCAUGGUGAUGUAACAGCAGGGUCCCUGCUGGCUCAGCCAGAGGGGCAAGCAACACAUUGACCUCGAGAUGAUGAGGGAGCUCUCUGGGGCUGACCAGCUGGUGAGGAAACCCUGGGGCUAGAGGAGGAGCCCAGGGAGAGGGCUGUGAUCCCAAAGCCAAAGACACCUGACCUCUUGCUCCAGUCUAGUGCCCCCUUGUGGCUGCCCCCGUUAAUCUCUCCUUGAGCCCUGGGUUCUGGUGAACAGAGGCUGCUGUGAGCCCAGAGGACACUGCAGCAGUUUGCUUUAGGGACUCACCGUUGUUUCCUUUCUGCUAAAGAAGGGUACCUCUGAGGGCCAGGGCAGCAGAAGGCUGGCAGCACUGCCACACCACACACAGGCUGCUUUUCUCAUGCUACACAGAUAGCAGUGCUCAGGUAGCUACCACUGCUGUCCCUGGGGGGUGCAGAGCAGAAUCUGAACUUGGGUCCCCAUGGGUGCAGGGCUGCGCUCCUGUGGCCUCUGUUGUCAGAGACCUGGUGGGUCGUUAAGCACGCGGCCUGCCUCUUUCUGGGGUGUUUGUGACUCACAAAUAUGAACCAAAACAAGGCAGGCUCUGUGCUCCCAUUUGGGGAAAGUUAAUAUUUCACAUGCUCUUGAGAAUUCAGGAGCUUGGUAAAACUGACUAUUAAGCAGGGAUUUUCUUUAAUUCCUUUUGUUUAAAGAUUUUCUGGUGGAACACUCUAUGUAGUGUGCCUCCCUCGGAGCUGCUAGCAGUGCCAGAGACCGUUAGAGAGUUUGUGUAAAUAUGGAGCGGGCCAGGGCUGCCCACACACGUUGCAGGCAUGAGGCUGGUGGUGGGGAACGGUCUGGGCACAGCCAGCGUGCCCGGGGUGUCCCGGGGCUGCACCUGGAUCCCGUUGGAAGUGGGCUGGGGACGGUUUGGUGAGGAUCUCCAGCCGUUUUUCCGUCAGAAAGAUGGGUUUGCCAAGGCAAUAAAGCAGGUAGCCUUCAACCAGGACGAUGCGUGUGUAGAUCCUGGAUAAGAAACCGACACCUCUUAGGAAAGACCAGAAUAUCUAGUGGGAAAAUUAAGGGACAGAAACAUUCUGUGACACCUUUGAAGUGACAGUUCCACGCCCAGGGUCACAAGGAGAGGUUGAUUCCCUUCCAGCAUCUUUUAAAAUGCCUUGUUUUUAUUUAACAUUGUUUUGGGAAGGACUGCAUUCUAUUGACACAUUGAGAAAAAAAUCACUUUUUAUUUUUCUAAAACUAACAGGGGCUUAGGCCUUAGUGGGAAACACCGUGCAGAUGAAUGGCCUCUUUCUUCAGCUGCAAAAUUUAAUAGCUGCCACCGAAAGGCUUUUCUUUUAAUCAGCAAAAAAUUUAUUUUGUCCUUGACAUUUUAUGCCAAAAAUCAGCCUGGAGAGUGUUUUAUGGCCAGAGCUGAGCUGCCCUAAAGCGAGGCUUUUCUUGUGAACAGUGUUCCUCGAGUUGGUAUUUUACAUUCAAUAACAAAUUCGUACUAAUUUAUUAGAUAUCCUUCUUAGCAUUCCAGGCAGAUAAAAGAAGUAUGGGGGGGUGCAUCUUGGUGGGGAGCACCCAAGGACUUCUGGGGGAAAGGAAGACUGCCAUGACCCAGCACUUCCGGCCCUGUGCGCCUGGGGAUGAUGGAUUCCAGGGUCAUCCUUUAGGCCUCGUGGUGGAGAGUGUUUCCCUCAUGGUCGAGGACACACAGUGAUGGUACUUAGCACCUGCUCCAGGAAUUUCUUUCUUAGGAUCCACAGUAACAGAAACAAGCAGAAAGGAGACAACUGUGUGACCUAGAAAAGCCGCUGCAUGAGUGUUAAGUGGAUGCAAAAUAACUAGGACCAUAGCACCCAAAAGCUGACUUUUGCUUCCUGCAUGCUGGAGAAAUGCAGCUAUUUUAUUAAAGUGACAGGGAGCCUGUCUGAAAUUCUGUCCUUCUGUCACCUGUGUUUAAGACAGGUCGGUCAACCCAGAAGCACUGAGCCCUGGUCCCACAUGAAGGCCAUUCCUGGAUCUUAGGAGAGACUCAAAGAAAUGGGAGACAUAGUCCCUGCCCCUGGAUCUUGAGUGUCACCUGGGAAAUGAAAUAAAAACUUAAAAUCAAGAUAACACCCAGCUACCAGACGGGCCAGGAGGAAAAGAGCCCAGGCCGAGGCUCUGGUUGUGAGGUCCAUGGAUGGAGCUGAGUGGUGAAUCGUGGGUAUGGCAGAGGCGCAGGAAAGCGGGGGGGGGGGGGGGACGGGGGACGGGCACACCUGUUUACUGUGCUGCCUGCUGCCUGUGCCUUGUCCUCCGGGGCCUCUUAUCCUGGCAUCACAGUGGAUGAGAGGCAGGCGCAGAUAGAAGAAGUGCUUUGCUGCUCACUGUUCGGCCACACAUAGCUGACAUGCCAACACCCGGACCCGUCAGCUGCCUCUCCGGGACACCUGGUCAUUUCCCCGGAAUCCGCGGGAGUCGGUUUUCUAGGCCUCAAGAAGCGUGCUCUGGAGCCUCUGCAUCAUCCAAGAUGUAUCUGUUUUUCCUCAUCCGGGUGACACCUGCUUCAAGCCCCGAGGGAGCUGGGUUGUCCACUACUUGGAGCUGGGCAGCUGCCCCAUGGCCUGUCCACGGGGACACUCCCAUUUAUGCAGCAGCUGCUGUGUGCCAGGCUCUGUGCUGUGUCCCCAUGCAAAUGUGGCAGGUUCUGCACAAGACAGGAGGCCUUGCACACGCACACGCACACACAUACUCAUACACACACCGACUCAUUAAGUUACUUCUAUAAACCUUGCCUGUGUGCCCACCAUGUGGCAGGUGCCAGGGCCCAGCUGGUGACAUCCAUGAAGAGACGGGUGGGGCCGAAGUGGCUCAGCAGUCACGGCCUUACCCCAUGGUCCCACCUGACCCCUUACUCAGGUAUUUCCAGAUCUUUCAGGCCUCGUUUCAUUCGACAUGAGUGUGCCUGUGGGUUGCAGGGGUGACAGUGACCUGGAAUCUGCGUUGCUAACACAUGCCCAGGGCAAGGUACAGAGACUGAGAAGCCGGAGACCAGCAGGCAACAAGAUGCAGCCACUUUCCACUAGGGUGAGGGCCUUACCGCAGUCACUCUCAGGAAUCUCGGAGCCUACUACUCCAGGCCGAGGGCAGCGUUUUUUCCCCUAAGCACACGUUAUAAUCCUGGGAUCACGACUUAGAGGGCACAGCUGAGAUAGCGGUGGACAGAGGCUGGGCCCACUCACUGGCUCCCUGAGGACCCUCUGGCCUUGGUUCCUCUCUGUGCAGCAGGCUCGGCUCAGCCCUGCUUGCCUUGGCUGUGGUGGGGGGUAGUGAGGCCACAUGUGCAGAAGGUCAGGGCAGAUCAGGCCUUGGUGUCACAGCAGAUGGGGAGACCAGUCUGGGUGAGCACCUACCCCAGUUCCAGGCCCAAGGGCUCCUUAGGGGUCACAGCACUUCUGCAGUCAGAGGUGGUGUGUGGGUCUUCUGUGCAAGCGAGUUUCAGGCUCUUCAGCCUUUACUUCACCCAUUCCAACUUGACCUCUCGUGGUCUGUCCUUCCCUGCACGGGGCCUGUGAAGAAUGAAGGAUGGGCCGGGAGGGAGCUCAGUUGUGAGUGCUUGCUUAGCGUGCAUGAGGCCCUGGGCUCCAUCCCCAGCACUGACAAAUAAGAGGCCUCGGUAGAGAGGAGAUGAUAUUUUAGUGAAUCUCGGCAACACUGCUAGGUUGAAAGCAUCACCCCCAUUUCACUGUCACCUCAUUUCGCCAUGAGGCACACACAGCUCCGCUGGGCCUCUUUGCGGGCCUUUUAUUCUGUUCCUCUUGUGAAGGCCAGUCUUCCCAACUUUGUAGCUCCAAACAUGUGAUGGCUUCCGUUCCACCGAUGACAGCUGCCGCUGGUGUCUGGCUAGCGGUGACUUCAGGCCUGUGACUCGGGGGCCGUGUACGACUUUAUUUAGGAUGAAUAGGAGAAUUCCAUGAUCACAGCUGUCUUAACAGAGACAGCGAUUCCGAGGCCUUUGAAUCUUGCGUCUCCAGCCUUCUGUGGAGAGACCUGAGGCUCACCUCUUGUGGGAAAGUGCAGAUCAACCACAAGCUGCGCUGAGGAGUUAGCAGCGCGGCUUUCAGGAAAAACUGCCCAAAAUGCACACAAUGGUGACAAUGACAGUAAGAAGGCAAUGGCCUGGCGUUGCAGAGUCUGUCCCACUGCGGCAUGUCACAGUGCACGCGUAGCCCCGGGGCUGAGUGGCCUGGAACAGACCUCACAGAGCUUGUGACUCCCCAGCACAGCACAGCACAGCACUGGGAUCCCCCAGGACUGCCCAUGGCCAGCGGGGUCUUGAGAAGCCAGACAACACCGGAGACUGGUGGUCUGGUCAGCUCAGGCUGCCUCUGCUCGGAGUCCUGGAGUUAACUGAACCACUGCUAUGUGACAAGGGGCCCUGGCAGAGCACCUCCUCUGGGGUGUGUGGUCCUCGGUGCCUGUCUCCCGUCUGCUCUCUAUCCCUUUGCCCCUGAAGUACCUGUGCUCAGCCACACCUGCCACAUUGCUGCCUGGUCUGCCCUCUGCCCCCUUCCCACCCUGGCUCCCUGGGCCCUGUCUAUGGCCACCUCUCGGUUUGUAGACUGCUCCCUGGACAACUGUCCUGGCAGUGCUUCUUCAUUUAAAAAAGCCCCAACUCCGGACCAGGUGUGACUCACCAGCCCUGGAAGGUGCUUCCUUUUGAAAUGCAGCUUCUCCCCACCUGCUGGGAGGUGCACGUGUCCCUGCCCUUUAGCACUGUGAAGAAUCUAAGGUUCUGCACCUCCCCAAGGCUUUUGUUUCCUCAACUGUGGACGGAUUUCUGGGAGUUAAAAACUGGCCAAUGCCGCUUUAAAUCCAGACAAAAGUUCUCUGUUUCCGCAGUCCUCUGCAGCUGGCAGAUGAGAAACCAACGUGCAGAUGGCGCAUUCUGCCAGCCUGCUGGAGGUCUGGUGCCCAGAGCGAGGGCAGGGACUCCAGUCCCUGCCUCCCGGAAGCUACCAGCACGCCUGGUGAGCGGCCCAUGUGGUUUUACAGAGGGGCUGGGGGCUGUGCACAGAGCCCAUUCCGAAGUGCCUGGCAAGCACAGGCUUCCGAAGAACUCGGGGCAGGGUGAUCAGCUCAUUGUGGAGGGCAGAUGGACUCGGGCUGCCAGCCGCAGUGAGGGUGGCCUUCUUCUGUGUUGCUCCUGGCACGUGCUCGCCUCUCAGCCACAUGUGCUGAGGCCUGGGUGGUUUGUCUGUUUACUGCCAUCCGGAGGAGUUGGUGGGAAAAGCCAAGAGGCCGUGGGCACUUAGGACUGGUGCUGGCACCAGGCAUCCUGAGAGGCCUUGCUUUCAUUAAUAGUGACUUAGUCAUUGGAGCAGGCGUGGCUGAGGGACCCGGGUACAGAUCAAGACGCCGGCAGGGGUGUGGGGGUAAGAGGCCCAGGUGCAGCCUUGGUACUCUCCGCCCGCCUUCAUCUUGUACUUUAACCCUGCCCUGCGUAUUUUGACCACAGCCUGUGUACUGGGGCACCCUUUCCUGAGUGCCGGAUUGUGUUGGGCCCUCGGGUUCUCGCCCUCAUUAGCCUAGGGGGACCUCUCCCCACUGCCUUCUCCCCUCCUUUGGGCAUCUUGGAGACUCUUUGGGGUGACCCUCGGGUGAGCCCACACUCUGACUUGUGCUGCCCAUGGCUCCUGACUUCUUUCUGAGGGAGCCUGAGUGUCCAUGGAUUGGCUCUGGUGAGUUGCAGCGAGGUUGGGGAUAGACACAGCUGGGGUGUCACGAGUGAGGGGGCUUUAAAGACCCACUUUGGUUUAUUCCAGCAAGCCAGAAACAGGCAGACUGCCAUUUCCUGCCUCAGAAAUGGGGCCUUUUGCCCUUUCCAACCCCCCACUCUGUGUGCUUUUCUGUUUCUCCUUGUUCAGUAUAAUUUCUGCUUUUUUUUUCUUCCUGUCCAGAAGCACUAAAUAUUUGGACACCUAUUUUGUGGAGAUUUAUAUGAGAAAGUCAUGGUUCCUGACCUUGGGGAAUAAAUACAUGCUUAUGUGAGAGCCAGUUACCUGGUCCACUCCUGUGUGAUUUUUAAACCCUAUUUCAGAUACCACCUCCUCCAGGAGGGCUUUCCAGAAUUCUCCCUCACACUGGUGAUUGUCUGACUCCUGUAUUACACUGACAGCCCCCAGAGGGCUGAGACUGUGGGAUACUGUGUAGUUCUCUUUAACUCUGUGGUCCUGGCCCUGGGCAUCCAGUAUACAUUUGUUGAUUGAAAUAAAAUGGUCAAUAAAAGCAAACGGUAAAUGUAUGGUAAUAGCUGAGCUGAGAGCUUUUUGCAAAGCAGUUCUCAGCCGCCUCCAGCAUGACGGUGGCUGGGUUCCUGAGGGCUCCUUCCACCCAGGCGGCUCCUCUCUUUUUGCUCCUAUGAGCCUUCUGCCCCUUGGAGUGGCAAGUAACACUGCCACUUCACAGAACAGAGGCCCACAGGAGUUUGGUACCUCACACUGGGUUCCAACCAAUGACCUUCUCAGGAUCUGGCCUCUUCCCGACCACACUAAACUCCCUCUCCACUGAGACGCCGGUCAGGGUCUUCAGUGGGAAGCCUCCUUCCUUUAAAGGCAAGCUUCCCACAGGCUGGGCUGUGCUGCAGGCUGACCAGUCAAUACCCACUGGCUGGGAGUAGCGUCUUGGGGUGGGUUUUUCCAGUUACCUGUGAAAGCAAAUUACGGGUCACGCUCUUCACUAGAACAAGUGUUUACUGGUCAACAAGUGUAAAAUCAGCUCAGCACUGUCCGUUUGGGCCCAGUACAGUGCCUCCUCUUGGGGCUUGGUCCAGAACCAUCUUUGCAGAGAAAGUUCAGGCCAGCAUAAGCCCCAUGCUGCGGCGAUGUUGCGGUGGCCGGCUUCUGUCUGCACCAGGUGGCAGUCUGCCUGUGCAGAGGACACCAGGCCUGACAGCAUUUGUGCCGAGACUGUGUGUCAGGCAUAUGCUUAGGACAGCACUCGUUUAUGGAUGCACAGUACUCUCCAGGUCAGUGCUCCUCGGUGCCUGCUAAGUGCAGGUCUAGAGAGCACUGUGUGGAGUCUCAGACCGAGCCCCACUUUCCACCUGAUGGGCGCUCCCCAACAGGUUCCCCUCGGACACUGGCAACGUCCUAACCACAAAAGGUGGCUCUCCGAGCAGCCCACUGUAACCAGAUAUUAAUUUAGAAAUGUGUGUGCACCUUGCUGCAGAAACCAGACUGCACACGUGCACAGGUACCAUGUUGUGGUGGGAAGAGCCCUCUGAGGCCAGGCAGGAUGAACUCCAGGUCAUGCCUCACCCCAGGGAGCUGCCUGUCAAUUGUCAGUCUUAGCCAGCGUGUCACCACCUGUCCCCAUGGGGCUUCUCUCUUUGCUGAGUCCCGGAGAGGGCCAGUGACUCCUUAAGCUCCAAAACGACAGAGCUGGGAUUUGAACUCACCUCCGGCUGAUGCUGUGGGGCUUGCUGUGGAGGGGUGCUGCCUUGCCGGGGAUCUGUUCUGGAGGGGUUCAGCUGAAGACUGCAGACAGUUCAGGUGGGCGCCAGGCAGGAAGAUGCCCUUUCCUUUCGAGGUGCAGGGGCUGGGUUGGGGCCUGAGACCCGUUAGCUUGUGUGGAAAGUUACCAGAACCAGAGCUGCUCCUCUCUUCUGUUUCCUCCUUAGACACCUCGGACAAGGGAGAGAACUGGGUGUGACACAUGUCAGGACAGGGGCCACCCGCCUGAGGGUGGGCAGUGUCGCAGUGGGACCUUGGUCAAGGGCCUGGGCCAUUCGGAGGGAGGCUCACUUCCCUCCGCAUGAGAUGGGGCCCCUGGCACUGCCUGGGGCUGUGCCACUCAGUGCCCCGUGCCAGCUGCAGUCUCGUUCCUUGGAGCACACAGAGUGGACCUUCGUGGCCCGGCAUUCUGACGCCUGGCAGCCACUCAGGAAGCGUUUGUGGAGGAGGCAGUGUGGCUGGUUUGCUGCCUCUUGGAAGGCGCUUGACUCUCUCACAAGCCUCUAGGAGCCUGCCUUCGAGUCCCAGCAAUGGCUCAGGGGUCCCUGUGGCCCAGCCUGCUCACAAAUCAGGCUUCCAUGCCAAGCACUGAAAAAAUAAA